rnacentral:lncRNA from 1 species
UUUUUUUACCUUAACUCUUUGGAUUCAAAUCCACCUUCAGAGUUUGUUUAAUGAAUGCAUUUCAAGUUUGACCAAAAAUAAAAAAUAAAAUUGACUUUACCCGUUCAAAAAACAGAACAUUUAAGGAUCCAACUAAAUCCACCCUCAAUAAUCAUUGAAAUGAAUCAAUUCAAUUGUAUUUUGAAAAAAGAGUGGAGACCCCACCCUUGUCUCUUCGCCGUACAACAACGACACCGUAACGCACACAAAACAAAUUGGAAGGUCAAAUCACGUCGGGGGCUGAGGGUUUAAAGCCAUAAAGAAACGAUAUUGUUACUUAUACAUUCUUAUUAAUUUUACAACAUUAAUUGUUUUUUUAACUCAUUCAAUUUGACGGUCAAAACUGAAAAAAUAUGUGAAAAAUAAAAAUGUAUAGCGUUAAUCUAUCUUAAAAAUUAUUUAAAAGCAUGUGUGGCAAUGAGCUGUGAUGGAGGAAGGAGGUGGCUACUAUCCAUUGCAAUAGCACGUACACGUACACAUCCGCACGUCACCCGCCCUAGUCCAAAGUUCCAGUUCCCCACGCGCAUGGAGUUCAUGUGUUUGCAUUGCAACUUUUCUAACUUCUGUUUUGUUUCUUCUCUAUUUUUUCUUGGCUUUGCUGAGGACUCUACGUUCAUCGAUCUCACACCACAAUUCACCUUGAUAUUAAUAAGGCCUUUCCAUUUUCAUCUCUAUCCCUCUCUUUUUCUCUACCACAUAAUAUAGUCCAUGUUUUCGUUUAAUUUGCUUUUUGUCAUCAUCUCUUGGUAUAAGAAACAAUAUCACAUGUAUACUCAAAUCAUAUAUGUAUAUUCUAUACACAUGUAUGCAUACUUCUAUCAAAUUUGUAUAUCACAUGUAUACUUAUGAAGUAAAAUGUGAUGUAUACAUGUGUUAUAUAAACGUUCCAAGCUAGAUAAUGAAUUUGUUAAAAAGUCUCACAUAGGAAGAAAAAACAAUUUUGCAAGUAUAUGGUUCCCAAAUUGUUGAACUUACAUAUAUAUAACACAUUAGCCACUUAGUACUAUAAUUUAGUGAUAUUUCUUUUAUAAAAAUUUUAUGUUCGAUUCUCGUAUAUGACAAGUUUGAUAUCCAUUUAUUCUUGCUUGCUAUACAAAUUAAUUAAGCAAACAUACGUCCCCAUCUACCCCAUCAUUUAAUCUACAAAUACAUUAAUAAUAUAUCUAAUAAUAAAUCAAUGAUUUAGUUGUUACUGUCACGAACGCAAAGCUGAUUUUUGUUUUGAAUAAACUACCCUUCUUGUUAUUAUUUUUUUCUACUUGGUUCACCUUUUUGGUAUCUCAAAUGGAUAAUAUUAGGUGACUCAAUUUUUUAGACCAAAUUUGUAAAUCAUAUGAUAUAUCAUAAAUAUAAAAUAAACACGUUAAUUAAUACUUAAUAAUUCAAUCAUCGACGAACAUGCAUGAUUUAAAUAAAUAGAGAGUCUAUUUAGCAUUAAUAGCCAUCUCAAAUAGUUAGAUACUACUACUCCAAUUAAAAGCUGUCAGAGACAUCCCCUUGCUUUCUCAGGCUAUUAUUUGCCAGCAGCUCUGGGCAUAAUAAAAUGACCCGGCACCCUAUCCUUCUCUUCUCAUCAUUCUCCCUUUUCCCAUUCUCAAACACUCAGGCCCUGCUUGUUCCAUACACAAAUUUGCGCAAUAUAAUUGAAGCACCAGCAGAAGAAGAAACAACCAUGUUAGACUAUUAGUAUAUAAUUACCCUCUUCCCUCUCUGAUCUACUAAACCAUUUACACAAGUACUCAAAUCAAGUGCUCUCUCAAAAAAUGAGCCAGCGCGUUCCUAGCUGGGAUCUUGAUAAAACUACUACUACUCCACCUGCUCCUAGGCUCUCUUCUCGCUCCCACUCCCUUCACACAGCACCUACAGAUGUCCCUCUGUAUGCUAAACUCUCUCUUUCUCACUGGUUUGAUUAGUUUUUAAGGGAAAUGAUUUCCGUACUAUUUUGCUAUGUAUGCACACUCCUGUUUAUUUUAGACCUUGAAUCGAGUAAGUCAAAGGAGAAUUAAGUGGCAGAAAUAAACGGAGAAGAAAAAUGAUGUACUUAAAACAUUACCCAUUAUUAGUGAAUCACUUAAAUUAUUUUUACAUUUAUGUGCAGGUUGGACUACGAAGUAGCAGAGUUGACAUGGGAAAACGGCGAGGUAGCCAUGCACGGCUUAGGACCACCGCGCCUGUUGGCGAAGCCUUUAUCUACUACUAAGUACACCACCUGGGACAAGCCCCGGGCAAGUGGCACCCUUGAAUCAAUAGUCAACCAAGCCACAUCCACAGCUUUACCCCCUCCUCUCAAGCCUCCCUUCGAUUCUUCCUCUGGUGGCGGCAGCGGCGCUAAGGAACUAGUGACCUGGUUUGAUCGACACCGUGCUGUAGCAACGCCCUCCACCACUGUGACUAUGGACGCAUUGGUUCCUUGCAGGAACCAAAGUGAUGACCCAAGUAGUCAAAUGAUCGAGUCCAUAUCCGUGCCAGGGGUGAUUUCUGGUACGGGCAUGGUAGGAUGCUCCACUCGAGUAGAUUCGUGCAGUGGCGCCACUGGUGCCGCCACACACGACGAUGACACCCUUCUUUCAGGAAAAGGAACGAGCUUGGCACGUGUCCCUGAAACGCCUGAGUGGAGCAGCAGAUCCCAAAGUGUGAGUGGUAGUGCCACGUUUGGGAUCGAUAGCCAACAUGUUACACUUGACAGUACAAAGGCAAGCGACUAUGACUCCGUUUGUCACAGUAGACCACAGGCAAACUCCCUGUUUUACUCUCUAAAUAUGUGCAUAUGUGUUGGAUAAUUAUAUCUGAAUUAUUAUUUGAAUAAUAUAAUGGAUUUGUUGGUUACUAGUGUUUCCAUAUUUUAUUUUAUUUUUUAAUUAAUUUGUUAUUUAUUUAUUUAUUGUUUUUUUUUUUUUUUUUUUUUUUUUUUUUGAAGGGGGAGGUAGGAGAUGGAGAUGACAGAAAGAAACGAAGUACGGGAAAAUCUUCGAUUUCUACAAAAAGGAGUAGGGCUGCCGCUAUUCAUAACCAGUCUGAACGAGUAUGCUAGCCCUCUCUUUUUAGAAAUACAAUCCAGUCUAUUUUUUUAAUGAAAGGAUAUGAAUAAUAUAAAUACAAAAAUACUACUUUUAUCCUACAUGUACUUAUGAGCUUUACUUUUAUUAAAAAACAAUACAAAUAUGCGAUAAAUUUAACAUUACACAUAUAAAUAUGUAAAUAUGUAAGACGAAAUUUUCAGUUUGUUUAUCAAGAACUGCGAAUAUAAAAUAUAUAUCAAUGAUUGGAUUGGGUAUAGUAUAUACCUAGUGGAUCCCAGUCUAAAAGUAGGUGAUGAGCAUAUACAGUGCGAUGGAAAACUACUUGACCUCAUUGGAUUCAAAUUAUUUAUCAUAAUUGUUUCUUAUUAUCACAAUUGCUGUUUCUUAACUAUAGAAUUUUUUUUUUAGACUUUAACGAAAAGAUUUUAGUACUGGUUAGUUUAACGAAAAAUAACAUUUUUACACUAAAAGGUCAAUCAUGAUACUAUUCAUUUUAUCAUUUAUUUUGUUCUUAUCGAUAAAACUCAAAAUUUUCAAAUAAUUUUCAUUAAUUUUUUUCUUUUUUUCACAGAAAAGGAGAGAUAAGAUCAAUCAAAGGAUGAAGACGCUGCAGAAGCUGGUCCCAAAUUCCAGUAAGGUAUGAUGUUCCACUUUUGGGUUUAUGUGCACUAUCUUUCUUGUUUUUGUUUCAUCGAAUAAUAGUAAAAAUGAAAAAACCUCAAUAAAUAUCAAAUUAGAUGUCAAUAUGAGUUGUGUUUUUUUGGUAACCUGAUAAUUAAAAAUUAAUAAUCACUCAUAUUUGAAUUUGAUAUUAAUAAUUAUAUUUAAAAUAUUAAAACCACAAUAUUUAUUCUCCACAUUUGAAAAAAUCUAAAGAUAAGUGACCAUACAUAUUUUAGUCAUGAGAUAAUCAAGAAAACGUUUCUUGUGCUAAUAUCAUCUAGUUAUCAUGUGGAGCCUUUGUAGUUUUAGUGGUCCUGUAAUUAUUCUAACACUCACAACAAGAGUAUGUACGAUUCAAGUCCUCAACAUGUUCUAAGCCAAAGGAAAAAGAUACUAAUUAUCACUUGAGAUUUCACAAUUUGUUCUCAUCAAUUGGGAUGAAAUGCAUGCAUGCCCCAAGGGCAGCUAUUGACAGAAAAAUAGUCACUUCAGGGUACUUUUGGUUUCACAUUUUGAUCGAUAAGCAUGAGACAGGUCUGCCGAUUACCAUAAAUGUUGUCCAAAAUCUCAUUGCAUUUGCAUGUGGUUGAGUGUGUUUUUGGUGAAUUCAAUGAUCCUAGUCCACAUCCUGAUUCCACUUAAAUAUUUACAAGUGGUAGGCCCUAACCCUUGUGUAUUGUGAUCCUCCCAAAUAAAUGACUUUUAUAGCACCGGUUUACUGUUGCGUGACAUUCUUGAAAAGUGUCAAUAAAAAAAUAAUACUACAUUUAUCAUUUAUUUGUAUCAUCUGUUAGAGGUAGAACUCACUAACGCAUGUUAGAGAGAUGAUAGAAAUAUAUGCUAAGAGUAGCAUUUUUUUACUAAUAAAAGACAUGUAUUAAUUCUUUCCUCAUGUACUUGUGUUAUUAGCACGACACUUCACUGUGAUGGUGAACUCGUGUCAUACAAGUUGUUAUCCCCAAAUAAAAAUAACUUUCUUCGUAUAUUAUAAAUCUAUAAUCUGAUGUCCAGCUGUAGGUGAAUGAUUUUUUCACCACUUACAUACUUAAUUAUUUCCAUUGAUUCUUCUUUAAUUUGUUCAAUCUAAUGCCUCUUAAAAAAAAUGGUUGCUUAGGGUUGAAAAAAAAAAUAUGUGCAUAAUGGACAAAAGAACAAAUAAGUUGUUGUAAUGCGGUCAAAUUCUGAAGAGCAAACCUUAGAGGUAUAUUUUGGGUUUAUAUCCCCUCAAUCUGUUUAUAUUUAAUCACGUGAAGAGUAAUGAAGAAUAAUAGAGAAUGAAGUGGUAUAAAUUCAUAACAUGUAAAUUUCUAACAUGAAACAUAUAUGUGGUAGUGGGAUAGAGAUUGAAUGUGAGAUUAACAUUUUGUAGGUUUUGAGAAAAGGAAGUGCUAUUUGCAAUUCAAAACUCUCAUUUUGCACUCUUCACAAGUGUUUUUUUUUUUCUUCUAAAUAUAGAAAGUUUGAAUGCAAAAUGAGAAUUUUGGAGUGCCAAUAACAUUUCCUUGAGAAAAUAUAAUUGGAUGUACAAUUUCAAGAAGUAAAAUUACCUUCAAAGAGUAUAUUUAACAUUUUACUAAAAAUUUAAUUUUACUCCUUGAAAUUCAAUUUAAUUUAAGGAAAACUAAUAAAAAUGGCUUGAAAACUUUGAGUUUUAACCAUAAGGACAAAAUAAAGGGUAAAGUGAAUAGUACUAGGAUUGACUUUUUAGUGUAAAAUAUGGUUUUUCGUUAAAGUGAACAGUACUUAGAGCUUUUCAUUAAAGUUCCUUUAAUUUAACCUAAAAACUCACCAUAGUAAUUUUUCCAAAUAUAAUUCAAUGACUAAGUCCAACUAAGCAACUUCCUUAAUUUUAACUUUGCACAAUUUGUAUUUUUGGGUGUCUAAAAUAAUCAUAAUAACAUUUGACAUUUAUUUAGUUAGUUACUUGUUAUCUUAGCCCCUCCGGGUCCAAAAGAGAUGGAUAACCAUUGCUUACCACCAAUUGUCUCCAUUUGAAGGAAAAAAGAAGUAGUUACUUGUUAUCAAGAUUUAUUUUUCAAAUUAAUCAAUACAAUUAAAUGUCUCCUCAUGAAAUAAAUCUUAAUAAAUUGAAAAAAAAAAAAAAUUUACUGCCAUGUUUGAAUGCAUACUAAUAAUAAAAUUACAUUAUAAAAUAAAUUACUUUUUAUAUACAUAUAAUAUACAUACAUAGGCCCUUUUAAGUAGAUGGAAAAAAAUGGGGAUUAGUUGUGGGACUUACUUCACAUCGAACUUCAACGAUUCGAACUGUCUAUUUUAUAAGUCUCGAUUCAUAAAUUAUCCUUGCAAAAAUUCAAUUCAACAAUGAAAUUUCUUUGUUUCUUAUAGAACAAAAUGUUCGUCAAUUUCUUUUGAACUCAAUUAGAUGUCUCAAAUAUUUCUGAUUUGGCUAAUAUUUUGGAAGAGAUGAUCUAUGAGGUGCAACUUGAAAACUAAAUAGUUUACAUCGUUGAAGUUCAAUGUUGUGUGGGCCACCACUAGUCCUCAUUUAGAAAAAAUGGAAAUCCCCUCCCUUAAAGACCUCAUAUACAUAUACAUAUACAUAUUAUAUAUGUAAAAUAACAAUACAACAUGCCUAAUCUAUGUGAUAAUACAUGCAAAAAAUGUUAUGUGAUUCGAACCAACAUUUUAUAUCUCUAAAGAACCAACAUUUUAUUUCAGACUGAUAAAGCUUCAAUGCUAGACGAAGUGAUUGAAUAUUUGAAGCAAUUGCAAGCACAAGUCCAAAUGAUAAGCAGAAUGAACAUGCCUACCAUAAUGUUACCAAUGGCCAUGCAACAACUUCAAAUGUCUAUGAUGGCCGCCGCCCCAAGAAACAUGGGGAUGGGCAUGGGAAUGGGGAUGGGAAUGGGAAUGGACAUGAACAACAUUGGCCGCCCCAGCAUCCCCGGCAUUCCUCCGAUUCUUCACCCAUCCGCAUUCAUGCCCAUGGCGGCUUCUUGGGAUGGCACCGGCGGUGAUAGGUUACCAGCUGCUUCAACGGGAGUAAUGCCUGAUCCCAUGUCCGCGUUCCUCGCAUGCCAAUCACAGGUAUGCUUUGAAUCUAGAAUUUAAUUUACUGAUUAAAUUUUAUAUUAUAUUUACAAUAAAACUAUUUCGACAGACAAAGCAGUAUUAAUUAAAACGGAGAUUAUAGCAUUGCCCCUUAACGUUUGUAUUUCGAACUUUUUUGCAGCCUAUGACCAUGGAUGCUUACAGCAUGAUGGCAGCCAUGUAUCAGCAGUUCCAUCAACCUCCAGCAUCUAGCUCUAAGGGCUAAUAAGCAAUAUAUCACAUGCUCCAUACUUAUGAGUGGGCAAGAACUGGUUUGAACGUGGAAUUCGAAUACUAUGGUGCAAUAAUGUCUUUGAUUAUUUCAGCUGGCUACAUGUAUAUGAUUGGUAUCUUUCAAUGAGAAUGAAGAUAGAGUAAAACCUCUCUAUAUUAUACAGUUGAGACCAAGUCAUAUAACUUUAGGAAGAUUAUAUUACUUAAUAGAUGUGUAGGUAAAAAAGAUUACUUUAUUGACUUAUUCUUAAUGAAUGUUGAAUUUUCUAAAGAGGAUUCCUUAGGCGCCAACUAUUUUAUUUCCUGCAUAUUUUGUACUCAUUAACAAUUAUAACUAUGUGGAUGUGUGUUUCAUUAAGAUGGACUAAGAAAAAUUAUAACUUAUUAUAAUACGGAAUUUAUUCCAAUACAUAAUUGAUCUCAAGUUGGGACUGAAAUUUUUUAUGAGUUAAGGAGAUUAUUCCAUUAUAGAUAUUACCUUAGAGAGGUUUUACAGUAGUAUUAGUUUUUUAUUCCGCGGAAUGAUUUGAGAUCCUUGAUUUCGGGUGAAUUGUAGUGCACUACAGGGGCAUUCUGUGUACACUUAAGUUUAAGUUUCAACUAAUUGUGCGAAAUUAUAUUAAUAAAAAAUAAACAUAUGCUCGCAAGCAAGUGUAUGAAUCAAAAGAUUGUACAUGAAGCAACACAGAUUACCUUCCCACAAAGAUUUGAUUUAAUCCUAAGAAACCUUACCUAAAUUAAAUUAUAACUAAUUUAAACUUGAAAUAAAAAUUGAAAAGUUUUGUAGAAAACAAUUUGUGGUUGUUGAAAUUGACUUUGAAUAAUUUAAAUGCAAAAUACAAGGAUCACACAAGUAAACAACAAAUCAAGAGGGGAAAGUACAAUAGCAUGACAUUCACCGUAACAAAUCCUACUAAAUUCUUUUAGUCCGUUAUCAACUAGUAAUUCCCUGUAUAUAUAUUCCCAAUUCUUGUAUAAUAUUAGUUUCAAUGACACUUAAAAUUAGUUAGAAAAAUAACAAUUCAUUAAGUUCUAUAAAAAUUAUCAAGAAAAAUCAUCGUAUCAAUAGCACGAACCCGUUUACACAACAUUUAUGUAUAAGAAUUCAUGAUAUAUCAACUACAAGUUCAGUCAAGUUAAAUGAGUAAGUCUUUAAUAGUCUGGACUACUGGGGACCCCAAUUUUAUAUCGAUUAAAUUGGCAAGCAAUUAAGUAAAAAUACUUUUUUUUCAUUUGAAUCAUUACCGUACAUUUUUUUGUACUACUAAUUAGUUUAGAAUAGUGAAGAAAAAUUACAAGCUAAAUAUGACCAUAACUUUCCAUUUAAUAAAAAUUAAUUAAAAUCAAUUCAUCCUCUUCACAGUCAUCAACAGAUGACCAACAUAACAUGCAAUGUUUGCUCAAAGAUGGACAUUUAAAUGAUUGGAUGCUUAUUUGUCAACUUUGAUCAAAAUGUCACCUUGGCAAAAGGGUUCAUUCAUCUUAUCAUUAGACUGUACAUUGAAUGACUUUGGCCAGUUUAUUGUGCAAUUGAAAUAUUGGAAAAUGUUAGGGAGUCUACAUUUUUAUAUCAAAUUGAUGUACUAUCUGACGUGAUAAGUUAAGUAAUAAAUACAUGUCGUGUCAAAUAAUGAGUUUAUCUCAUUAUACAUCAUUUGUCACAUUAUGUAGUAAACACCAGAAGGAUACAAAAAAUAUAAUCUCUCUAAAACUAGCUUAGAGUUUCCUUUCAUGUACUUAAGACACCUAGCUCCAUUCGUGGAUUCAACUAGUAAAACAACAAACUAUUGUGGUAGAACCAAAUUCGUGUACCGUCAUAGAAAGAGGAGCUAUACGAGUUUGACUACUUGUAAAAGAGAAAACAACCAUGAUUAAUCUUAGGUAGUGGUUGGAUACCGACCAAAGGCUUUCUGACGGUCAAGUUAUUAAGCAAUAUAAGACUCAAGCAGUGUGAAGAGGAUAAAGUAAGCGAUAAUUGCAUUACCUGAGAUAAACCCUAGAUUGGUGUAUUUAUACUAGUUGGGAGAAUGACCUUUUAGGAUAUGGAAUCAGUAUUAAAUUAGAAGAAUAUAGUAAACUAGUCUAAUCACCAAUCGGAUCAGGAAUCUCAAUGAAGUCUGCAGACUUCGUUUACGUUUUCGGUGCACAACAGGAUGUGGUGGCAUUGCUUGCUCAUCUGAGCAGCCCAAUCAUAUCAAAGUUAUUGAGUCCAUGAGUGGACUUGAGGUAUACACAUUCUGAUCCAUCUUACUCCAGCUCAUCCUGGAUCCGUUUGGCGUUCCACUUAAGGAUUCUCGAGUGUUUGCUGCAUAUUUGUUAAUGAUGGAGCAUCUUGAUUAGCUAGACUAAAUUCUUCCACGAAGUGCGUAAGUGUCUGGACUUCAUCAAAGUCUUGGGCUAAUAAAUGAUUUCAUGUUGCCCCAGUUCAAUGGCCCAUUUGGUGACUCUAGAAGAUGCAUCUGGACUAUCCAAGAUGGCGGGUAUUCUAUCAUGUAAAUGACUCGGAUGACUAGAAGUAUGGUCGAAGUUUCCUAGUUGCUGUCACUAAGGCUAGAAUAAGCUUUUCAAUCUUCAGGGGUAUCUAGUUUCUAGUUUGAGAAAAGCUUUAAACACAUAAGACACAUGUUUCUACUCCUCGAGCCUUCUUGGAAUAAGGAUGCAUUAACCCCAUAUUCCACUAUUCGUAGGUCCAAAAUUGUCUUCUACUUUUCUUGAUAGCUGUGAAGAAAGGGUUGUACUUGUCAAUAGACCAUGAAAGAAAUCGACUGAAAGCGGCUGCUCUCCUUGUUAGACUUUGGAUUUCUUUCAUAGUUCGAGUAGACUUUACCUCCAGAUUAGCUUCAUUUUUGUGCUUGGUGACUAGAUAACCUAAAAAUUUUCCCACCACUACUCCGAAGGUGUACUUUCUAGAUUAAGCUUCAUGUUGUAUUUCAGAGUAGGUUGAAAAAUUCUUGUUAUUGAUAAGAUGAUCCUUUUUUUCCUUACUCUUGACCACCAUGUCAUUGACAAAUACCUCCAUUGUCUUUCUAAAUUUCUCUUUGAAGAUUAGGUUAACCAGUCUUUGAUAGGUCGCCUCUGUAUUUUUUAAGGAAAAGCAUAAUACGAUAACAGUACGCACCUCUAUCAAUGACAAAAGAUGUCUUCUUCCUGUCUAGUAUGUUCAUCUUGAUCUAGUUAUAUUUGGAGUACGUGUUUCUGUAACUUAACAAUUCAUGCCUAGCUGUGGAAUUGACAAGCAAGUCUAUUCAAGGUAGAUGAUAAGGAUCAUUGGGGCAAUGCCUUGUUCAAGUCAGUGAAGUCCGCAGAAAUUCUCCACUUAUUGUUCUUCUUCUACAUAAGGACCACGUUGGCAAGCUAAUCUGGAUGAUGGACUUCAACAAUAAAUUUGGUAUUCUUGAGUUUUUCAACUGUGAAGAUUUUACUCCACUCUAUUCCAUGGUUGCUUUUUCGCCAAAUAAUUUGUUUCAUGGUUACAUCUAAAUGAAAACAGUGGCAACUUAUUAAAUGACCAAUUCUAGGCAUAUCUUCGCCAGACCAAACGACCACAUCCUUAUUUGCCUGCAAAAAGGCAGUGAAUAACUCUUUUUCUUGAUUCGACAACUUUGAUCUAAUCUUGUCUUUGCGUUCCAGCCUGUUGGGAUCAAGACUUACGUAGAUAGCAUCCUAGUCCAUUUCGUACUCUAGAUUACUGUCAUCCUGGGGUGGAGGUCCAUGUCGAAUUUGUUGGCCCCUAGUAUGUGAUUGCUAUGCAGACUUUUUCGUCAAAGCUACAGAGCUCUGUUCUCAUUUUUGGAUCAUAUUUAGGUUUUCCAGAGUAGAACUAUGGACUACAACUACAUCACCUGUCAUUUCCUUUAUGUCACUAGGUGUAGGAUAUAAGAGUAGUUGGUUGUAAGAUGACGGAAUCGUUCUUAUCUUGUGAAGCCAAUUUUUGCCCAAGAUGAUGUUGUGUGGGGUUGGAGUCUAUCAUAUGAAAGACUUAAGAUAGUUAUAGGGUUCCACAUGAAUCACCAAUUUCACAGUUUUGAGUGGUCGAAACGGAGCACUUUUAAAGGUAUGUAAAGUAGUAUUACUCUGGUUGAUGUUAUCCAUAAUAUCCAUAAUUUCCGUUGCUUCUUUGAAAAGGAUGCAAAGUUCAAUUCAUUUAUCUUCCGGUACGUGGCUGAUUAUGGCAUUCAAAAUUUUAUGACUAAGGCAUCGUCAUGGGGAGUUUAUACGCCUUCCAAAUCUGAAUCGAAGUACAUUAAGAUAUUAGAAAUGAUUGGAAAUGGUUUGUGGAUGGAAGCUGCCAACUUCGGCUCCUUGCGUGCUGUCUUCCUCUCCUUUCUGGUGCUGCUCAGAUGUUCUUGCUCCCUAUAAAUGCAGUUAACAUUGAUGGUUGGUUUCUUUAUCGGCCUUCGAUCCUCAAACGAUUCCAGAUUUCAUUUGGGCUUCUUACGAUAGGUUUUAGGAGUCCAGCCAUAUCAUUUUUCAUAGGGUUUUAUAUCAACAAUUCCCUUACGGUCGGAACGGCCAUCGUCAUAGCCAGUAGCUUUUCAAAUCUAAAGACGACAUCCUCCAAGGCUUUCACGCAUCUUUCGAGGUCAACCAGAUUCAAUCGGUUCUCCGAUCGAGAAGCCCUUAAAUUUUUUUUUUAAGUUUGUUUAUGCAGUCAAUGAUCCUUAUCAAGGCUUCCCACAUUUGGUUCAUGGUGGGGAUAACUCUGUUGUCAAGGAUGCCGUUGUUUCCCGAAGUGACAAAGGUGUAGGGAUGCUGAUUGCUUCCUUCAUAAAAAUUGGUACCAGCGUUCACCGAACUAUUUGAAGUAGACAUGAUGUGGUAAAGUGAUUUGGUUGGGGGAAUUUGAGUUCACUCUAAAUGAAAGCAUCAAUUGUUGAAACCAAAUUCACACACACAAACAGAGAAGCUACACGAAUCCGACUACCUAUAAAAGAGAAAGCAAUCAUGAUUAACCUUAGGCACCAGUGGGGUACUGGCCAAAGGCUCUUUGAUGGUCAAGUUAGUAAGCAAUAUAAGACUCAAGUAGUGAUCAAGAGAAUAAAGUAUGUGAUAAUUACCUUACCUAAGAUAAUCCCUAGAUGGGUGUAUUUAUACUUGUCAAGGGAGAGACCAAGAUGGAAUAAAUACUAAACCGGCAGAAUCCAAGAGGAUAUCUAGGAUUAGAUAUUAUGUUCUCUUAGAAGUGUGGUUACUUGCGGUGCACGUCAAUCCUUAGAUUGUAGGAAUAUCCAAGAAUGGUCAAUCUUAAUGAGGUCUGCGGGGACUUCAUUGGCCUGUCUAAGCAGCUCAAUCCAAUCAAAGUUGUUGGGUCCAUGAUCGGACUUUUGAGGUAUAUGAGUUCCGAUCUGUCUUACUUCAGCCCUAGAAAAUCAUGAUCCCACAUAUUGAAUAUUAAUUUUUUGAACAAAGAAAAUUGGGUUGAUCUCAUGUAUAAAAAACUUUUAAGUAUAACCAUCACACGGUAACUUAAUGUAAUUAACUCAUGUAUUAUAUGGGCGGAAGACGAGUUUAUCUUUUAAAUUAUAGAAUUAAUAAAUAAAACAUGUGCUAUAUAAGAUAAUUAAAUUAUGGAUUAUACUUCCCUCACUUGAACGGAUGAGCUUGUUCAUCUCUUUGAUAUAUAGACCAAUCAUCUCUUGACACAUGUUCAUUCUUUCAAAUUUCUUUUUAAAAGAAUAACAUGUUGAUCCAUAUGGAAGGGAGAGCUCAUCCCCUUUAAGUGAGAGAUGCAAAUAUUAUCCGUAAACUAUUAACACUAUUCACACAUAAUGGAUUAUACUUCCCUCACUUGAACGGAUGAGCUCAUUCAUCUCUUUGAUAUAUAGACCAAUCCUCUCUUGACACAUGUCCAUUCUUUCAAAUUUCUUUUUAAAAGAAUGAACAUGUUGAUCCAUAUGGAAGGGAGAGCUCAUCCCCUUUAAGUGAGAGAUGCAAAUAUUAUCCGUAAACUAUUAACACUAUUCACACAUAAUGGAUUAUACUUCCCUCACUUGAACGGAUGAGCUCAUUCAUCUCUUCGAUAUAUAGACCAAUCCUCUCUUGACAAAUGUCCAUUCUUUCAAAUUUCUUUUUAAAAGAAUGAACAUGUUGAUCCAUAUGGAAGGGAGAGCUCAUCCCCUUUAAGUGAGAGAUGCAAAUAUUAUCCAUCAACUAUUAACACUAUUCACAAAUAUUUGGCUCACACCAAAAGUAUAAAUUAAUUUUUUUAAUAUAGUUAUUUUGAUAUGUUAUUGAUUGAUUUUUAAUUGAACAACAUAACACUCAAUAUUAUCAUUUUCUACUUGAUUAGUUGAUCAUAUGUAUCGAAUGGUAAACUUCAACAAAAUGUAUGAACAACGAAUGAUUCCAUCUUUGAAAUAGAAAUUUCAUGCGCACGUUGCAUUCGGCAUUCUCAUUCUUUGUAUUUCUCUCUUCACAUAACCUAAGAAAUUGUAGGAAAAGGAGAAGUGUUUAUUUUUCCGAAAGCCAUCAAAUCUAGAGGUGAUAGGCUAAAAAGCUCGUACUUUCUAUGCAUAAAGGUGCAUAUCCAUGGUAUAAAACAUGGAUGUGAUAGAUAAUUGAGCUUCAAAUUUACUCUCUCAAGUUAUAAUCAGAUAGAAGGAGAUUAGAACGUCUAAAUAUAUGCAUGGGUCCUUGACAGAUAAUUUUGCAAGUAGCUGUAGCAUAUAUCGUAUCAAUGGGUUUGAUGUGAUUGAGACGGCCGGCCACUUUGUGAGCUUUUCUGAAAUGAUGGGAGAGAGGAACCUGAGAUGGGAGUAAAUUAAUUGGAGACCAAAGAAAACGCUUGGACAAUGAGAUCACCACACACCUUAUAUUGAAAAAAAUCUUUAUGUUUUUCUGAGCACCGCCUAACUAAAAGCUCUUAGUUUCAUAGCUCAUCAUUUUAGUCAUCAGGUGGAAUCAGAAUGCAUAGAUGUUCUUUUUGAAGGAUUAAAGUAGCAUUAUAAAACCCUUUUUUUUUUUAAUUUUUUACAACGGGUAUAAGCUCAACAAAAAAAAAAUUACUUAAGAAUAUUACACGAUCACAAGACCUCAGAUAUAUUUACAAGGCUAAAUUUUGUUCUUGAUCCCUAUGGUGAGACACUAUUUUUAAAUCGACCUCUGUGGUGAAAAAAGUGUUAAUCUUAACCUUGUGGUGAAGUUUGUUAUCAAUCGUAGUCUAAAUUGAAAUUUCUAUCAAAAUCCCAUCCACGUGCAAGGGUAAAAAGGUCAUUCCAUUUCUUUUUUUCUUUUCUUUUUGGUAAUUCCACUUUUAUAUGAUUAACAAAAAAAGAAGAAAUCCCUCCCCAAUCCCUACCCUUAUCAGCCAUAGCCACAGCGACCAUCCACCACUUUUCCCCCUCUCUCUCACAUAACCCUAGCCAUCCCGUCCACCAUUGUUCUUUUUAAAAUGAAACUAAAUUCAAUGUUUGCAUAAUAAUUUAUAUUCUAACCUAAACGUGCGUGGCGAGGUACUUUGUGAUUUUUUAAACCUUGAAUUUGGACUCUUGACUCUCUGGAAAUGAGAAAGUCUGAUAAUAUGAACCUUGUAAUUUUAUUGUUUAUUUAUUCUUUUAUUGUAGCUCUAAAAGUUUUAAAAAUAAAAUUUUUUGUGUAUGGCACUUUAUGAUUGGUUGAUGGAAUCAAUGAAAACGAAAAUAACAAUUUUGCCCCUACAAAUGAUAGAAGAAUGAGGAAAAAUCCAAUUUGGACUAUGAUUGAUAACGAAUUUCACCACUAGAUUACAAUUAAUAGCUUUUUCACCACAGAUGUCUAUUUAAAAGUAGGGUAUCACCACAGGGGUCUAUUUAAAAGUAGGGUAUCACCACAAGGAUCACAAAAAAAAAAAUUUGGCCUAUCUGCAAAUAGUAACCGACGAUAAAGAGGAGUUUGCUAAAAUUGACUAGACCCAAGUUGCAUGACAAACCCAAAAGAGACAAAUCAUUAGCAACUAAAUUCUUUUCAUGGUAAAUAUGUUGAAUUUUACAAGACCAACCUUAGUGCAUAAGAGUACAAAAAUCCAAUACUAACCUUUCCAAAAAGUAAUUAUUUACUUUUGCAUUUAAAAUCAAUUGUACUCCAAGUCCAAAACUAUAUUAUGUAAUGGUAUUUCAGAUAAUACACCAAUGUUUUAUAUUUUAUUUUUUGACAACUCGAAUACAACGUAGCACUCGUACACUUCAAAUGACGUGGUUCAUCAUAAAUCAAACAAUUACUUCCCUUUUUAAAAUUGAAUAUAGGUUUUUUGUCGUUGUUUAAAAAAAUUGAAUAUAGUUGAAUUGUAAACUUAAAGUUUGAGCUUUAUAAUUAAUUAAUAUUAAAAGAAAUUUUUUGAAAUGUCGUAUGAAUUUAUAUUCUAUUUGUAAUUUAUCAUAUAAACUAAAAAUUUAAGUGAUUUGUCAUAUCAAGUUUCGAAAAUCAUUAAUUUGUCUUUUCACCCUAACUACCCCGUUAAGUUUUCCAAAAUAUGCCAUGUGCAAAUAUGCCAUGUGCAAGGUACAUGACUUACUCUAAGGUUAUUUCGGAUAUUUCAACUCCCUACUCUGAUCCUCUUCAAGAUUAUUUUGGACAUUUCAACUCCCUUUUUUAAUGAACAUGGUUGAUCAUGUUGUAUUCUCGAAGUUUGUAAUUAGUUCAACUCCAUGUUAAUGAGCCUAAUGUACUUUUUUAGUCGUUCACCAUAAGUUUAUAAAAGGAACAUUACAUUUUUUUAUAUACCAAAAGAUAAGUAGAGAACUUAUAAAAAUGAAGUCGAACAUUGAAAACCAAUUUAUCACCCACCACUAGUAUACAUAUAUCUUUGUAUAAAAAUAAUAAUUAAAUAAACUUAUGAAAAUUGUGGUCAAAGUCCAAAAUAACCUUCUUUUGGAUAGAAAACUAACAGAUUUAAUUUGAGAUGACAAAUUAAUAAUUUUAAAAAUUUCUAUGAUAAAUUGCUUCAAAUUUUAGUUCAUAUGACAAAUUUAAAAAAUGGUAUUACAUUUCAAAUUUUUCCCAAGUAAUACAUACAUACAUACAUACAUACAUAUAUAUAUAUAUAUAUAUAUAUAUAUAUUCACAAUAAAAGCAAAGAAAAUGAAGGAUGUAAAGAAUGAAAAGCUAAACAAGAUUGGUAGAGAUAAAUAAUUUGUACAUUAAUUAGUUAAGAAUAUUCUUUAUCAUGUUCAAGUUCAAUUCCCCUCUCUAUUAUUCAUUGUAGUUAAAAUAAAAUAAAAAGCUAGAUAGAAUAGAUAAGGAAACUUCAUCGUCAAAAAUAAAAUAUAAAAGAUAUUGCUACCUAGUUCGGUAUAAUUUCUAUUGGAAGUGCUAAUAACAGUUCCCUUUCUAUUUAGUCAUGAAAGGUUAUGAUCUCAACUUGUGCAAGUUAUAUGUAGGAAUAAACUUUCACAUUGUUAUAAGUUAUAAUUUUUCUAAGUCUCGUCUUAAGAAACUUGCCUCCAAAAAGUAAUGAUUGUUAAUAAGUUUAAAAAUAUGCAACGUCACAAAAAUAAAAAUUUAAGAUGAAACAAUAUAUUUCUCUAAAGUUGUAUGGGACAAUGAUUUUUUCCUAUGAGUUGGUGUUAUGUCUUUUUGUUUGUGAGUACGUAACAACUCGUCAACAUAAGCACUUUAUUGUUGAAGGCAAACUAUUUCUUACUUCUCAAGCAUGUUUACGACUUCUUGGCAUGAAACUUUUGACAUUAUAGAGAACACCACAUACGUAUAUACAUGCAAUAGCUAUUAAAGACUUUUUUAUUUUGAUAAAUAAAAUAUAUUGAUGAGAAAAAGAGAAUACAAGCAGCAAAGUGUAGUUGAAAAUACAAACAGCAACAAAGAGCUGCAACUAAAAGAAAAACAGACAGUAAAGUUAACAAUGCUACGUCAAAGCAGCAAAAAUAAGCACUAACUAUUCAUAGUUAUAUUCCAUUCCCGUAAAGUAGCGUCAUUAGCAGUGGAAUGUGCGAUUUUCCAAGAACUCAAUCGAAGUCUAAUGGUGGACUUAAUUGAGUUGAGAAUUGUCACGCCCUGAUCCUGACUUACGUCCAAGAUCGACACGUGACGUCCCUAAAUGCUCGUAACUCAACAUCCACGCCUUUUGGAUAUGUACAAAAUAUAAUUCAAGAUCCAGAUGCAUAAUAAUUUUGCAUAUACUUUAUGGCUGCAUUUAACCUCUUCGUUAGACUGCCUACGUACCCUCAAUAGGGAUCAAGGCAUUCAUAGUUCAACUUUUCACUAUACUCGAAUAUUCAUCACAUAAACUGCCAUAUUUCAACAUAAUGCACAAUUCAGAGCAUGCAACAUCUCAAGGAACAAUCGAUGAGGCGCAAUAAUAAUCUAUAGCCAUAUUGGUCAACGGUACAUCAUAAUCAUAACAAUUACAUCCAACAACAUCCAAUAAUCACACCAAAUAAUAACCCAUACAACACACUGACAUGCAGGGCUAGAGUAACACAGUUCGGCCGAAGCCUACAUCUCUAAAGCUGAAAUCAAAUCCAAGGAACCAAAUCACCAAAGGGAUUCCAGACCACUCAACGAAAUCAAACUCAGGAUACGAUUCCGGACCAUCACUCAACAGAAUCGAGUGGAAGACCAAGGGAUACAACAACGCCUUGAAGAAACAAUACAAGAACCAAGUACUUAAUUUAAAAGGGCUAAAUGGCACAAAAAGUGCAAUAAGGAAACAAGAUAUGAAACAAGUGUAUAAGUAACAAACCCCAUGACAAUAGGUUAACGGUCCACUACUAGCCCUCACAUUUCAUCACAUCAAUCCAAUCAUAAAAUACAAACCAUAUUUCCAAAGCACAAGUCAAAUCAUACUUAAUGAAAAUAGAUCGAUGGCUAGAAAUAAAAAUAACACUUCAAUAGAAUUCACAUUCAAUAAAUAUAGGUCGAUGGUAUGUGUGUGUGUGUGUGUGUGUGUAUAUAUAUAUAAUUCACAUUUCAAUAGAAUUUCAUUUAUAACCCUUAUCAUAUUCACAUAUGAUAUUAAUAUAAGAAAUCAAGGUAAUAGCUAUAUCACAUAUAUUCAAGUCACUCUCAAACCAAUGUGGUCCCACUAGGCUUCACUUAGUAUCCCGUGGUACUAGAUUUAGUAUUUAGAACGUUUCGAGACAUGUUGACCAAAAGUCAACUCUUGGUCAACGGUAGGGUCCAUAACCCUACGUAAUUCGAUCCGGAAGAUCCGUUCAUCGGAUUUCCGAUCCAUAACAUCCCAAAGUCCACAUUAUGCUCAUAGAACCACAUACUAAAUUCUCAUCGCGAUCAAACGGUCGGAUCUCCACCAAUCGCUAGAAUUAAGUGGUAGUUAACAAUUAAUUUUACUAACGUAGAAAUCUAAUUCGGGAAGAUCCGUAAGUCGGAUUCCCUAUCUGUCAAUUCUAGCUAUCCUCAAAUAUUAUGUUCUAUAACGCAUUAAGGUUUGGUGACGAUCCAACGGUCGGAUCAUUGAUUCAUACUUUAACUAAGGUAUCGUAAUGAAACUAAGUCCAAACAAUCAAAUUACGUCAUACAGAUAUCAAUUAUGAAAUCAAGGCAUCUAUUUGAACUUAAAAGGACAUCGUCAGCCCACUGGCUAGGCCACCGCCCCACGCACCGCUGCGGGUGGUGGUCGGCCGCCCCGACUUGCCGGAAAAUUCAACUAUUUUUUAAAAUUACCAAAAUUUACAGAAAUGAAGAUCUCAAUGAGUAGAACAAGUUUUAUACCUUUGGACAAGUCCAAUUUGGCCGGGAAAAGCCCCAAAUUCACUCAAACCCCCCGAAAACCCUAAUAUGGGUGUUCUUCGAUUCGACUUCCUCAAUGUUCCAAUGCCCCUACAACUGAUUGGGUCUUGUUCCUAGGUCCAGGGGGAGUUGAUUAAGGGUGGUGGUGGGUGGUGAAACUCGCCGAAAUGACGAAACACCGACGAAAACCCCCGGUUUCUUCGGCGGAGUUCUAACCGAAAUAGGCCUUAAAACAUUUGAUUUUUGGGCAUAAGAGGUAGAUGGAAGGUGGUGUAAGAAGUUACAAGUGAAGGAGGGAUGAAACUCGCCUGAAAAAAUGGUGGAUUUGGCCCGAAAUUCAACCGGGUUGGGUGCGGGUAUAUGGGUCACAGAAAGGGUUCGGGUUGGGUGCUCUGCACUCCUCCCCUUUCUCUCUUUUCUUUUUUUUUCUUUUUUUUUUUCUGAUUGGCCUCCCAUGUUCCUUCCUUUCUCUCCCGCAACCCCAUUCUUUUCCUUCUCUCUUCCCUUUUUCCUUCUUCCCCCCGUUUGUCCCUCAUUUUCCUCUGUUUCUUUUCCCUCUUUUUCUCGCCACUCCUGUGGCUUUCCUUUUUCUUUUUUUCCUUCAGCCACUCCUGUGGCUUUUUCUUCUCUUUUCAUUUUUUUUUGGCAACAACUUCAAACGUCCGUAACUAUACCGUUAUAAUCCAGACUCGCAAACGGCUUUCGCCUAUGCGUUCGUGAUCUUGAUAUCUAUUCAACAAUAUAAAUUGUGACCUCGAAUGGUCUACGGAUUUUAAAUAAUUAAUUUCUCGAAAAAUAAUAUAAAAUCUCUAUAAUACCAAUACGUAGAUUAUAAUAAUGAAAUCCAGGACGGGAUUUCACAAGAACCAUCGCAACAGGUUGACAUGAGUUCUUGAAUCUACGGUUGUUCCGCUCCUUCCAAACAUAAUACAUUGUAACAACAAACUUAACUUCAAAACUAUCGAAGAUAGAGAUUUUCCCUUGCAACGGUUAGUAGCCCGCAUUACAAAAAGAGGCCAAGGGAGCCUUAGCCAAGGGACACCGCACUUGAAUAGAACCGAAGACCAAAUACCAUCGGUAAAAGGACAGUCAAAGAAGAGGUGGCAAUGGGACUCCGUAGCACUAGAGCAGAGUAUGCAAGUGACUGGAACUGACUGAGCAAAAGUCAAAAUUCUAUCCAUAGUAAAAAGCUUGCAUUUAAUAGCCAACCAAAGAAUGAAGCUCAUGUUAGGAAUAUUUUGAUUAUACCAAACAAGCUUAGACCAACCUACCAUAGGCUUAGAUUGCUGAAACUUAUCCUAAGCAGAAGCAUCAAAGUAGAUGCCAGACCAUGAAGGUGUCCAUCGAAUCAUAUCACCCAAGCUACAAUUUGGCACAAUAUUAGACAUAGAAAUUUGAAUUUCCAACAACUCAUGAGAAAAAUUAUUAGGCCAACACCAAUUAGAACCAUUCUAAAUAUUGCAAACCAAAGCAGUUUUUGGAAACCUAGACUCAGCAAUGAUAUGGCAACCCCAAUUGAUAACAAGAGGACCUAAAGGAUGCCAAUUAUCAUUCCAAAGAGAUGGUCCCCUACCGUCUCCAAUUUAGUGGAAGAAGAAGAGCCGAACAGAAUCUCUCAAUCGGAGAAGCUUCCUCCAAUUCCACAAGUAGUUUUGGGGGAUCUUAAUUGGCCAAAAGUUCAUAUUUCUCGAAAGAUUGAUUCUAUCCCAGACAGACCAAAUAUUGUCUUCAUCGAUAAGCAAGUUCCAGAUGUGUCUAACCAUAAACGCUUUAUUCUAGUUAAUCAAUUUUUUAAUCCCAAGACCUCCUUUAGAUUUUGGAAAACACACAUCAUCCCAAGCAACUUUAGCAACACAAUGACUAGAAAGCUUACCAGACCAUAAGAAUUUUCGGACCCUUUGCUCAAUAUCGCAAAGAAUUUUCUUGAGCAUGAGGUGUGAGGCCCAAAAAACUUGCAUACUACAAAGAAUAGAUUGAACAAGUUGUAAACGACUGGCAAAAGAGAGGACCUUGUUCUCCCAAGGUCUAAUUCUAGCCUUAAUGUGCUCGAUAAGAAUGGAGCAAUCUUGCAAAUUAAGCUUUGUUGAAAUGAAAGGCACACCAAGGUAGCGAAUAUGCAAUAUUCCUAUGGGAAAAUUGAAAAGAAGCAUAAUUCUGGAAUGCUCAACUUCAUCCACGCCCUCAAGAAAAAUGGAGCUUUUAGUUGGAUUGGCCUUAAGACCAGACAAAGAAUUAAGAUGCAUAAAGAGUCCUUCAAGAUCUUAGCUGAGUGAUAAUCCCUUUCACAAAACAUAAAGAGGCCAUCAACAAAACAAAUAUGAACAAACUGGACUGCCUCACAGUGCCAGUGGUAUCUGAAAAAAAGGCUAGCAUUUAUAUUAGAGGUAAUUAAUAAAGAAAGCACCUUCACCCCUUUCGGGGGUGGGGGCUAUUAAAGAGGUGUCUAUUUGUUUCCAUGUCUACAUCUUAGAAUUUGACACGCUAUACUACUAAUGCGGUUCUUUGUAUCCAUACAACUAGUUGAAAAUAAAGGAUUUGGGAUAAAUUAGAAUUCUCUACAAUCUCAAAAUUCUCAAAUACAACUUCAAUACUUUAUUCUUCUCUACAAGGAGGUAUUUAUAAGAUUACAAAUGAGCAAUACUAAGAAAUAAAACAAAACAAUCCCUUGUCUACAAGACAAGGAAACGUAAACCAAAUCAAAUCAUAUCAAAUCACUAAUUAAAUCAAAUCCACAAAACACUUUCCUUUUUAUUUUCCAACACCCCCAUCAAACUCAUGAUGUGAAAUAAUGAGUUUGCUAAGAGGGAAAUAAGAUCUAAUUUGAAACUCUGUAAAUUCAACACCUUCCUCAUAUGGGACUACACAUUAAGUGAGCCACAUAUACAAAAAUCUUCACUGAUACGCUAAAACUAAUGUCAAUCUUGUUUGAAAGCUCAACAAAUCACAAUUUGUCAGAACUAACGUCUCUUUUCGAUUGCCCAGUUGUAACUAUCACCAAUCUUUUCAAAAACCCAACUAGAACAAAUGCCUCUUUUCGAAAUCUGACUAUCAAAUCAUAAUCCUCGGAACUAAUGUCUCUUUUCGAAAGCCUAAUUGGAAGUAAUGUCUUUUUUCGAAAGCCCGAUAAAUAAAUCUCUUGAUAUGUUCAAACUAACGUCUCUUUUCGAAAGUCCAAUUGAAACAAACAAUAAUAUUUUCGAAAGCCCAACUGAAACUAUCGCCUCUUUUCGGAAGCUCCAACCACCAAAUCUCUUUUUCCUUUUUUAUUCUUGUUUUUUUUUUCUUCCUCAAGCUACCGACAACACAAUUUUUUCUUCUUUUUUCCUUCACCAUGGCAGCGGCAAUACUUUAACUUUUAUUUUUCUACUAACAAUCGUAGACAAUCUUCACCCUCAGGUUCAUGGCGUGUGGGUGCACAAAGAAAGUUAGCUAGCUUCGUGCACCCACAAGGAAGUGCUCACAGCAAAGUUCAACCAAGAAUCAAACUCUGCUCUAAUAUCAAGUUGAAAAUAAAAGGUCUAGGAUAAAUUAGAAUUCUCUACAAUCUCACAAUUUUCAAAUACAACUUCAAUACUAUAUUCUUCUCUAUAAUGAGGUAUUUAUAAAAUUACUAAGGAGCAAUACUAGGAAAUAAAUCAAAACAAUCCUUUGUCUACAAGACAAGGAAACCUAGACCAAAUCAAACAUAUCAAAUCACACUCUUCUCUAUAAUGAGGUAUUUAUAAAAUUACUAAGGAGCAAUACUAGGAAAUAAAUCAAAACAAUCAUUUGUCUACAGGACAAGGAAACCUAGACCAAAUCAAAUCAUAUCAAAUCACUAAUUAAAUCACAUCCCUAAAACACUUUCCUUUGUAUUUUCCAACACAGCUUUCACUAUGAAUAACUUGGUUAAAAAAAAAAAAACAAAUUUAUAGUUACAUUUCUAUUAAGUAAUAAACCUCUAUAUAGUUAUAAAAUUGAUUUGAUUUUGACAUUAUAACAAUAUAAAAGUUUGUGUAAAAGAGAAACCAAAGGAAAGAUAAGUGAGAUAUUCCUCAUCUGUUGACAACUACGAAGGUUUGAUUCACGGCCAGUUUGACUAUUAAACGGACAUACAUUUUUGUGCCCCAUCGGUUUAACCAGUUUGGAACACUCAAUUCACAUGUACAUAUAUUUCCAGUAGUCAUGAAAUCACUCCGUACACCGACCUUUUUUUUGUGCGAGUUUUGAUUAUACAAUGGAUCCGGUUCUCAGACCAAACAUUACACAGCAUGUGAACAGCAAUUGCAAAUAAUGACUUUUGGAACUCUGCGUAUCUAAAGUGGGGACCAAACAAAUUCGAAUGGGAUUUGAUCAAAUAAUGAUGUUUCGAACUUUAUUGUUUAUGCAGAAAAGCCACUGGUUGCGAGCUACAACCUCUCAAAUUCUUAUAAUUUGUUUGAAGCUAGAUUUAUCGUCCUCACCUGGAUCAGAUAAUCAGUACCUCCAUGGCCGGAUUUGUGCUCACUUUCGUCCGUGGAAGGACGUGCUCACGUAUGUCCGGGGACGGAUAUAUGAUUACUCAUGUCCACGGACGAAUCGCUUACUUGUGUCUGUGGCUCUACUCACCUACUUGCGUUCCAGGCCCCAAGUGCAUAUGUGGUCCGAUAGAAAGUUGACUGAGAUAGACAAAAUAUGUGCAUGGAAAACAAGAGUUUUGACCAAUGGCGCUACCAAAAAGGAAGUUAACACCGAAACUUUAUGUCUCCGGUUGAAAAUAAGAGAUCAGAUCAAAAAAGUCACACUUGUAUUAAAUUGAAGGCAAUCAAGGGUGGUUUGCGCCUAAAAGAGGGAAAUAAACUUGUUUCUCCAGCUUCAACUUGUAUAAACGGGACGAACAAGCUCAUUGUCAAGAGGCAAGCACCGAUACAACAACUCAUCUUCUUAUUUUCUCAACAACCUGUGUGUACUUAUCUUUAUUUUUUUUGUUCGCAAUGUAAAAAUACGUAGCUUACAUUUUCAAUUAUGUAGUGUAACUUGUUUUUUUUUUUUUUUUUUAAUAACUAAAUUUAUUUUGCUCACUCCAAAUUUAUGCGCUUUAGGUUUUGAGACCAAAAUAAAUUCUCGUCCGCACAAAUAGUAGGACAAACAGUCUCAAAAUUCUCGUCCCGAUCGUCAUGUGGCCGGAACGAUUUUGAGACCGACAUAAAUUCUACUUAUUAUCAUAUAAUUUUAUAACAAUUGAUAUAUGUUCUUUUAGGAAAAACUUUACGCUCUUUUCGUUUGAACACAUAUUAUGUAGUAAUAAAAUCUCAGUAUAGUAGAACAACUCGAAAUUGGAAAAUUUUAUUCAACCUCACAUUUUGUAUCUCUACACCCAACUUACUAUUUACACCCAUAUUCAAAUUGAUUUAUCUAUAGUACUGUUAUUUUCAUUCCAGUGUCUUAUCUCUCCAUCCACUUUUUUAAUAAAUUUUUUAUUAUAAGUUUACUUAUUUGUAAAAUGACUAAUAAAGAUCUUAAAAGAAACAUAAUAACAAGGGUAAUUCUAUUAACACCCUACAAUCUUAUGAAGGCACCCCACACCUUAAUUUUUUCACUUAAAUUUCCUCCUUUACCCCUAUUUAAUUUAAGUUAGUAGACAAAGAGAAACCCCCAGCCACCUAACUACUCCUUGCCGGUGGCAGCGUACCUCAUGCAAACAGAGGCAAAAAAGCCCAACCAAUCGUAAUUUCUCAUCAUGAUAGCACAACUCUCUCUCUCUCUCUCUCUCUCUCUCUCUCUCUCUCUCUCUCUAUUGCAUUUGCAUCUGAUACUCUAGAAGAAAUGUCUUGCUUUUUUUUUUUUUUUUUUUUUGUGUUCUUUUGAGAGUGAGAGACAAAGAGGGGCCACGAUGGGGUGGCCUGCGUGGGACGACGACUUCAAUGACGAAGGUGAUAAAGGUAAAGGAGUAUCCAGGUUGGUGAGUCAAAGUGUUGGAUUGUAACCAAAGAAAUUGGAAUUUUUUACCGAUGUUUAUGGAGGUAAUCAAAUAUACUUGGUUGUCAAAUUGGGGCUGCCAAGUGUGCUUUUUGUUAUUUGGAGUGGGGAUGUGGGGUGGCUUCAGAAGAAAGAGGGACAAUGUUGGAAUUUUUGAGAAAGUUUUUUAAUGUGGGGUGUUUUCAUAAAAUUGUGGGGUGUGUAUAAAAUAACCCUAAUAACUAUAGGUUGCGGGCGACAAAGUAACAUGAGCUCUAAACUUACAUUGGGUUGUGAAAGGUAAAAAGCUAGCGAUGGAUGAUAAUUGGAUAUUGAUGACAAUUAUUGGAGUGCAUAAUCACAACAACAGAGCAUUUGGAGGGUUAUUCAUUCGAUGAUAGAUUAUCGUUUGACGAGAUUUUGUUGUUGGGGAAAUAGCAUUUAAAUUUUUUAGGAAUAACAGUAGGUGGGGCGUAGCAUAUAAUUUUGCAUUUUGUAUUUUUUUUUAAUAAAUUGUAAGAGAUUUAUUAAAUACUUAGAUAAACACACAUUUUAUGCUUAUUUUUCAUGUUUUGAUUAUGUUUUAAUUCUCUCCAAAUCACAAAUGGUGUAUUGAUAAAUUAAAUUUUUUAAGUUAAACACAGUUUGUCCUUUACGGUAAUGAAUUUUCAUGCCGACACAUGGGUUAGUACAACAACAAUGUAACUCUAAUCAGUUGGUGCCAUUUGUGGCAAUUUCAACAAAGUCUAAAAGGGCAUCUGAUGAGACCAUGGAAUGAGCUAGCACGCCUGGACUUAGACUUUGACAGAUGACUUCUUGCCUGACAAUUACCAUAAAAUCAAAAAUGGAGCUGUAGAACCUUUUUGGUUUUGUGAGCUAAAAUUACUACACAAAGAAGGCCUAAAGCCCCCAAUUAAAUGAUUGAAAAAAGAACAAAAGUGUGUUGGACCACAAUCAUUGAAUAGAAUUCACAUAGGAAAGAUGCUUAAGGAGUAAGGACCAUGUAUUCCUUUCAAGACUGUCCUUUUCAUGAGCAAACUCUGUAGGUUCAGUUUUUGCUUUUGAAUCAUCCAAUGGGAUUUCUCUCUCUUGUUGGAGGUCAAGGUUGGAAUAAGGUUGGCUUGCCUGUUAAUAGCAAGAUGAGUUUCUCUAUUUACAUUUUUUAAUUAGAAAACUUCAUUUUAAUCCCUAAAUAAGAUUACUUUUUCAAUAAUACCGUAUGUAAGAUUAAAAACUAAAAAUAGUCCUCCAUGUCAGAUUAUAGUAUUCCAUGUCACAUUCAAUCAUUUUUUAAUAAAUUUAUUGCAUUUUUAGUUUCCCUAUUUACCCUUAUUACUCUCUUAAAACCAAUUAGAGAAACAAAUAUAUAAUUAAUUUUUCAAGAAUGCUUAAUUAACUAGAUCCAUAAUUAACAUGUUUGUUAUAACAUAAAUCUCCAUGUGUUAUUCCAAUCAAAGAACCCAGAAAACUCAGAAACCAUGAUCAAACAAAAAAAGCCAUAAAACUUACAAACCAAAAAUCUUGUUGUAUUCGGAAGAAAGAAGAAAAAUGGGCUUUUAGAUGCCAAAUUGACUGUGAAUCCAGAGAUAAAUGAAAAAAAAAUACAAAUUGAGAAAAUAGAAUGUGAAAUCACAACUUAAUUGACCGUACCAAAUUAAUCGGACAUACACUAUAUAGUACCUAACCGACCAUACCGAAUGGAUAAGACCUAAUUGAUAGUACCUAAAUGAUUAAGGUGAUUCAUAUAGGUACUAUGAUUUAGGUGCAUUCAUAUAGGUACAUGAUUUAGGUGCAUUCAUAUAGUACCAUAGGUGCAUUCAUAUAAGUACAUGAUUUAGGUGCAUUCAUAUAAUACCAUUGGUUUAGGUGCAUUCGACUAGGUUAUAUUGAUUUAAGACAUUAGGACAUGGUUUAAGUGCAUUCGAUUCAUGUAAAAUAUAUGAUUUGGCUAUUUAUAUUUCCUCUAGGCUUUGAAUGGUAUAAUGAAUAAUUUGAUUAGGUAUUGUUAAUUCUUGUACGUAUCACUAAUAUUUUUUUGAAUUAUGUUUAUCAUUUUAGAAAGUCAGACAAUAAUCAAUGCCAAAAAAUAUGGAGCAAAUUAAAAUCAAAUAUUUAAUAGGGCAUUAUAGGAACAAAAAACGCAUUAAAUUUUAAAAACAAGAAAAAUAAAUUUUAAUAUUUAUGCUGACAUGGAAAUUUAGUCAAAGGACUAUAAUGAAUAUAUAAUCUAACAUAAGGUUUUAAUUGAAUUUCAAUCUUUAUCAAGGAUUAAAAUGAAGAAACCCCCUUUUUAAUUCUCAACAUAGUGAACACACUCUCAACUAUUAAAGCCACAAGUCCCUCGCUUCCUUUUCUUCUUCAUGCAAAUGAUAUUUUACUUUACUUUAAUUUAAAUUACCAAGAAAAACAUUUGAAUUUUGAUGCAUAAUAAGAAGCACACCUUAACUACAAUAAAUUUUAAAGCACUUGAAAGUCUUUUGGUAGUUUACCAUUAUACCAUAUGUGAAAAUAGGGCAGGAAAUGUGUUUCAUGAUGUGGAAUUCAGAACCCAAUAAAUAUUUUGGUGAAAACCCAAAACAAUCUAUAAGGCCAUCUCCAACUAAAAGGGUUAAAUAUAGUCCCGUCUAGAAUUAUAGCCCUGCGAAAAUUUAUUUUUAAAUGAACUGUGGUAGGUCAUACUCAUAUAUUAUCUCCAACUGAGGAGGCUAGAUUAACAUAGCCCUCUCAAUAAUUUAUUACUAUACUUUAAUUUUUUUGAUUAGUUUAAUUAAACUACUGUUGGAUGUUUUCAAAUCUAACUAUUGAAUUUGAAACAAUUAUUAUAAUUCAGCAACUGCCCCCCCUGCCCCCACAAAAAGGGCUAUGCGGAGGGCUACAUUUAGCCAGCCUAAUAUCCUUUUGGCCAAAUAAUGGCCUAGUGGGCUCCAUAAAAUUAUAGCGCAACUAUCGGUUGUAUAUAAGUUCUUGAGAAAAUCUGAUCAUUUUUUAGCUUUCGGACAUUUAAUCCCUUUUUCUUUAAAAUAAAUCUCCAAUGAAGGCCAAGAGGAAUCUACCCAAAAAGAUUGAGGGGCCGAAUUCUUGGGAGCUUGCUACAUUUGGCCCAUUUGGUAGGAAUGGGUUACCACUGUUCAUGGGUUCCAUGAAAUACAAAAGCAGCCUGGACAACACAAGAUGUCGAUUGGUGCUGUGGGUUGCAUGUUUUGUCAUGCACCCAAAUUGUUUUUUCCACAAGAUCAGGCACACUAUUAAAUCCAAUGGUUCAGAUAAAAAGAUAUGUUAUGCAGCAUUGGAGAAGAAAAAUUAUAACCAUGCACUAAUCAUUUAUAAUCUAUAUUGUUAGUGUGCUAUUAAGAAUGGUGACUUUAUGUAGCCAAACCAUUAGAUAUGGCCUAAGUAUAGGGCUCUUAGCUCAAUCCAUUGUCACCUAAUGCCCCACCUCCCUUCUUCCCUAAAAAGAGUCCUCAACCUAGUCCUGCUUGAUAUGCAGGAGAAUGAGUCUAAUGCAAUGCUAAUAGCGAGUUUUAUUCCCACAUUAAGGAUCGCAACUUUCGGCGGUCCCUCGGUCUAUGAUCUUGUAUUUUCAUUCUUUUCGUAUUAAGUCGUGUAUGCCUUAUCCUAAGCUUGGAUUUUAAGAUCUAUUAGAAACCUAGGAUGGGCUUAGUUUGAGGGCAACCAGGCACUGCUAUUAGUAGUCUGGUAAUAAUGGGCCUAUAAUUCACAGAGGCAUGAAUUGGGUCAAUGCUAGGCUUCACUAGAAAGCUAGGUUUUUCAUCAAAUAAGGACGCAUAAUGUGGGCUUCACUUUUUGAUCUGGUAGUGUUGGUUUAGUUUAGUUUUAUGUUUGGGCUUUGACCCAUUAUUGUACUCCCACCAAAAGUAGUGAUAAGUAGACUAUAGUUUGUUCCACAUGCUAAAAAUAGUUGAAAAAUGCUCUAAUAUACCGCUAUUAAAAUUCAAAACAAUUGGAAUACAACUUAAGCAAGUAACGUAUUCAAUUUUUUUUCCUCCAAGGCAUUCAUUCACGUUGAGCAUGUUGUAGAAUACAGUCCCAUAUCAGACAACUAACAAAAUAAUAUACAACUUAUAUAUGAGGUUCACUACUAAAUAUCAUUGUGACUUUUUGUAAUUAAUCUCAUUGAGUUAAGACAAUAUCAAUAAUGUGGUUGGUGGACCAAGUUAUUCUUGCGACACAUCUUGACCCUAUUUAUUUGGUUCGAGCUUGCUUCCUUAAGGGUAAUGACUGAAUGAUUGGGUCAUUAAAAAGAUUGGUGGUGCCUCCUGAUAGGAUUUUUACCACUUAUUUUCUACCACAUGCACAAAAAGGGUUAAAACACCUAAAAUACUUGCAAUAGAAACAAGAUUAUCGUCGCAUAGUUGGCUCUAGUAAGGUCAUUUUUCAUAGGGAUUAUUGUAAACAAUUUAUAUCUUAAAACCAAUUCGUACUACGAUCUAGUGGCACUACUAGAAAUUAUAAUUUUGCCAACAAAUUAUAAGCCGAAUACUCAUGCCAGAACCAAUUUAAUUUGUCGGCUGAAUACUCACGCCAUAACCAAUUUACAACGCCAAUCUUAGCUGAGAAAAUUGGAACAUUAGCCGAUGAUCAUUUUGUAGGCGUAAAUUCGAUGCCCUGACGAAUUUUGUUUUGACAGGUAAACUCUGGUGGGAACUGUUCCCGCUGUAUUGAAAUAUUAGCCGACGAUGUGAGGCAACAAAAUAUUUCAUCAGAAAAUUGAUAAGAGAGGCAACAAAGUGUGUCAUCGGCAAAUUGAUAAUAACUCUACGUGAUAAGAACAAACUUAUCAAAUUCCCAAGGCAAUCCUAACCUAUUUUGUCGGUUCACAUCCCCCAAAUGCUCAUGAUCUCCCACCCAUAUUCUUCCUAAUCCUAUUUUGUUGGUUCACAUCCCCCAAUUGCUCAUGUUCUCCCUCCCAUAAUAUUUCUAUUCCUAUUAUGUUGGUUCACAUCCCCUAAUUGCUCAUGAUCUCCCUCCCAUAUUCUUCGCUCUCACCGCGCCAUCCAAUUUCACUUUCGUAAGAAUUCCUAUUUAUCGUGUAACAACUUGGCAUGGUCUUUCCCACUCAGAAACAAUUUUGACGAUCCUAAAUCUCUUAAGUUUAUAUAUUGGAAUAAAAUCACACCUCAUUUUUUAUUUUGUCAGGUGAACUUCAACUUGGACACCAAUAUUAAAGAACAUUAUGACUCUAUUGAUAGACUCAUGUCUAGACGAUACAAGGAGUUCAAGUAUGAGUUACAUGUAUACUUUUUAGAGUGGGAAUUGGCUGAGGAGGCAAUGGAAAAUCCUUCGAAAGAGAUGGACUCAAGACCUGGGGAACCUGGAUAGUUGGAGUUUUUAUGCGAACAUUUUCAAUCAAAGAAGUUUCUGGUAUUGUUUUAGUUGAUUCAUGCAUGCAUUUGGUCUUACUUUUUUGUUAAGUAUAUGGCACUAGCUAAAAAACUGUUAUUGUGGUGAAAUAUAGAAACAAUUAGAGGGUAACAAAAAAAAUCGAGCCCAAAAGAAGUAUGAGCAUCACGCUGGUUCACGCCCACUUGCCUACAUAAUGGAGGAAUGUACAUAGGUUAAGCAAUGAAUGUUUUAAUGCUAUGUUUGUAGCAAAUUAGAAUUUGGCGUAUACGUUUUGAGUAUGAGGGAUAAGGACUUUUGACUAAAUAUAAUGUUUUGUUAUUUAAGAAUCUAGUUGCUAGCUUGAUCCAUUUUUAUGGCUACUUAAUUUCUGCCAUUUAUAGUUGAUCUUAUAUAUUGAUCAUUACUAUCUUUGAACCUAAACUAAUAAAUGGCAGGGGGGUUCCCAAUUCCCUGAGAUUGUUACCUUUGAGAUUGCUUAUGUCGGGAAGAACAAAAAAUGGACCAAUGAGACUGCCAAGUCCAAAUUUGUAAGUCUAAAAUUGUAUAUUUUUUUAGUUUUGCAUAAUAAAAGAAGCUAUAAAUUUUUAUGUGCUUCGAGAUGUCGAUACUAGAGAAUUAGAAUUUUAUGGAAUGUUGACUAGUGUCAUUGAAUUGUUAUAUAAGCAGGGGUAUAAACUGGUGUUACUUAAGUGCCACUGGUUCAAUACAUACCUUUCUAGAUAAGGGAGUAUGAAGCACGACUACCUCUUAAUAUCAGUCAACACAAACACUCGUUGGUAUGAUAAUGAUCCUUAUAUUCUUGCCACUUAAGCCAAGCAAGUGUUUUAUGUGGCUGAUCCUAAGGCAGGUAAUGGUUGGAAAGUAAUUCAAAGAAUUCAACAUAGAAAUGUAUGGGAUAUUCCGAAAAAGAGGGACUCCGAGGGUGAUAAUAGCAAUGAUGAUGUGACAUACCAAGAGAACUCUUCAUCAGACAUUCCCGAUACAGCAUAGGUAUAACACAAUGAUGAAACUUUGACUCUGUACUGCUUGGAAAACGUUCCUCCAGUUGCAGUUGAGAUUGACUCCAUCAUUACAGAUCUUGGGGCUCUUCCCUAGAAUUGAUGAAAAUGAAUUCAUUUACAAUUAUAAUGAAGAAAGUAGUACAUAUAAUGAUGACUACAUAAGCAAUGAGGAAAAUAGUACUCAUGAUGCUGAUAGUUCAAGUAGUACUAUUGAUGACGAUAGUGAUCUGGAUUAUUAGUAAGUCAGUAUUUAGUUUGCUCAUUGUGUUUUCAUCUAAAUAAUUUCGUCAUUUGUCUAUGCAUUUUCCUUACCACAUUAGUUUGCUAACUUAUUUGUUUGUUUUUGUAUUCGUUUUCCACGUUUUUAUUGGAAAAUGAAAUAAUUGUAUUUGCUUUGAUUGAAUCGCACUUGUAGAUGAAAAACAUGUUCUUGAUUGAACUAUUUCAUUUGGGUUUGAGUUUAUGAUCUAGGUUUCCAAUUUUUUAUUGAUUUGGGUAUCCAUUUGUAUAAUAUUGGUGAAAACAAUGUCCUUUGGCUUUAAUUCCAAAUUUCCAAUAUAAUUUUUCGAUAUUGUGGUUCAGGUUUGACAUAUUUGAUUUUCCUUUCUAUAACACUUGCAGGUUGUCUAUGCCUAAGUGGAAUUCUAGGCUAGAUAGCUUACAACUGGUAUCAGCCAGGCAUGGAGACCAAUGUGAGGAUCAUUCACGCCUGGUAAUUUUGAUAUUUGAGGAUUAAUUUGAUUAGUAGAUGUCUAUGUCUUCUUGUUUACAUUGAUAAAUAUUAUAAACAGUGGUGAAUUAGGAUGCUUUUGUAUAGUUUAUUUAUGUUUUCAGGUGCAUAUGCUUAUGUUCUAGAGUUAUAAUCUACUUAGCUAGGUGAUUGGUAUUGUUAUGUUUAUAUAAAUUAUAGACCCUUCAAGGAUUUAUAUCAUCUACUUAUGAUUUAAUUGCUAAGGCUACUACUCCUAGUCUCGAAAGUCUCUCCCUGUUUCCUUCUUUUUCUCUUGAAUAAAUGGUCAAAUCCUUGCUUGAAUAUGACUUCUCUAACUAUCACAUCCCAGUCUCAACUCCGCCGUAGCACGAUAUCAUCCGCUCUAGGCUUCCCAUUCCUUUACGGUUUUGUUUCUAGGAACUCAGACGAGAACUUCCCAGUGGGUCACCCAUCCUAGGUUACUCUUGCCCGAACUCGUUUAACUUUGGAGUUCCGAUGGAAUCCGAAGCCAGUGAAUUCCUAAAAGGCCUCGUGUUAUAGGGAGGGGAGCAAAUACAUAUAAGGCACAUCAAUCUCUCUCCGUUGGUUGACGUGGGAUCUUACAAUCCACCCCACUUAAGGGGAACCCGGCAUCCUCCCCAGCACAUCCGCACUGAAUGGCAGAGUGGCUCUAAUACCAAAUUGUCACAUCCUAGUCUCGACUUCGCUGUAGCAUGAUAUAUUGUCCGCUCUGAGCUUACCAUUUCAUCACGGUUUUGUUUCUGGAAACUCAGAUGGGAACUUCCCAGUGGGUCACCCAUCUUAGGAUUGCUUUUGCCCGAACUCGCUUAACUUCAGAUUUCCAAUGGAAUCCGAAGCCAGUGAGUUCCCAAAAGGCCUUGUGCUAUAAGGAGGGGAGCAUGUAAAUAUAAGGCACAUCACCCCCUCUCUGUUGGUCGAUGUGGGAUCUUACACUAACUCUUUCGUUGUUUGAAUUGGAAUGUUGAAGAUGUGGCACACCAAAACCAUAAAAAUAUGAAUUAUGAAACUUUUAGGAUAGUCUUAAACUCUUAUAGAAGCUUUACUUUUGCUUUGCACGUUUUCUUUAAUUAAAACUUGUAAACCCGAAAUCAACUUGCAAAUAAUGCGUAAGCUUAGCUGACAGACAUCCUGUACGAAAGUCGCUAUAACGUCUUCUAGGGAACUUGGAAUCACGAACCGUAAAAUUCCUUUGAAAGCUAACUUACAUAUCUUUUCAAUGGUAUAAGGCUCAACACCUGGUUCCUUCUGAGGAAGUACAAUUUAACUCAUAAAGUUGGCUAAUCUGCACAUAUAGUUCCUAUUCAUUUCAAUCGAACAAGUUCUCUGUUUUCUUCUUUCUUCAUCUUCACUCUUCAAACCUAAGAAAUACAUAAACUAAGUGAAAUAAAGAAAAUAUUGAAUUGCAUUUACAAGAUAACUUAGUAACAUAAUGACAUUAAAAUAGUAGUAAAGUAAAAAAUAACAAAGAAAAAAAAUUCAAUAUGUCCUAUCUCUACUUUCUUAUAUGACAUGUAAUAAAGACCAUAUGAUCAUGCUGCCUUGUUUACAAAGUGUGAGAAUCAUGUUGCCUUGCUGUUUAUAAUGUUCAUCUUGUUGUUUACAGUGAUGAAGGACAUAUAAGUAGUUGAUGGUAACUUGAUUAUUACCUGGUAUCUAUUAACCAUGUAAUUUUGCUAGGUUAUGAUGCUGCAUGGCGUUGGUAAGUUAACUUGAUUAGUAGAUAUCUUUAUCUUGUUGUUUACACAUUGAUGGUUUCAUAAGUUAUUUGUUUAGAAAUACCACACUAGUGUGGCCUUGCGUUUCCUUAGUGUCAAUGAUAUUCAGCACCCUUAACAUUUGCUAAUCAAGUUUUUUAAUUUGUCUUUCUUCUAUAGUUGUUUGAUACUGGAAUGUUUCAUGAUGAUCCUCACCGUUUCUCGAUUUCAUUAUGUUGCAUUUCAACGUGAUGAGGACUAUAGUGAGAAUGGUGAUACUUAAGGAUAUUUUAUCUAUAUUAUAGUAAUGUCGAAAUGAAAACAUAGAUAUUUUUGUAUUUUGUAACUGAACCGAAUUGUGAACCUUACAUUAGUUUAUAUUACAUGAAUUUUUGUGUUGUCCCUACAUUAAUUCUUCAUUCACGCCCCUUCUCGAUCUCUUAAACUUGCUUGUUUGUGAUGGUUAAAAAUAUUAUUAAAAAAAACAAAAUGCGAAUAAAAAUCAGAAAAUAUUGGACUUGACAUGUUUUGUCGGCACAAAAAUAAUUAGCCGACAAAUGUUUUUGUUCACAAAAGAUUCAACCAACCAAUUAUUUUUUCUACACAAGUAAUUUGAGCCAACAAACUAGUUUGGUGGCAUAGGACUUCGCAGCCGAAAAAUCAUUUUGUCGCCACAAGAUUACUCAGCCAACAAAAUGUUUCGUCGCGACAAGAUCACUAAGUCGACAAAUAACUUUGUUGCGAAAAAACAACCUGUGCUGACAAAAUACUUUGUCGCAACGUUGUUUUGGUGACAGGCAUAGUUUGACGGCUGAGAUUUGUUGCCUUAAAAAUGAGCCGACGAAAUAUCAAGAUUCGUUGGGAGAGAUCUUGUGCGACAAGCUUUUAGCGACAAAAUUGCCAACAAAUUUUUCAUUGGGAAAGGCUAUUUGCCGACAAACUAAUUUUGUCGGCAAAGUGAAAAUUUAUAGUAGUGUGGUAUUCCUCUUUACUUGUAAGCGAGAGGUCUUAAGUUCGAUUAUCGUCAAAGGCGAAUUCGAACAACUUUAUUACUAACCCAUUGUAAGUCUUAGCCCACUCCUCCACCCCCUUACUGUAGAUGAUUAAUAUCGUUUGUUCAGGAAAAAAAACCAAUUCAUAAUUAAUUAUUUGAAAACAAAGUUUAGGAAAGCUUGAUUUUAUAACGAAAUAAUAAAAAUAAAUUUUAAGGAAUCGGCAAUAUAUAGGAAAUAUAAACUCAAACAAAAUGGUUUUGAAAAUCAACUUAAAAGACGGUUCCGCCAUUACCUUAACAAUCCUAUAUAGUUCUUCCAAUUACUUAUGAAUUACUCGUGCAUAUUUUGAAGGUUAUGAAACAAAAUAAUUACCAAAACAUAUUAAGAAAAGGUACAACAUAUAAUAUAAAAUCAACUCAUCAACUCCAAUGAGGGAAUGAUAAAUGACUAGCUCUGGUAUAAUGAAUUGACCAGUUCCCACUGUGGGAAUUGGUGUCUCAUGUGACCCCGUGUGGGUCACUUGUGAGGGAGCGUGUUGGACAAUAGAGUCCUACAUAGGACAUAUAACAAAAUAAUAUACAACUUAGAUUUGGGAGGUUCACCACUAAAUAUCAUCGACGUUUUUUGUGGUAAAACUCAGUAAUAAAGAAAGAAGAAGUGAGAAUAGGAUUUGAGAAAUUGAACUCCAAAGAAUGCGUUUUCAGAAGAGGCAUGUAUACAAAUAUGCAAGAAGAGAGAACAAAAUAUGUUGCACAUGGACUCUUGAAGAUCAGAAAUUGCUUAUUUUCUAAGUGUUGGUGUUACUAAUUUCUUGAGCCUAAAAAUCUUUAGCACGUGGUCCCAUUUUAUUUUGUUCUUUUCUUCUCGGGUUUUCCUGGUUAUUAGCUUGGGUCACCUUGACGCUACAUAAAAUGGGAUCGAAGAGUGAAUUUUAUAUAAAACCUUCUCUGAUUUACAAAACCAUGAUUUCAAUUUGGUGUCGGUUGCUAAAUCCAUUAUUUAUUUUUUUCCAUAUAUUUUUUUCCAUAUAUCACAAAAAACCAAAUCUUUAAUUAUUGUGGAAAAAAAAAUAUCUGAAGUCGCAAAAUCUCGAAGGAUAUUGUGCCCCAUUGUUUUUUCUGAGAGGACCCAUUGACUUGCUUUUAGGUACCAACACAAAAUUCCAUAUGUUCAUGCAUUUUAGGUUCAGCCCCGACUUUCUUCUUUAUAUAUUAGUGUUUUUGCGGUUUAUUAAUCCAUGAUAUAUUAGUAAAUUGGAAUUAUCGUGUAAUGUUCUAUAGAUCUUUGCAGCAAAAUCUGUCCAUCUUAGUAGGGGACAUGAAAAUGUAUAAAAAGAUUGGUCUAGUUUGAUGCGGUUUUUUCCUUGUUAUAUUGUGCAUAAUAAGCAAUCAUACAUAUGAUAUUUAGAUUAAAAGAUAAACGUGGUGAUUGGACAUACUUACAAUGGUACUUUUAACAAUAAAUUUAUGCAACACAAGUAGAUUAAACAAAACUAGAUAUCAAAUUCAUCGCAAAUAUAUACUAUCUUCGUAUGCUUCUGAACCGAAAAUGAGACAUCAUUUAACCAAGUGAAGACAAUUUCUAUAGGGCCAAAGGUAGUAAGUUUUGUUUCUUACAUCGUCUUUCAUUUCGUCCUCCUCCAUUACCAUCAUCUUUUCUCGCCAGUUUUCAUCUCAUUUCAUCCCAUUUCCUCUCAUAUACUUCAAUUUAUCUAAAGUGUGGAAGCAAAUUUCUGCCAUCUUCUCUUUUGACGAAAAUGCACCUGCAAAAUAAUAACAUCUAAGAUUAAGGCUAAAAGCCUCAUGCACCUACAAUGAAUGGGGGGCUUUGGCUGAAGAAUCUUUGCUGCCAAAGUUAGAAUUCUAAAAAGAUUGUAUUUAGAAGUUUGUGGGUAGCAAAUAGCCUAGCAUUUUAAUGGGAUACGAGCGGUAUUUAUAGGAGAGUGGUAGGCCCUUUGGUUGGAGAGUGGCCGGCCAUAUAUGGUGUAAUUAGGUGAAUAAUUGCAAGUCAUUAUGUGGAAUAAUAUCUUGCAAUUAACAUGUCAAUUAUUCCUAAUUUAAAUAAGAAGUUUUUGGAGUUACCUUUUGAAUAAAAUCAAUAAGGGAUUGAUGAGGAGGGAUGAGAGGAAUAUGAAAUAAAUUCCAAAUUGAUCACCUCUAACUAUUCCUUGAUUGAGUCAUUAUUGUCCAUUGCAUGCGCGUGGGAAUUCCGAUGUGCCUUGAGGGUCCAAAAAUCCACGUGUCACUUCCAUGAUUUUUGGGAUUAUUUUUUGUUCCACAAAUGCCUCACGCCUGCUGAGCUGCUUGCAGGAAAGGGCAAUAGGUGUAGAGAUCUCCAACUUUGAUGCAAAUUCUCACUUGGACUUGGAAUUAGAUUCUCCUAGGAAAGGGAAUAAAUCGCCACCAAAGCCUAUUUAAGCCUACCUUAAGUAGGGGAUUAAAUCAACUUUGGAGGGCAAUUAUUUAUCCAUACAAGAAAUAGAGAAAGCCAGAGGAUAUUUGUUCCCCCUUCCCUAGCAUUCUUUUUCGCUUGCUUGUGCAAAGAACCAUUUUCUGUUGAUUUCUUUGUCUUGCAAAGAACUUAAUUUUCUUUGUCUUCUUCUUUGGUGGUGCUGUCAUGGGGCAGUUGUCGAGGUGGUGCGGCACGUCGGCUGGUGGGGACUAGGAGUCAGCUUGGCAUGGGUUGAGGAGGUGGUGUGGCAGGGGCCACGUUUUGUUUAGAGCCAAGGGUUGGCUCGGUAUGGGUCGAGGAAGUGGUGUGGCAUGGGCCACGGUUUAGGCUGCUCCAAGAGCAGUUGCGCAACUGAGGCCAUGGGUUGAGGCGUUGGGGUGCAUUGCUAGUACGUUAGCUUGCUUACUAGACCUUCAGUUGAGAAGAAAUCAUUCGAUUUCUAAAGAGGCGUCAAAGCCUACUCAUUCUGCUGCUGCCACGUUUGUGCUACUUGCUAAGAAGAAUGAAACUGCUUGAGUUUGAUUUCUCAAUUGUCGUAGUUGGAGCAAUUGACGAUGGUGCUGCCAAGAUCGAAGUUGUUAUAAAUGAAGUGUAGGGUGAGCAAACUACUGAGAAUAAAGUGGCUAUUAAAGGUAGGAUGGUUGUUGAAGAGCCCAAUGUCAUCCAAGCUGCUAAAUAAGUAGUCUUUUUUGUUUAGCUUGUGUCGGAUUUCGGCGACCUUCGUAUAAUUUUAUCAAUUUGCUAGAAAUUUAAUAAACUGAUUUUGCUUUACUCUAUCUUUGUUUUUCUUGAAACUUUGCUUGCUUAAAGAGUCUUGUAAAACUUUUAGCCAUAAAAUCAUCAGUUGGGCACGUUGCUUCGAAAAAGGCUGACGAUUCCACAUAGUCGUUAUGGCCGUGAGUUUAAGCUUAUUGGGGCGUCAAGUUGUUGAGUUCAUCGUCGGCUACUGCCUCUCGACCAUUUUCUACUUAGCCGGUUUUCAAGUAUUCGAUCCUAUGAGCUGCGUGGCUUGCAUAAUAACAUGAUAAAGAUUUGUGGAAUAUGAAAAUCGUCAACUAAUCAUAUCAAAAUGAGUAGUUGUGUGGAAAUUCACGAGCAGUUUGCCGCUUUCCGUUGAAGAGUAAACCCAGAUAGGGGUUGAGAAUUAGUUUAUCUUCUUGCAUUGGAAAGCAGACCUAGAUGGGUGUCAGGGAAUUGGUUUAUCCUCUCGCACUGGAAAGCAAACCCAGAUAGGUGUCAUGGAAUUAGUUUAUCAUCUCGUACUGGAGAGCAGACCCAGAUGGGUGUUGGGGAGUUGGUUUACCCUUUCGCAUUAGAGAGCUUACCCAAAUGGGUGACGGGGAAUUGGUUUACCUUCUCGCAUUGGAGAGCAAUUAAUUUACCCUCUCGUACUAGAUAGCUUACUCAUAUAGGUGUCGGGGGAUUGGCUUACCCUCCCACGCUGGAAAGCAAUUAGUUUACUCUCUCGUACUGGAGAGCAAUUAGUUUACCCUAUCGCACUGGAUAUUAUACCCAAAUGGGUUUCAUGGAAUUAAUUUACCCUCUUGGACUGAAGUGCAUACCCGGAUAUGUGUCGGUAAGAGCGUACCUAGAUGGGUGUCGGGGAAUUAGUUUACCCUCACACACUGGAUAACAUACAUAGAUGGGUGUAAGGAGAUUGGUUUACCCUAUCGCACUGGAAAGCAUGGAAAUUGUUGUGAGUGCAACUGAGGAAAGGUAGACUGCUAGACAACUGAAAUAAUCCUCAGCUUGUGAGGUCUUGCUUAACUAUCUGAUUAAGACUUUGAACUAUUUGUGGAACCUAUGUAAGGGUGUACGUGGAAGCGCAAUGAAUUGCUCUUAGACCUUAUCGCGCCAUCCUUGGAUGUUUCAUCAUGUGCUCUCUUGAGGCUUGGUUGGUGGUCAGGUGAGAAUCUGAAUGGAUUGCAGUUUUCAUCACUACUAGUAAAGCCUCGUAAUUUGCUGGAUGCUUUGAUGUUUUAAAGUGUUGUGGGUUUAGUUGGCGUAGAUAGGAGCCGUAUGGCAAGAUCGACACGGUUAGGAGUCGUGGUGUAAGAUUGGCACGGCUAGGAGCCGUGGUGCAAGAUCGACAUGGCUGGGAGCCGUGGUGACAGAUCGAGGGUAACAGGGAACUGAUAAGCAGGUAGAAACAGUUGUGAGCGCGAAGUUAGGGCCGACUUAGGCCAGGUUAUCCACAGCAAGAGGAAUUAGACCACUAGGUUCGCGAUGCUCGGCUACUGGUGAUGUGUUGCUUUAGUAAUGAAUCAUCUGGAGUCAUGGAAACAAGAUCUGCCUCUUGGUGGUUGGGUUGGUAUGUCUUUUUGGUACUUGUGUGCCCCUGGUAUGCCAUGAGGUUGAGUUGCUGCAUUUGUCUAAAUAUAAGUAAUCUUUGUAUCCGCCAAUUUAUGGGAAUGGUUCCGUCUGCUUGAUCUCAUUAAUGAAAUGUGACUUGCUUAUGUUGGUCAUGUCUCGUCAGAGCGUUUCGUCAGUAACUUCGUUAUGCUGGAAAUCACGUAAUCGUUCGAUCAGGAACCUCUCUAUUUUUUCCUGAAUUUCCCUUUGUUGGGGUAUCGGAGCUUUUGGCUACCCCCGGUCGUGACAUUCUGGUCUAAGUUGUUAUUCCCUAUGUUUAGCUCAUUUAUGUUGAUGCUGCGGUGCAUGUGGUAUGUUCCUAGUAGGCGAACGAGUUACUCGUAGGCUGUCGGUUUAACUUGAGCCGAAUUAAGUGACUGCUUUUCUCCGUCCGUCGUGCUGUUUGCUCAGAUGUCAGGUGGAGGAUGCUCCUUGUGGGCCUAGCCAUAAAUGAACACUUCGCCUGAAAGGUUGUCCAUGUUGAUUAUUGAAAUGUGGCCCCAACCGUGAAUGUAUGCUUGUUCGUGAGCCUAACCGGGAGUGCAUGCUCCUCCACACGCUAAGACGAGUAUAUACUGCUAGAACACUUGGUUCGUGGCUGGUCGAGAGACUACCUGCCAAGAAGCUGCUAGAGAGGGUCGUCCUCUGCCCUUAUCCUGCUUUGGGAUACCUCGUCUGGGGUAUGCUGCAUCUCAUUACGCUACAAAAAUUGAUUCACCAAGGUCGUCUGUUGCGCGAGGGUGCUCGUCAAUUCUAUGACUUGUUGAGACAAGUGUUGUUCGCUAUGCUAGAUAGAAGAGUUUGGAUGAUAUGCGUUUCAUUAAAUAGUCGAAAUGUAAUGAACUCUAGGAGCAAGAUUUGAGCUGGGAUACGUCAAAUCUGCAAAAAAUGGAGUGAAAAUACCCCAGGUUCAGUUAUCGGUCUAGAAAUCUAAAGCCGGGACGAUUGAACUGAUGUUGGACCAAUCGGGAUCGCUAGGUGGACCAUGGGAACAGGUUGGGCCACGAAAACAGGCUGAGCCAUGUGUAGGGCGCAUAGGUGCUGUACUUUUUAGCUUACUUGGCCUUGGCUUGAGGGUGCAUUGGGCUAUCAUUGGGUUUAUAGCGCUUUUGGCUCAUGUUAAGUUAUGGCUUCGGCUACUACUCGUGCGGCUUGGGUCAGCUCGCCAUGGACGUGGGCCUGUAUGGGGUGGACUAGCGCUGGGCAUUGCUGCCUUGGGCCUGCAGCUCUUGGGCUUGCUGGAGCACAGUGAUUUGGACUGCUUCGUGCUGGGUUAGCUGCUUGCUCACUGUAGGCAAAGGGUUCGCCAUGGGCUGCCAUAGUGGUGCCCUGUAAAGGUAGUGCCGAUCCUCUUGUCAUCAUGUUAAGCCUCAUGGAUCGUCGUGGUGGGACUAUUUCUGAAUUUCCCGUCAUUGUACUUUUCUUUUACGUUUAUUCAAAGAAUUUUAUAAAAAAAUAUAGGAAUAAGAACGUACAAAAAAUCUACAAAUGAAUGAGAAAUGAGAAACCUUGAAUGCGAGAGUUGUCUUUGAGUGCGUGAAUCAAACUCUCAAUGAAAGCACCAAUUUGUGGAUACAAAUUUCCGCCAUCUUCUCCUUUGACAAAAAUGCUCCUACAAAUAAUAACACCUAAGAUUAAGGCCAAAAGCCUCACGCGCCCAUGAUGAAUGAGGGGGCUUUGGCCGAAGAAUAUUGAUGCCAAAGUUUGAAUUUUGAAAAGAAUAUAUUUUGAAGUCUGUGGGUAACAAAUGACCUAGCAUUUUAGUGGGAUGAGAGCGGUAUUUAUAGAAGAGUGGCCGACCUUUGGGUGGAGAGUGGCUGGCCAUAUAUGGUGUAAUUGGGUGAAUAAUUGCAAGUUAUUAUGUUGAAUAAUAUUUUGCAAUUAACAUGACAAUUAUUCCUAAUUUAAAUAUGAAGUUUUGGGAGUUACCUUUUGAAUAAAAUCAAUAAGGGAUUGAUGAGGAGCGAUGAAAGGAAUAUGAAAUAAAUUUCAUAUUGGUCACUUUCACUCUUCCUUAAUUGAGUCGUUAUUGUCCGUUGUAUGCACAUGAGAAUUUCGAUGUGCCUUGAGGGUAAUCUCGUCAUUCUUGUCCAAAACUUCAAGUGUCACUUUCACAAUUUUUUUUAUUAUUUUUUGCUCCAUAUAAAGCACAAAAAAUAAAACUACAUAUUAAAAUGAAAUAUUAUCAAUCAUGUCUUCAACAUAAACUUUACUAAUUAAAUUCGGAGAUAGACCCUGUGAUAUAUGAGUAUGAAUUUUAAGAUAUUUAAAGAUGAACGUUCAUUAAGAAAUAUGAAUAUUCAUUGUAUUAUAUAACAUAUGAACCUUACGGCAUUUGAAUAUGAAUCUUAUGAAAUAUAUGAACAUUAUGAUAUCUCAUUCGUAUGAGUUUCGUGUUGAUCAUUUCACUCACCUGAAAUGCCAUCAAGAAUGAUAGUAUCUCUGCACACUCCAAUCUUGAUCACAGUUUCUCAUAAUGUGGUUCAAGAUUCUUGUGUGUAUUGGUUUGAACAAAAUAUAAGAAUUUUUCGGAUAUUUAAUAGAUGUGUCAUAAAUAUCGACAACACCUGAUGAUUUUAACCUAAACUUAAGAGUUUCUCAUGUUAGAGUAUAAUGUUGUAUGGAUUAGUUAGUUUAGUAAGUUUGUUAGAAAGUCUGUUAGAGUGACUAAUUCACUAUAAAUACAUACUCUUAUAAUUACUUCAACAUUAAGAAAACAAUUCUGAAAUCUAUUUUACCUUAUUCUCUCUCUGUUCUCUGCUACUCUCUCUCAUAACUAUAGUUUCUAUUUCUUCAUAUUAACAUGGUAUCAAGAGCCAAAGAAGCUUAAUAGCAAAAUUUCUUUGAUCCUUUGUUCAUUGCUUCUGCUAUCUAUUUCUUUCUCCUACGAUCUCUCUGGGAUUUUUCCUCUAUGAUUUCCUUAAAUUGGCAUUUAUUUGAGGCCUAUAAGUUCCUUCCCAUACCUCCAUGUGUCCAAGUUCCGACUGCUGCUGCUACUGUUCCCGCGCUCAUCCUCCGACAAAUGUCUUUCUUCUCGACGCCCAUAAUUUUUAGGAAUCUUGUUUUAGUUUUUAACUGACCAUAAGGUAUUAGUUGUGUCUUCUUUUUUCUUCUGGGCAUCUCCGAUUGCCCAUUUCAUCAUUUUACAGUCAAGAAAGUUUGGCACACUAGGUGUUUGAUCUUUUGCCUCAAUUAAAUUUUAUGUAAUUUCUCAACAUGGUCGUCGCAAAUUAGUUACAAAUCUUGCAAUCACCAACUACUGGCUUGAUUUCUUCGGUCUCUACAUCCAUUUCUGUCAAGUUGGAUGAGACUAACUACCUUCAAUGGCACUUUCUGUUGCAGUUGAUGCUUGAGGUCCAUGGCAUUAUGGGAUUCGUUGACGGAUCAAAUUUGUGUCCUUCUCAGUCUGCAGCAACCUCUGCACAUUCUAUACUCACAAAUGGGCCAUCUGCUAACCCUAAAUCAGAUGAGUUUAAAGCAUGAAAAUCGCAUGAUUAUGCUUUGAUGUUGCUACUUACUGCAACUCUCUCUUCAUCUGCUAUUUCAUGUAUAAUUGGUAGCAAGAGUUCUCGAGAGAUAUGGGUUCGUCUUCAAAACCACUUUUUCUUACCAAGUACAAAAAGUAGUAUAAUCAAGUUACAGAGUGAUCUUUACAACAUUAAGAAAGGAUCAGAUUCAGUUUCCCAAUAUCUUCGAAGACUUAAAGAAGCAAGGGAUGGACUUUUUGUUCUUAGUGUCACAUUUGAUGAUGAAGACUUUGUGAUCAUUGCAUUGAAUGGACUACCUGCAAAUUACAACACAUUCAAGUGUGUAAUCUGAGGGCGUGAGGGUGUCAUUUCACUCAAGGACUUUCGUGCACAAUUGCUCGCUGAAGAAGCCAUUGUGGAUUGUGCUUCUGUGACACCCCUUAUGUCUAAUGUGGUAAUUCAAUAUGGUGAUUGUGAGGCACAAGGUUCUUUCUUUCCUCUCUCUAGCUCUCAGUUGCAUAUUGGUUUUAAUGAUGGUUAUCAUGCUCAAUACAAGUUUAGUUCAUGCCAGUCAAGCUAUGGCAAUAUUGUUGAUGGUUAUAAUAGUGUGAACAAAAACUUUCGAUUCAAGAAUCGUGGUAAAGGGAGGUUCCAUUAUGAUAAUGGUGCAACCUACAAGACUUUUCCUCAUUUUUCACUUGAAAUUCUUGGCUCCCUUCCAUCUCCAUAUCAUAAUUCUCUGCCACCUAAAAUUACUACAUGUCAAAUUUGUUCACAAAAGGGCCAUCUUGCUGCCCAUUGUUCUGCUCAAAUUACCAACUCGUCUAUUACUUAAGAUACAAACUUGCAGGAUCAGCUUCGAUUUUUUUAUUCAAUGGAUUCCGUCGAGCAGGACUAUGUUAUGGUCAAUUCCACAAUGAAAACUGAGAAGCAGAUAACUAGUUUUGGUGCAGAAAGUUCACAAACUAGUGGAUCAGCUCAAUUAUUCACAAACUAGUGGAUCAGCUCAAUUACCAACAUCUUGUGAUUCAACUCCAUUACUGGAAAUGCAAAGACCAUCUAUACUGAACCCUUCUACUAGGCUCCAUCUGGUACAUCAAUUUGCACAGGUUCUUGCAGACAUGUCGCAGGAAAAGUAUAAUGCAGGAUUAUUUCUCGAAUUUUUUGUUCAACUUGUUGUUUUGGCCAUAUGGGAGAAAUAUAUUCAAACUGCUACACAUGAAUUCAGAGGAUAUUAUGUGUCUUGCUUAUGCAAAGGUGGCAAUAUAUUUGAUAUUCAAUUGGGUUACCAUAUGGGCAUUUGUGAUAAGUGAGGUGACACCAGCAACCUCACUCUCUAAUUGCCGGGAAUACUGCUCUAAUGUUCUUUGACAACCUGAUGAAAUACUACAUUUGUGAUGAUACUGCUUCAACCUCAUGAUUGGGCCCCCCAAUCUUGAGUUUGAGGGGGGAUGUCAGAGUAUAAUGUUGUAUGGAUGAGAGAUCUUGCCAUUUGUAAUUAGAUUAGGUGGUUUGUUAGAUUAGUUAGUUUGUUAGGAAGUCUGUUAGAUUGACUUGACUAGUUCACUAUAAAUACAUACUCUUGUAAUUACUUCAACAUUAAGAAAACAAUUUUGAAAUCUCUUUUACCUUAUUCUCUCUCAGUUCUCUGCUACUCUCUCUCAUAACUAUGGUUUCUAUUUCUUCAUAUUAACACGACAUGAGGUGAAGUUUAGACUUCACUCCCUAUUUUCAUAUCUUUUUAUGAUUUUCUGGAUAUUUCUAUGAAAAUAUAGAUCGUAUCGAAGAAAUUUAAACACUAGGUUACAUAAUCUACAUCCAAUAGAAUGAAAGAUACCAAUUAGUACCAUAUAGUCCUGGCUGCCCAACCUUCUUUAGUCAUGGCCCAAGCUCUACUGACAUGGAUGCAAAUUACGCAACAUAUAAACAAUGGAGAAAACAUCACGAAUAAUGUAAAACAAGAGUAAGGCAUUAUAAACGCAUAUAAAAUACCAUUUUAUUGAUGAAGGAUAUCAAUUUGGCCCAAGUAUUUGUCAGGACUUUCACUUUCAUCCUCACCGUUUUAAUUUGGAAGUACUAUUUUUGUACUCUAGCUAACAUGACUAAACAAUGCCCGGAAAUUAAUAGCACUACAACAAAAUGUUUUAUUUUAUUAAGUGGAGACGACUGUAUAAAUUUUAAAAUGUCAUUGUGUUCUGUUUUACGCCAAGUCUAUCAUUAGUUUCAAGUACUCCAUGUAUUUUCUUAUAGUUACUUUCAAAGUCUUUUUAGUUCUUUAUCUAUCUCUUUUGCUUUGAGCCUCCUUCUCAGAGUCGUAUCUUCUAACCGAUGCAUAUGUAAGUCUUCGGUUCACAUGCUCAAAUCAUCUUAAUUGAUUUUCUUUCAUCUUAUCCUCAAAUUCGGUCGCUUCUACUUUAUUUUAGAUAUUCUUGUUCUUAAUCUUACUAUUUCUCGUGUGUCUAUAUAUUUAACGAAGUAUUUUCAUCUCUAUUACACUUAUUAAUGCCUUAAAAUUAAUUCUUUCAUUUUUCUUUUCAAGAAGCAGAAAAGAUAUUGCCCGUACCAAGUUGAAAACCAAACCAAGAUACAUGUUGACACCGAUGAGUCAAGGCCUUCAUUGCACGUGUAACUACUACUACUCAGUACUCCAGUACAGUGCCAUUUUGGAUUUUGUACAAUGUCACAAAUCUCGAGGAAAAAGUCAAUCUUUAAAUGCCGUCUCGUUCUCUGGGUCCAAAACACCAACCCGAAACCCUACCACCUAUCAAUGCUCCUCCUCCCCUCCUCUUCACUUCCUAUAUGCCCUUCUUGUCCUUCCGACCAACUGUCGGCGAGAAUAUUAUAUAAUUCAUAACAGGGUAUUUCUGAAUAAAUAAACAAGUAAAUAACACAGUGUAUGUGUUUGUUUUAGGCUGAGCUGUUUGUUUUAUAUACAAUGAGAAAGCUGAGCUGUUUGUUUGUACUUUCCCUUUACAAUUUGGAGGCACACCUAUUUUGUAGUUUGAUUUCAUCUUCAGCUUCCACCCACCUUCCAAAUGUCUCGAACCAAUGUCACUUGACUCUAGUCUCCAUUUCCUACUUUUAUAUAUAUUCUCUCCCUCUAAACCUCUCUCACCACAAAAACCUCAAAAUUUAAAGCCCUCUCUCUCUCUCUCUCUCUCUCUCUCUCUCUCUCUCUCUCUGGAUCACAUACAUUUUACAGAAAUAUGGUUUCAUCAUCAGCAUCAACUUCUCUGAUGAUCUCUCCAAGAAAACUUAGGUCAGAUUUGUAUUCUUACUCAUACCAAGAUGAUUCAGAAACCCCACUAGUGGUUAAUGUUCUUGCUUCUCUGAUUGAGAGAAACAUGGCAAGGAACCAGAGGAUUGCCAAGAAUUGCAGCAGCCCUUGGUACAUGUCCAAGGACAUGAAAAAGACUAGGAUUUUUGAGUGUCAUGAGACUCCUGACCUGACAAUUCAGUCAUACUUAGAGAGGAUUUUCAGGUACACAAGAGCUGGGCCGUCUGUGUAUGUUGUUGCGUAUGUGUAUAUUGAUCGGUUUUGCCAGAACAAUCCUGCAUUUAAGAUCAAUGUCACUAAUGUCCAUAGGCUCCUCAUCACAACUAUUAUGGUGGCUUCCAAGUACGUUGAAGACAUGUUAGUCUCUCUCCCUUUCCUUAAGUUUCCGAGAUCCUAUGAUUGAUUCUCUCUUUCACAAUAUCGCUUAUAUGUGAACAUAAGUUCUAAUAUGAAGUAUACAUUUUUUUUCUUGACAGGAAUUACAGAAAUUCAUACUUUGCAAGAGUUGGGGGAUUCACAACCAACGAAUUGAACAAGUUGGAGCUUGAAUUUUUGUUCUUAAUGGGGUUCAAAUUGCAUGUGAAUGUGAGUGUGUUUGAGAGCUAUUGUUGUCACUUGGAAAGAGAAGUUAGCAUUGGAGGAGGGUACCACAUAGAGAGCACAUUGAGAUGUGCAGAAGAAAUCAAAAGAAGGCAAAACGAAGAGAGAAGAUACAAUCAGUUUGCUGGUGUUUUGCUGUAGUUCAAAUGAGGGAUAUUUCUUUACCCUUUUUUUUGGGGAUUUUAUCCUACCAUUCUUCUGUAAAUAUUGGUUUAUAAUAUUUGUGAAAAUGUAUUAUUUGGGUGGUUCAGGUAAGCUAAUACAGAGUGUUGUCCUAUUUUUUUGGGUAAAGAAAAAGCACAAUAUUUAAUUUCCAAAUUGCCUAAUUAUUGGUAACUGUGAAAUCAAAGUAGAAGGUCUGCAAACAUAUUUGGUAUUUUUAUUGUAUAAUGGAAAAUUGGUUUGAUGUGACAUUUGAAAGUUUAUAAAAAAAGACCAUGAAAGUGAUUGAAUUCUCCAGCUAAAAACAAUGUGCAGCGGCCACUAAACACAUCUAAUUAAUAGAUGGAGGUGUUGAGAUUACUAUAGAGUAUGAGAUAUUUCAAAUUUUUUAGUGUUAGAUUUUUAUUAAAAAAUACAACAAAAUAGGAAUUAUUGUAUUACUCCACAUUAUUGUAAAAUUUUGUGGAGACGACACUCUCUUAUUCUUAUCGAAUUGCUGCCGUCCGGUUGUUUUGGAACAUUAGGGAUACUGGAUAAGUAAAAGGAUUCCUUAGUUCUUUUUUACUUUUAAUCUGGUGAGGUGAACAAGUAGACAAAUGAAGACGGCUACUUUGGAAGUGUGUUAAGACAAAGGUAACAAACAUGACAAAAAGAUGUAAUUAAGAAACCACCAUCCAUUUCUUAAAACUAUAUACUCACUUUCUCUAUUACUCCACAAAAAAUCUUAUUCAUUUUAAUUUGUUUCGUCACGCAUGUGGGCUAAUCAAAGUAACAGGAAAGGAAGAGAUGACAUUUGUAAAGCACAAACAUGAAGACUUGACCUUCUCCUUUGAUCAUUACUCUUGGGUUUGAAUCCGUUAAACUGUAAUAUUAGAUUUAUGUUUAACGUAUUAAAAAGUUGCAAAGGAUCAAGAUUAUGGUGGAGGAUGCAUCAUUACCGACAAACGACAAAAAUUAAGGAGGAAAAAGUGAAGAAAAAGAAAACAAAUUGCAGUGGUGGAGAGGCCAAGUUGUUGGUAGGAGAAGCAUCUUGUACUAUUAUAGACAGGCAAAGAAUGAUCAAAAGAGUUCUUUUAUUGUUAGUCAAAGAUCAAAAGAGUACUUAAACACUAUUUACUUCAUCGUAAAAUUGUUUUCAUGCCUUGAAGGUCUCUCAUUUGAUGUGGUUGCUUUGAUUUUUAUGUUGUUAAACUCUUAGUUAGUUCAACAGAAGGCAACGCUUAUUCUUAUUCACUAUUCUCACACAUCGUGUGUAUAAUCAAAAUAGAAUCCAAGGAAUGGAAUUAACCUAAGAGACAAGUGAUCUAAGGACGUUAGAUCAAUGAAACAUUUCUCUUAUGUUAAUUCCUAACAAGUUCGUAAUCAUAUAACUGUCAAUUGGGCAUUAACAAUCUUCUGCUAGUAUGUAUUAUUUCAACUCAAUCGUGAGUAUGAUUUGUCUCAAGUCAGGAGAGUUGAUGCUUUAUUCCUUUAUCAGACAAAAACUGUUGAAAUGCUUUGUUUAUGUAUUCACCACCACCAUCACUGUGGAGAGUUUUAAUGGCUACUUGAAACUGGUUUAAGAUGAAAUUGUAUAAGGAAACAAAUAUACCAUAAACAUCACUUUUAUUGCCAAUGGGACAAAUCUAGCAAUAUUUUGUACAGUGGUCAAUGAAGGUGACAUCAUAUCUGAAUCCUUCUAGAGAAACACAAGGAGCAAGGCCCCACACAUCACUGUGAACAAGAUCAAAAGGUUUUACAGAUUUGUCUACUGAAGAAGAAAAUCGGAGUUUACUAAAUUUGCCCUCUAAACAUGUGUGACACAGUGAAGGUGCUUGAUCAGCAACACAAGGAACAUGAGAGGAUUCUAAAAUUUGAGAAACAAUUGAAUUAGAGGGAUGACCUAAUCUCUUAUGCCAAAUAUUGGUUGUAACUUGUUUUCCCAGAAAAGCUGCAAUUUUCUCUUUGUUGAUAACUGCAUGAGAACUUGGUGAGAUGAUCGGAUACAGUCCAUUGUUACACAACCCUUUGUAAAGCACCUUCCCGGUGGCUUUGUCCUGAAUCCAAAAUGAAAAAGCAUCGAAGAUCAACCAAAAAUUAUUAUCCAAGCAGAUCUUAUGAAUAGACAAUAAGUUUUGAGACAGUUUUGGCACAUAUAGAACAUAAUUAAGCCUAAUAGGCUGCAUUGGAGUUCGAAAAAGAGCAGAGCCAAUGUGAGAGAUAGCUAAACCUUCACCAUUAGCAGUCUGAAUGGUCUCAUUAUGGAGUUGACAAGGAAAGAUUUCCCAAUUCUGAAGUCAUAUGAUUAUUUGCACCUGAAUCAGUAAGCCAAAUUUGUUGCUGUGGAGGAGUAGAUGGCACUGAGAGGGAAUAAGUGGUACCAUUGAUUGUUACCGCAUGCAUAGCACUCAUUUGAGAAUUUGCAUUCUUUUGAAAACAUGUGUCUGCAGUAUGAUAAGAGUUCCUACAAACAAGACAUCCUGAGGAACCACUUGUAUUUCUAUAUCAACAGGUAUCAGCGAGAUGGUUGUGCUUGCCACAUAUUUGACAACCUUGUGAGAAAUUUAUGUUUCUGAAUCAACAUGUAUAUGCCAAAUGAUUAAGUUUCCCACAUAUUUGACAGAGUUGAGUCUGAAACCCAUAAUUAUGUAUGCUUGGUGGAGAUGUACCAAGGAUGCCAGGUGCAGGACUUGAGUGAAAGUUCUUGCUAUUGCCAUAUCUCGGAUUGAAAUUGGAUCCAAAACAAUUUCUGCCUUUACCAUUCUGAUUAAAAGACCUAUAUGCAUUUGAAUUGGGACUAGCAUGAUUUCCACCAGCACUUGAAAAAGACUGAUUCUUGGACGCCAAGUCAUUGUUCUGUGCCAUUAGUGCAGACAAAACAUGUGAUGCAGGAAUAGUUUCAAUCAAUGUUUCUUCAGCCAACAAUUGAGAUCGAAGAUCUUUCAAUAAUAUCACAGUUUCACGAUCCCGAAUCGCAGAUCUUAUAAUAUUAAAUUCAGCACGCAGACCAUUCAAUGUAAAAAUCACAAUAUCAUCAUCAUCAAGGAAUACACCAACAGUAGACAAUAAAUCUCUUGCUUCUUUAAUUUUCUGCAAAUAUACAGUCAUAGAAUCAUUACGCUUCUUUAUAGUUUGCAGUUCAGAUUUAAGUUGAAAGAUACUAGUUCUUGUGAUGGUUGAGAAUUGUUCUUUAAGUCGAGUCUACAACUCUUUAGAGCUGGUACUACCGAUCGCACAAGAAAUUCCAGCAGGAGACAAGAUUGCAGUGAUCACCUACAUUAAUGCUUUAUCAUGCAUCUUCCACACUUUGUAGUCAUUAGAUUGAACCCGUGUAGUAGAAUCAUCAGAUAAUGCUUGGCAAAAUUGGUCAGGAUAAGGGAUUGAGCCAUCAACAAAACCAAUUAUGUUAUGGCCUUCAAGCAGUAGCUCCAUCUAAAAAUGCCAAGCCAAAUUUUUUUUGUUUCAUCCAAUUUCACAUUAAUUGAGCUUGAAACCGGCGAGAUCAAAGAAGCAAUCGGAGACUGGAGAAUCUGUAACUGAGCAGUGGUCACCAUUGUUACCUAUUAUGAAGAAAUCCCAAGAAAUCUUGAUAGAGGACUAACCACAAACACUUGGUGGGUAUACUUUUGACAAGAACGAAUCAGAAGAGGGAGAAGACGAAAAAACCCCCAAUUUUACCAGAAGAAAUCACAGUAUGAAGAGAGAAGAUUGUAAAAGUGGAAGUAACCAUAACCAAAAUCAAAAUCUAUCAAGCUAUCAUGUUAGGAGUAUUAAGAUCCUAUGGUUGAGAAAUAAGAGUUAGUUAAGAUGGUUAUUGUGUAGCUUAGAGGGUAAGCUACCAAUGCAAAUAUAUACAUCUUGUAAUAGUCAUUUGUAACUAACUUGUAAAGAAAUACAUUUAUGAAUUCUCUCUCUUCUCUCUAAACUCUCUUAUUCUUUAACAUUUCUCUCUGUGUUUCUUUCUGCAUAACUUUCUUUGUCACAUAUACAAUGGUUUACAUGGUAUCAUCGCCAGAACAAGCAUGAAAGCUUGACGGAUUUCGAUUCUGGUUAUGGUUGAUUCGGCUUCUACAAUCUUCUUUCUUCAUACUGUGAUUUCUUUUGGUAAAAUUGGGGGUUUUUUCGUCUUCUCCCUGUUCUGAUUCGUUCUUGUCAAAAGUAUACCCACCAAGUGUUUGUGGUUAGUCCUCUUUCAUAAUAGGUCACAAUGGUGACCACUGCUCAGUUACAGAUUCUUCAGUCUCCGAUUGCUUCUUUGAUCUCGUCGGUUUCAAGCUCAGUUAAUGUGAAAUUGGAUGAAACAAAUUAUUUGGCUUGGCAUUUUCAGAUGGAGCUACUGCUUGAAGGCUAUAGUAUAAUUGGUUUUGUUGAUGGCUUGAUCCCUUGUCCUGACCAAUUUUGCGAAGCAUCAUCUGGGGAUUCUACUACACGGGUUCAAUCUGAUGACUACAGAGUAUGGAAGAUGCAUGAUAAAACAUUAAUGCAGUUGAUCACUACAACCUUGUCUCCUGCUGGAAUUUCUUGUGCGAUCAGUAGUACCAGCUCCAAAGAGUUAUGGACUCGACUUAAAGAACAGUUCUCAACCAUCACAAGAACUAAUAUCUUUCAACUUAAAUCUGAACUGCAAACUAUAAAGAAGGGUAAUGAUUCUAUCACUGUAUAUUUGCAAAAAAUUAAAAAAGCAAGAGAUUUAUUAUUUGCUACUGGUGUAUUAUUUGAUGAUGAUGAUAUUGUGAUUUUUACACUGAAUAGUCUGUCUGCUGAAUUUAAUACUAUAAGAUCUGUGAUUCGGGGUCGUGAAACUGUGAUAUCAUUGAAAGAUCUUCGAUAUCAAUUGUUGGCUGAAGAAACAUUGAUUGAAAUUAUUCCUGCAUCACCUGUUUUGUCUGCACUAAUGGCAGAAAACAAUGACUUGGCAUCCAAGAAUCAGUCUUUUUCAAGUGCUGGUGGAAAUCAUGCUAAUCCCAAUUCAAAUGCAUGUAGGUCUUUUAAUCAGAAUGGUAAAGGCAUAAAUCGUUUUGGAUCCAAUUUCAAUCUGAGAUAUGGCAAUAGCAAGAACUUUCACUCAAGUCCUCCUGGCAUCUUUGGUACAUCUUUACCAAGCAUACAUAAUUAUGGGUUUCAGACUAAACUCUGUCAAAUAUGUGGGAAACUUAAUCAUUUGGCAUCUACAUGUUGAUUCAGAAACAUAAAUUUCUCACAAGGUUGUCAAAUAUGUGGCAAGCACAACCAUCUCGCUGAUACCUGUCGAUAUAGAAAUACAAAUGGUUCCUUAGGAUGUCUUAUUUGUGGGAACUCUUAUCAUACUGCAGACACAUGUUUUCAAAAGAAUGCAAAUUCUCAAAUGAGUGCUAUGCAUGCUGCAACAAUCAAUGGUACCACUUAUUCCCUCUCAGUGCCAUCUGCUCCUCCACAGCAACAAAUUUGGCUUACUGAUUCAGGUGCAAAUAAUCAUAUGACUUCAGAAUUGGGAAAUCUUUCCUUGUCAACUCCAUAUCCAUCUAAUGAGACCAUUCAGACUGCUAAUGGUGAAGGUUUAGCUAUCUUUCACAUUGGUUCUGCUCUUCUUUGAACUCCAAUGCAGUAUAUUAGGCUUAAUUAUGUUCUAUAUGUGCCAAAACUGUCUCAAAACUUAUUGUCUGUUCAUAAAAUCUGCUUGGAUAAUAACUGUUGGUUGAUCUUCGAUGCUUUUUCAUUUUGGAUUCAGGACAAAGCCACCAUGAGGGUGCUUUACAAAGGGCUGUGUAACAAUGGAUUGUAUUCGAUCAUCUCACCAAGUUCUCAUGCAAUUAUCAACAAAGGGAAAAUUGUAGCUUUUCUGGGAAAACAAGUUACAACCAGUAUUUGGCAUAAGAGAUUAGGUCAUCCUUCUAAUUCAAUUGUUUCUCAAAUUUUAGAAUCCUCACAUGUUCCUUGUGUUGCUGAUCAAGCACCUUCACUGUGUCACACAUGUUUAGAGGGCAAAUUUAGUAAACUCCGAUUUUCUUCUUCAAUAGACAAAUCUGCAAAACCUUUUGAUCUUGUUCACAGUGAUGUGUGGGGCCCUGCUCCUUGUGUUUCUUUAGAAGGAUUCAGAUAUUAUGUCACCUUCAUUGACCACUGUACAAAAUAUUGCUGGAUUUUUCCCAUUUGCAAUAAAAGUCAUGUUUCUAGUAUAUUUGUUUCCUUAUACAAUUUCAUCUUAAACUAGUUUCAAGUAGCCAUUAAAACUCUCCACAGUGAUGGUGGUGGUGAAUACAUAAACAAAGCAUUUCAACAGUUUUUGUCUGAUAAAGGAAUAAAGCAUUAACUCUCAUGUCCUUACACACCAGAACAGAAUGGAAUAGCUGAACGAAAACACAGGAAUAUUAUUGAAACUUCCAUCACUUUGUUAUAGUCUGCUUCCUUACUAUUAUUGUUUUGGUCUUUUGCUUGCCAAACCUCAGUGUACUUUAUUAAUAGAAUGCCAUCUUCUUCAUUGGGAAAUAAAUCUCCAUUUCAAUUGCUGCACAAUUCCAUACCUGUAAUACAACAUCUGAAAGUAUUUGGAUGCUCUUGUUAUCCUUGGUUAAGGCCCUAUACUCGUACCAAAUUAGAUCCCAGAACUGCAAAAUGUAUUUUUUUGGGGUAUGCAUCUAAAUAUAAAGGUUAUCUCUGUUAUGAUGCUUCUAAAAACAAAAUGUAUAUCUCUAGACAUGUUCUAUUUGAUGAGACAGAGUUUCCUUACCAUUCUUUGGUCCCUAAAUCUCACUGUAACAAUAUUUCACCAUCUCCAUCACCUAUACAAACACCACCUCCAGUUCCCAAUCACAGUAAUGCUCUUGUGUUACUAGAAUCACACAAUCACUACACUGUGAGUUCUUCAUCUAGUCCUGCAUCAUUAGGUUCAGAUUCUACACCUAGUGUCAUGCCAAAUACUGUACAUCAACAAUCUUCAAUAGAUUCUACAGUAGUUCCAGUUACAUUUUCAAGUGACAGUGUAGAAAAUUCAUCUAAUAGUCAAUCCAUUACUUCUCCAACAACACAGCCUUUCUCAUCUGCACCUCCUAUGGUACCUGAAUUCCAACCUGAACAACUAUAAGUAGUUCUCUCUGUUCCCUCAGUGAACUUACAUCCUAUGCAGACACAAUCCAAAAGUGGUAUUAUUAAGAAGAUUGCUUUACUUGCUGAAGUUCAUGAAAAUGGGGGGGUUGAUUUGACACAAGUGGAACCUGCAACAUAUAAGUCUGCAUUGAAAUCCCCAGUUUGGUAUGAUGCUAUGAAAGAUGAGAUAUCAGCUUUGCACAAUCAGGGUACAUGGUCUUUGGUUCCAUUGCCCAUCAACAAGAAUUUAAUUGGGUGUAAAUGGGUAUAUAAGAUAAAAAAGAAUGCUGAUGGCUCAAUUGGGAGGUAUAAGGCACAACUGGUGGCGAAAGGUUUUAACCAAGAAGAGGGAAUUGAUUAUGCAGAGACUUUUAGCCCUGUUGUUAAACCCACAACAGUGAGACUAGUUCUAGCUUUAUCAACACAUUUUGGUUGGACAUUAAGACAAUUAGAUGUGCAAAAAUGCCUUCCUCCAUGGCAUAUUACAAGAAGAAGUCUACAUGGCACAGCCACCUGGGUUUGUUGAUCUUAAACAUGAAGACUAUGUUUGCAGAUUACAUAAAUCACUAUAUGGGUUAAACCAGGCACCAAGAGCCUGGAAUGAAAGGUUCACCAAUUUUCUACCAUCCUUAGGGUUCAAGUUUACAUUUGCAUAUUCAUCAUUAUUUGUAAAAAUUGUUGACAGAUAUGUGGUGAUUUUGCUUUUGUAUGUUGAUGAUAUUAUCAUAACAGGAAGCCAUACACAAGCUAUCACUGAGGUUAUUCAAUCUCUUACUCAGAAGUUUGAUAUGAAAGAUCUGGGACCACUUCAUUAUUUCCUAGGCAUUCAAAUUGUACAGAACAAGGAUGGGUUGUUUCUUUCCCAAGACAAGUAUGUUACGGAUCUGCUUACUAAAUCUAACAUGCUACUGUCCAAAUUGUGUGCUACUCCAUGUUUGCCUUACAACUGACUUCUCAUCGAUGAUGGAAAACCUUACAAUAAUCCUACACUGUACAGGAGCUUGGUUGGUGCUCUACAGUACUUGACUUUUACGUGACCUGACAUUACUUUUGCAGUGCAUCAGGUCUGCCAAUUUAUGCAAAGACCUAUGGAGUCACACUUUAUGGCUGUCAAAAGGAUUCUCAUGUACUUAAAGGCUACUCAAGGCUGUGGUAUUCAGUAUAUCAGAGGUUCACUUGAUCUAACUGCAUAUAAUGAUGUCGACUAGGCUGGAGAUCUGAAUGAUAGGAAGUCCACAACUGGAAUGGUGGUGUUCUUGGGUUAUAAUCCCAUUUCAUGGAUCUCCAAGAAACAAAAUACUGUCUCUAGAUCAUCAACUGAGGCUGAAUAUCGGGCAUUCUAUACUACAGCUGCUGAAUUGGAUUGGAUAAAGUCUCUGUUGACUUUUUUGCAGAUUCCUAUUGCAGAGACACCACUACUAUUCUAUGACAACCUGUCUGCUAUAGCACUGACUUGUAAUCCAAUUCAACAUCAAAGAACAAAACACAUUAAGGUUGAUGUCCAUUUUGUUUGAGAAAGGGUUGCAAAACAGCAACUACAAGUUCAUUUUGUCUCUUCUAAUGAGCAGUUUGUUGAUAUACUCACCAAAGGUCUUUCUGCACCACUUUUUCAGACUCAUUGUGCCAAUCUCAGGCUCAAUCUCUCUGCCCCUGAGCUUGAGGGGGGAUGUUAGGAGUAUUAAGAUCAUAUGGUUGAGAAAUAAGAGUUAGUUCAGAUGGUUAUUAUGUAGCUUAGAGGGUAAGCUACCAAUGCAAAUAUAUACAUCUUGUAAUAGUCAUUUGUAACUAACUUGUAAAGAAAUACAUUUCUGAAUUCUCUUUCUUCUCUCUAAACUCUCUUAUUCUUUAACAUUUCUCUCUGUCUCUCUUUCUGCCUAACAUUUCUUUGUCACAUAUACAAUGGUUUACAGACAUGAAUGACUACCAACCAAGCAAUGUAAUAAUUAAGAGUAUUGAAUUAGCUAGAGAAGGACCGUAUUGCAUUGCAAUUGUAAUUGAAUAGGUUCUCCAUCACUUCUACUCAGUUUGGGUAGCCAUGACAUACUGAUAGGUGUCCCUUAUGGUUUUUAGAAACCUGAAGAUUAGCAAUUACUAAUCUUCAUUAUAGGGAAAAUUAAAAGUAAGUUUUAAUUCACAAUCGAUUAGUAAGAGUUACAAUUGCCUAUUGCCUCACUAACUAGAACCUAAUGGAUCGGAAGGAUGAGAUUGAACAAAUAUAACAUAGUUAAAUAGUUUAAUUGAGUAUGGUUGAGAUCGUUAAAAUUAGAAGGGGAUAUAAAAGCGGAACUAAGGCGUUAACCCCAUUAGGACUUUGUGAGAAGCAAUUUGGAGGAACACCUCUCCCUUUCCUCUCAAGUAGGCCAGCCAUUUAGAAGAGAUUUAGCUAGCACCAACUAGAUCAUCCAUCUAUUCACAUCUCACCUUCAUAUGAAGACUUAGAGAUUCCAUCUUUUUGGAACUUGAACAUCCCAUUCAAAACAUCCAUGGAGCAAAAAUCCAAGAAGCAAGCAGAGAAAUUGAAGGCCCCCCACUUGACUGAUGUGAAAACAAAGAUGAGCUUUUAAAGUAAAAAGCUUCAUCCUUCUUCUCUCUGCCAAUUUGUGUUGGGUCAUCGUUCAUACUCACUAGCUAGGCUUAUGACUUUCAUGGAUAAAGAUUUAUUUUGAGUUUAUGCUUUCAUUAUUUCCGCCUCUAACAUUAAUUUCAAUGCAUGUGUUGCUCAAAAAAUCUUAAAAUGGACAAAGUUUUUGAUGUGGGAGGAAGAUUUGGAGAAAACAAUUUGAAACCAUUAAUAUGCUUUGGAAUAACAAAUGUUUUGUAUUGUAAUUACUUAGGAAUUUGUUAAGUUAUUUUGGGAGUUGUAAGGGUGUCAUGGAAACUUAAAGUCUAUUCAUUUGUAAACGCUUAUAAAUAUUGUACUAGAAAGCCUUGAAUAAGAGACUUGAAUGAAUUAAAAUAUAUUUUACUUUGUGCAAUUGAAGUGAGUGAUUUCUCCUUCCCCAAUCAAGCAUUUGGCUCGGUUGUAUGAGCGAAUACACGAUUAGUGACGUGAGUGAGUUCCACUGCCCCUGGUUGAGUGAUUCCUAGGUUAUCUAUCCCCCUCUCCUCGAUACCCUUGAUUCUGUCCUGUGUCAGUUUUUCCUUGAAAAAAUUCACCGUCCUUACAUAUUACGGGCAUACUUUCGCCUCUUUCCCUUUUUUGUUCAACAGUGUUUUCGAAUGAUGAUGACACGUUUGAAGAGAAUGAAUGCUAUAUAGAGAUUUUAUCUUCAAAAGAAAUUUUGCAAUAAUCUUGAAUCCCAUAUUGACUACGCAUCGCUGUCACUGAGACCUUUCAGUAAAGGCAAAGCCCAAUAACAAUUUAGACAUAAUUCUUAACAUGUGAUUCUUCUUUACCCCUUCUACAUUUAGAAGUCGUUAAUAACUUUUUUAUGGUGAAAUUUGUGUCUUGAAUCCUACAUGGACUUGAGCUAGCAUUUUAGAUGGGAUAUUAGCUUAUUACGAUUUCUUCGAAACUAUUCUGUGAAGGAGAAGAUAUUCCAUCUUUAAGACAUAAAUUAUUUUGAAUAGAUAUGCGACAACUAAGUAGUUAGCUCGUGACCAUUUAGUUUAGUAACAUCAAUUUGUUACUUUAUUAGACAAUGCACUGAGUUCAAAUUCCAUAGACAACAAAUGUUGAAUAAUAUAUUAAAAAUUGGUAGGUUUUUUUUUAUAAACAAGAUGAUGUUAUGAAAUACUCUAAUCUAUGAGGAAACAGAUUUGAUUCCAGCGCAAUGGGUGUCGGAUACUGCAUUUGGCCAAUUAGACUCAUCCAUAUCUGCAUAAAAAAAGUAGUUUAAGAUUUACAUUAGUUAGAUUAGAGAGAUGCUAAUACUAAUAAGUAGUUACUGCCCCAGCUACCGCAAGGCUUUGGAGCAUCUUGUGAACAGUUUCAAGCUCUAUACCUUUUUCUGGGUGAUCCUAGACAACUGUUCGCUUUAUAAUGAUAAAAAAGAAAAAGAAGAAAUAGUUUCUUUAAUUUUAUGGAUGAUCGAUCCACUAUCUCAAGUUGACUAUAUAAAAUACUUACGAAAAUAGAUCGAUAUGCCAUGGUUGGUAUAAGGACCAGUACUGCCUCAACAUUUUGUUGAUGAUAUUGGUGUGCGGGGGCCUUUAGUAUACAAAAUAAUAUGUUGGUGGUGAGUCCUACAAAAAUCUGAGGGUAGUCAUGGUGUUGAUAUUUGUAUAUACCUCAUUUCCUAGAAGCUGAAAUAUUCAUAUAUUUCAUAGUCAACCUUUUCAUAUGCAAACCAAUUCCAGCUAGUGCAUAUAUCCAAACCUCAAAAACAAAAAUAAAGAUAGAGGAAAGAAGGAUUACGCUUUCAUAAAAUAAUAAACUAGUUGGUAAAUAAAAUAAAAGCUAUACUAAUAUGAAUCAGAAGUUUGCAGCACCAUUGUUUACCACCCCUUUUCUGAGUGACUAAAUACACUUUAAAAUCCUCACUGCACUCACUUUAUCAUAAGCUCAUAACACAACAAAAACUGUCUCCCACUCUACAAGUAAUCGGCUACAACCUUAUAUUAAAACGUUUCACUGUACGUAUGUAAUAAUUCGAACAGUUCAUUUUUUUUAUCAUUUAAAAAUUAUUUUUUGAAAAAUUAUUUAAUUUACAGAUCAUUUAGCAAUUCAUGUGUGUCGAACAAAUCGAUGAUUAUAAUAACAAGUAAUAUCUUAACAAUUAACCAUCUAAACAAUCUUCAAUUCAAAUGAAACUUAUUAGAGAUGAUCCUUACACAAUGAUAAAGAGAAUGAAUGAGGCAGAUUAUAAUAUUUAUAUAAUGAGAUUAUGUUAGGAGCUAUAUGUUCACCUAAUUUCCAAUAUACAAUUAGUUACUAAUCUAGUUCUCAAACAACACACACUCUCUCUCAUCCGGUACCGAGAGUCAUACUUUGUGUCUGCUAUAUAUGUACUUUCCUUGCUAACAUAUAUAAGGUAAUCUAAUUUCACUUGCCUGAUUCAUAUUUCUCGGAUCCUUAGUUUCACUUAAUUUCUUGGAUCCUUCUAGUUCUGCUUUCACAUUAAUUAGGUUCCUUAAUCAAAUUGUUUAGUAUAUUACAAGAACUGGUUGUCCAUGUUACAAAGCAGGUAGGAAUGUGAAAAUAUCAAUAUAUAUUACUAGAUCCACCUAUCCCAAGAGAAAGUAACAUUGCUCACCCCUCUUAUGUUCUCAAAUAUCCAAAAAAAAAAUACACAUAAUCAGCAUCGUACGUGGGUCUUCUCUUUUAUUAUGUUGUAGAUUCACAUUUUAAUCAUGGAUAUUGUUUCAGUAAUAAAUUCAAGAAAAUGCCAAAUGCCAAAUUUUGGGAAGUUUGUGAAAAUUUGUAGAGAGUGCACGAGCAGCUGUACCAAAAACUAUAUCAAUUUUUAACAAGGUUCUAAAAGUCACUAGGCGCUAGUCGGGCGGCAGGCUGGGGCCUAGCGCCUAGGCGGCUAGGCGGGGCCUAGGCGGACUAGGCGGAUUUAAGUAAAUCUAUCAUAUUUCAGGUAAAUAAAUGUCUGCUUCUACUUGAAAUAUAUAUAAUUUCAUCAUAAACUACAAAAUAGAAUGCAUAUAUAUCAUGAAGUAUUGGAACAUAAUGAAAACAUGUGAAAUAAGGAUAUAAUGUUUGUUCAUUCAAGUAUGCAACAAGUCUCUUACAAUUUAUUGGAAAAAAACAAAAUGCAAAAUGAAAGUUAUGUAUUUUCUGUCUAAGUGAGUUGCAACCUAGGCGGGUCUAGGCGGGCUAGGCAGGUGCCUAGGCGGUCUAGGCGGUGGGCUGGGGCCCAGGCAUUAAUCGGGGCGGUGGGCUGGGGCCUAGCGCCUAAGCGGGGCCUAGGCGGCGCUAGGCGGGGAUUUUUAAAACAAUGAUUUUUAAAGUGAUAUAUCAAUUGUUUUUAGAAUAAUGCUACACACAUUAAAUAUGUGCACUAAAUAAUAUGGCACCAAUUAAAUAUGUGGUUUAAUUCAUGUUAAAAUUUAAUUAAUAAUUGUCAUAAAAGUUUAUUUGAUAUAAAUUAUAUCACAUUAUUUAGUGCAUGAAUGUAAUAUAUGUAGCACCACCCUUAUUUUUAAUUCACGUUAAAAUUUAAUUAAUAAUUGAACACAUCUUCUCAUUUAGGUUAUUCUUUCUAUUUCCAACCAUUCAAAAUGGAAGAGAAGCUUGAACUUAUUUUCGGUAAUCUUGAAUAAACAAUAUAUAUGUUUAAAUGUAAACGAUACUAUAGUAUAAACAAAUUAUCGUAAAUGACAGGGGAAUCUCUUUUAUGUUCAUAUAGACAUAUUGUAUUUGGUUAAAUAGACACAAAAUCAGAUGUUAAUUUGGUCUAUGCCUCCAAGUCCACGAUCACUUACCUCUUUUUUUUUUUUUUUUUUUUUAUGAAAGAAACGAUGGAAUUUCAUUGUCAUAAUCAGCCACUUACAUGGAUGUCAGUUGGGUACAUAUGCUCCAGUGAUCAAUUUCUUGAUCUGGAGGUAAUAAGCACAAAUUACAAAUAAUUGAAACCCCUAAACGGCUAUCACACAAAUCACACAUCUACAACGAGGAGUCCCGAGAUUGAAAUGUCCCAUAAACAAGACAUGACAUACCAAGAAAAUACACCCUCACCAAAACCAUCGCUAGACAGCAAGGCUACACAAUUGCAGAAGCGACAUAAACCAGUUGCCGAAACAACACCGACCAGUCAUAAUAAACUAGACUAAAAAACAAAAGGACAAGGUGACGUGUCCACAAGGAAAUGCAGCUACAAGUUGGCAGUAGGCGUGGGGAGCAUAGGCAGGGGCACGUGCAUAAAUGUCGGGAAGAGUGCAAACGCCAGCUGUGGCCGGGACAAACUCAGAGAGGUGGGGAGGAAAGGGUUCCAGCCAUAGCCACUGUAGUCAUCCGAACCAGAGUUGGUCGCAGCAGUGGCAAGAAAUAACUAUAACGACUUGGGUGGUCAGGGGUUGCCAAGCGAAUACCACCCACUCCACUAAACCGACAUCCCCACCACCACCACUAACCCAAAGAGGACAAAACGAUAGUUCCAAGGGCAGAGCCCUCAGAUGUCCAACUAACCGAGAGACAACAGCUGGCAAAUAUGCACACCAACACAUAUGGGCUGCCGUCAACUCCACGCCGUAGCAAGGGACUGGCGGCUAAGGUGGUUGCAGAUCUAGGGUUUUGGGCAAGAAGGAGGGCAGCAACUUGAGAGAGGUCUUGAAAACUAUUUUGUUAUAGUCUAAUCCAAUUUAUUUUUGAAAAAAAAAAGAUAUGAAAUUAGAUUUUUGUCAACUUAUCACAGAAAUGGCUAUUGAAAUAGAGUUAGCUAGGUUGUGUGGAGUUUUUGAAUUAGUUCCUAGUCUAGCAAAAAGCUACCGAUCUAUCUUCUCCCAUAAAAAGUCCUCAAUUUAAUCAAGGUUAUUGUUUACGUUAAUCUGAAAAUAAUUUGGAGUAGAUUGCAUCACCAUCACAUAAUGUUAUUAAUCUGCUCAUGUUAUAAUGUUUGUAUUUAUUUUUAUAUGUAUUAUAUCGUAAACUUAUGUUAUAACAUACUCAUGUCAUAUAGUCAUGUUAUAAUACAUGAAAUUGAAACACUAUGUAGCUACAUUACAUAUAUACAUUUCUUUUUAGUUGUCAUAUAUGCAUUCACUCUUUUUAGUUGUACAUCUGACCAUUAGGUAGUGAACACAUCAAAGAAAUGCGUGUACCAUAGUAAAGUCAUUGGUAUUUUUUCAUUUUGAAUACAUUCGAUAUUAUCUAUUAAGGGGGUGUUUGUUUGACCGGAUUAGGGAGGACUGGACUAGACUAGACUAAUUGCUAGUGUAGUCCCUUGUUUGGUCUGGACAAGGAUUAGGUUCAAUGAGCUUAGGCCGGACUCGCUCGGAUUAUAUACCUUGCUAGGUGUUCUUAACGAAGAUCCCCAAUUUCGGCCGGACUCGUAAGCCCUUCUGAUAGAGAGAAAAGCACGAGAGAGUUGCUCGUCCAAGAACCCCAACGUCGCUCGUCCUGCUUGUCGCACAUCGAUCCCUCCUUGCCCUGCUCCCUCAUCGUCGUCCUCCUCACCCUCAUCUCUGUGUCCUCCCUCAUCUGCAUCUGCUCACCCUCAUCUGCUUCGAGUUGUCUGGUAAAUUUCUAAUCUUCGAUUUAUUUCGUCGAUUUGUUUUGCAGAUUAUGAUAUUACUGAGCUUUAUUUGAUUUUGUUGUUUUGGGUUUGAGAAAUUUUCAAUCAUAUACCUCUGCACUUGAACAAAUUAGGGGUUUUUAUUUUUAGGUCAAAUUGAGAUUAGAAUUUGGGGUUGUCAUAUUUCAACUUUUCUUUCAAAUCCGAACUCAUAAACCAUGCUUGGCCAUAAAAUCGACAAGUUUCUUUUGCAAAAGGGACACAUACUUCCAUCUCUGUUAUGUUAGUAUAAAUCUGUGUGGUUUUUCGUUUUUAUGUUCUUGGUUCACGAAUCGAUGACUGGAUUGAGAAUGACAAGGAUUAUUAUGAAAGUUAAGCACUUACCUUGAUUUCCUUUUGGUAAUUCUCUUUUGGAUGUCUAUUUGAUUUGUUUUCAAUUUCAAUUUCGAAUUCAUGUUUGUGUGUGAAUUGGUAAUUCUCUAUAGGAUUUGGGGUUAGUGAGCUACUUAUUAUGUGAAUUUGUGAUUUGAAAACGAAUUAAGCAAUUGCGUAAGAACCCAAAUGGAACUUCAAGUCUCGUCAUUGCGGGCAAGUUUCUUUGUCUAGUUGAAAUCACAAACACCGGCUUUCUUUUUAUGUAAAGAUCUUGAUGAUAUAUGCAAUUAGGGACCUUCCACUUGUUAGAAACUAGUUUGGAGUUCUGGAAAUAGGAAUGUGUGUUGAAUGUCAAUUGACCCAUGAACAUUGAUGAUAACAUCUUCUUUGGUGGGUUUGGUGAUGAUUAAUGUCGAAGGUUAUCAUUCAUAUCGACACCUGGUUUUCUUAAGUCAACCUAGUUACAGGUCCUUAAAAAUUCUAUCGGUCUUGAAGCUUUGGAUUUCACAACUUGGACAGAGGUUAGCAAUUUGUUACAAAGUAGAAAUGUUUCAAAAAGUGCUCAUUAAGGUGUUAUAUUUUCUGGUUAAUAUGCCUAGUGGAAUACUCCGAUUGUGAUGUGUAACUGAUUGAUCGACGAAUGAUCUAUCUUUCCCCUUUUUCUUACUUUCCUGAGUUGUCGUUUUGUCUUUCGUUCUUUUGGAUGAAUGAUGUGCAAAUAUGCAAGAUUUGUGUUUUAAACAGAUUUCGGUUUGUGUUCUAUACCUGUGAUCCGUAGCAUUCAUCUAACAAAUAAGCAUGCACCAAACCAACAGUUACUGGAGGCUAAAGGCUAACUAUGUGAUUGAGUCAGUGAUACAACUAUGCAUUGAGUCAAAUGAGGAUUUACACUUCUUAUCACAUACUGCGUCACAAAAUGUGGGAGUGUUCAAGUCAAUCGAUUCGGAACUCAAGAAAGUGUUCGUCCAAAGGCUUUUAAGCGACAAAGCAAGCGGAUGAGUAUAUUAUGUGGUGUGCCUUUUGACUUGGAUGUAUUUUAUUAAUCGUACAAUCUUAGGUUAUGGCUUCUAAUUUAGCCUUGCACUGUGAAAUAUUUUGGCUAAUGUUAACUAGGAUUUUGUAAAUUAUGGAGAUCUACUUUGGAAUGCUAUACUAUAGUUAACUAGCAUUUUGUACAAUAUCCUGGAGGAAAGUUUAGUGAAUGAUGUUCUAAAGAGUCAGUCAAUGGCAAGGAUUGACUUGUGCAAUGAAAUGAAAUGAUGAAGUAAUUGCUCCUUUCUUUCUUUUGGAUAUUGUUAAUAGAGGAUUUUGUAUAAUUACUAGUAUAUAUAUGUAUAUAUGCGCUUAAUUAGACAAAACAAAAAUUCCAUACGCAUGAUUAUUGUUAUUACUAGUUUAAGUAUGCAUAAAUUGUUCAUGAUCUCUUCCCUUUGCAUAUUGUUACUAGUUUUCUUCAAACUAGUUGGAGCAAGCCAAUUUGCGUGCUAGGAAUCAAAAUGUAGCAAUGAUCAAUGCGCAGCUAUCCAUUUGUCAUUGUGCCUCGCAUCAUUGUGGUCUUAGGAUUGAAUGCAAUUGUCAUGGUAUGUACUAAAAUUGGCUUAUACAUACAAGAGCAAUUCCAAGUAAUUAUUUCACAAUUGAGUUAAAAAUUGAACUUGUCAUACAUCAAUUUUCGUUCUACUCAAAUACAAGUAUAAACCAACACCUUUAACUUUAAUCUACAACUUUAAACCAAAGGUGAAUUAUUAAGAAAAGCAUCCUGAACUUUGUCGAUUGUUGGGAGGACACUUUGUUAUAUUGAUGUUUGGAACAAUGCUACUCUUGAAUCAUGUAUGUUUCUUUCGUUGGCAAGAAAAUUUGGUUUUUGUAAUUUUAUUGAGUCUCACUCUCAUCCAAUAUUAUUAAUUUUAAUAAUAUCUUUAAUAAAAAAAGCAAUUAAAAUAGAACAAUAAUGUAGUUCUAGUCUUAGCAAACACCAAACGGGUGAACAGUAUAUUAUUUUCAUUAUCCUGCUUCUUAGUCUGAUACUAUACCAAACGCUUCACUAAGCUAGUCCAGCUUAGCCCCAGUUUGGGGUUGAGGUGAUUUUAAAAAAAGCUCCUAUGAAAAAAAGCUGAGAGUGUUUUUGGUGUUUGGUAAACUUAAAAAAAAGGGCUUAUUUUGGAAGCUGCUGUGAGAAUAAGCUGAAAUCAAAGGAAAAAGCUGAAGCUGCAAUUUGUAGCUUUGGAAAACUGGCUUUCUUUCAAAGCACAUAGAACUACAGUGCUCCUUUAAUGAAAAGAUUCACUAUCAGACUGUUUUUUUUUCCAAAAGCACUUUUACAAAAAAGUUUACCAAACACUCUGCUGAUUUAUUUCACAGCCGCUUAUUCUCACAGCACAACCGCUUAUUCUCACAGCAGCUUUUUUUCAAAGCACAGCAAUACCAAACCAGCCCUUAGUCUAGUCUAAGCCAGUCCAGGUUAGUCCCCGCAGCUAGUCCAGUCCGAGACAGUCCGGUUCAACAAACGCACGAGGUUAGGAUGUGAGCUGAACCUCACAAUGGGCUACUACUAAUUUGGUUAGAAUUUGCCUUAACUGAUAAUAGAGCUUAAGAUCACUCACUUACAAAUGAAAAAAAAACAAAUACUGCUAGACCAUAAGAUUAGGUAGCAAUUUCUCUUUUAAGUGCUAAAUAAAAUUGAGUGGUGUUAUCACAAACCCAUUUUACCUUUCACACACUCCUUUUAAUUUUCGAUUGCCAAAUCGAAUAAAUCGAAAAGAAUCAACAUACAAAAUGAAUAAAAGUGGGUUAAAAAGUAAAAACAAAAAUGUGAAAUGACACUAUCCAUAAAAUUUUGGUGCAUAUUUCGGAAAUGCCCGAACGGACCAAGUUUUUAGUUUUGUAGCCCGUGACCAAUGGCUCAUAUUUGAUCAAUUAGAAUCCAUAAGUUGUGGCCCAUAAACAAUUGGUUAAAUAUUGGUGGCUCAGCUUGUUUUGUGAACAGCAACUGAUAGUGGUUAAUUGUUAAAGCAGAACCUAGAAGAAAAUAAAAGGUGAAAACCCAGAUCCAAUGCGAAGAACAAAGAAUGAGGAUCCUUUUUGUGAGGAUCCAAAUAAUUUUUUAAUUGUACUCAUUCGUCGUAAAUCAUACGGUCAGUUUUCGUCAUGUACUAUUUGUAUUUAAUUUUAAAUAAAAAUUUUAAAAUGAUUUCUUACCGCAUAAUGUACGAUGAAUAAACACGACUAAAAGAUCCCUGGGAUCCUCACAAAGAGGAUCUAGAGAGGAUCCUCAUCCAAGAACAAAAAGAUCAUGCACUAUUGUUGUCAUCUCCUUCUCUUGGACCAUGCCUUUCUGUCUCAUUGAGCUUUCAACUCUCAUAUGCUACUGGGUUACCUUAUUAUAUACUAGCACACUGCUUGUGGCAUAGUCUGACACAUUCGUGAUAAGCUUUCAUAAUGAGAUUUACUUCCACAAAUAUACAUGCGAGAAAGAUGCCAUUUGCUGCUAUUUCAUCUAUUUGUGCAUUAAGUUCGAAGAAAAUACCGUUUUACUGUGAAUUAUAUAUAAGCUGUUUUCUUUCAUUCAUAUAACUAUUUGAUUUUAGUUUAUCAACUGGAAUAAUGAAUAAAAAAAAAUAUUAAGAUAUCUACUCAAUUCAUUCCAACCCUUUCCUUGAAUGAAAUGAGCGGAGUAGCGAAAUAUAUAGCUAAAAAGGCUAUUUCAAUAGCAGUAUCUAAAAUUCAUUCAUUCUAGAUAGAAAUGUAGAAACAAACAAAAGAAGUUUUUGGAUGAAGAAAAAAAGAAUUGCACAAUAUAUAAUUAAUAUAUAAAAGCAGUUCCGAGCCACAAUGGGACGAGAAUAGUCCCGUCCCGUUCUGAAUUUUUAUUUCUUACUUACUACAUAUCCAAUACAUGCAUAUUAGGUUAAUUAAAUUCAUAUUAUUUAUCUUGACAGGUAUCUGAAAGGAAUUUGUAAAAACUGAUUCAAUUCUUCAUUCAUUGAUCUUGUGUAUGAGUUACCGGGCUUCUUAUAUAAAUUAGGAGUGGGAAAUUUUGCCAUAAACUGAUUUACCGAUCAAAUCAUACCGAUCGACUCAUAAUGGUAUGAUAUAGUUUUGACAUUUUUUCAUAUUCGGUUGGCAUUUUACCGAACCGACAAUCAAUGGCAUGACUUUGGUAAUUGAUUUUGUAUGCCGGCGGUAUGCCAUACCUACCAAUAUAUAUAUAUAUAUAUAUAUAUAUAUAUAUAUAUAUAUAUAUAUAUUUCUAUUUAGAUAUUUUAGGUAUUUUUUUUUUACAUGCUUGACUCCUCAGUUUUAGGGUUUAGAAAAUAAAUGACUCCUUAGUUUUAGGGUUUAAAAAAUAUAUGUAUAUGUAUAUGAUUCAUGCCAUGAUAAAUAUAGAAAAUAUUAUUAACAAAAUUGAUAGGUUGAUGAUUACUGAUACUAUAUAUACACGUACAUAUAUAUGAUUUUGAAAGUAUACGCGUUGCUUAUGUUUAGGAUGAUGGAGUCUAGCCAAUCAACUGCUAGUGCACAACAUGGAUUAACCCAAAAUGAACCACACAUGCAACCGAACAAGCACCCCAAUAUGAAAAUCAAAUUGAGCCCUUGGAAAUGGAAGAUAGCGAGGAAGAAGUGGAAACCACCGGUUGUGUCAUUUACUAACCGAAUUAGCCAAUAAUUUUGGCUUAACCAAUUUUUGGCAACUGCAAGAAAACGAUAGGAUAGCGGUAACUGAUUUUCAGUAAUUAUAUAUAUGUGGCUGGCAGGUGGCACAAGGAAUUUGGCACGGUUUGCCAACCGAAACCAGGCCUAAUAUAAACCUAUUACAUGAUAAGUCUCUAGAGAUCAAUCCUAUGAGAUAAAGUCUGCAACAGAGAGGAUUAAUAUCCUAAUACAUCAUGACGACCCAAGCGUCCAAAUGCUGUCCAACAGAAUUGUCUAAAAUUUAUUUUCUUAAGUUAAUCCUAACCUUUCAGUAACUUAAUAUUAUUAUCAAAUGUAUUAAGUUAGUUCAGGAGAUUGACACCAAAAAUUCCUAUAAAAUCCUAAUCUUCCAUUUUUUUUUUCUUUUGUUGUUUCAUUCAUUCUCUAUUUUCUCAAUAAAUUCUUAAGAUGUGCAUUCCACCUACUGAAAAUGAACAAGGAUUAUCCAAAGUUUUGUAAAUCUCUUUUUCAUUUUUAGAUGUGUACAUUGAUAAUGAGAUUUUAGUUCUCCCACUCUUCGAAAAUUGAGGACAACUAUGCAUGGUUGUAAUGGAUAUAAAUGUUUUCAAUCAGUGUUUUGGCGUACAGUAUGAGUUCCACUUAUUUAUUUAUUUAUUUUAUUUUACGUUAGUAUGAGGCCCCCUCCACAUGUGAAAUUCAAGUUCCGUCAUUUUAUGAGAGUUUUCAUUCAGAAUAUCGAUAAAAUUCAACAUCUAGUAAUGAGUAUUCAUGUUGGGACAAUUUCGUUGAUGUUGGGGGUGAACCAUGUUGGGUUUAUAAAGUUUAGGGAAAUUUUAUUUGAACCCAUAUAACCUCUCUUUACACCCAACUUAAACUUCAAAUGUGAAUUGUCUUUUCUACCAUAUUGCAUAAUUACCGAAAUUAACAAUUAACUUAUAAUUUAUCAAUAAAUCCACCUAAUAAUCAAACCCUACCAUCAUACAAUCUUUAUCCUACCUUCAUACUAGCUAAAAUCUUAAGAUGUUUUCAUAGAGAAAAAAAAAUCAUUUGAUUUCUUUUUUUUUUUUUGAUUUUUUUUUGAUUUUUAGAAUUUAGGAACAAAAUCAGCAUUUUCCAUGAUGCUUGCAUAGAAGAUACUGUUUUUUCUCCUCUGUAAAUGCCUCGACGUCUGUAGCAGAACGCGCUGCAUGAAGUUGGUGCCUGCAGCAGGGACUUCGUUCAUGUGCUACGAAGCAUGCAAGAGGAUAUUGAUAGAAGAAACAAAGAAGGAGUGGAAUAGUGUCAUGAGAAAUAAAUUCUUUCAGAUAAUGAACCUAGGAACAAAUUUGAAUCUUUUGGUCGCAGAUAUAAUUGUAUUCUACAACAUUUUAUAAAUUAAGUUAUAUCAUAGAUAAGCAAAUGUCACUAGAGAGAUGAGUUGUCGAACACUGAUUUGUGUGUUUUUAUAUUCCAAAUAGGCGUGAAGACAAAUUUAUAUAUUGAAUUGAGUUUGUAAGGGUAAUCUGGUAGUAAAUUUGGAUUAAAAAAGAUAUUGAUAGUUUAAUUAAAAAUAAUAUGGGUUUAAAUAGUAAGUUGGGUGUAAAAAGAGGUUACAUGAAUUUAAUUAAAAUUUCUCUAAAGUUUAUCAUGGUAUUAGAGCAGGUUAUUCUUUUGACACUCCUAGACCUGAUUUACUGGACUCGAAUUUAUCUCCUUAAGUUGGGCUUUCGAAAAGUUGCCCUAGCUCCAGUUUAAGGAUAUUAAAUGAAUGGACCCUCAAAAAGUUGUGUUGGCUCUUGUCCCUAAAAGAUGUCUGGCCACUUUUGAAAAGUUUCCUUAGCUCAAGUAUAAUGAAUUGACCAGUUCUCGAUGUCAGAAGUGGUUUCCCUUGUGAUCUUGUGUGGGGCCACUCGUGGGAGGGCGUAUUGGAGAAUAGGAUCCCACAUUGGGCAUAUGAUAAAAUGAUAUACGACUAAUAUAUUGGAGUGACAAGAGUAUCUAAUCAACCACAAAUUUCUCCAAUGCAUCUACUAUAAAACUGUGAUCCCACCAAUCUUUCCAUAUUGUUUUAUGUAAAUAAUCAACAGUUAUUACUUACUUUUUUUGUUGUACGAAGUCAACUAUUGGCUUGCAUAUAUUUUUUGUAUAAAUAGAAUGAAUAAAUCAAUCAAGGAAUAUUUCAUAAUACAGACUUGCUUCUUCCUGCUCUAUAUCUUUCUGCCACUCCUUCUUUCUCAAUAUGGUAUCAUCUUUUUCACCAAGCUAACGCUUCAAUCGAUCCUAAAUGGCUUCUCUUGCCUCCUAUGAUAUUUGUCUUCCUUCACCAUGUCUGCUACUAUCCUCUCUCUUCACACCACCCUCAACAUCUCCUACAACAUUAAUACUCCUAUGGAUCACAAUAAUUAUCCUAGUUGGCGAUCUCAAUUUUUGGAUAUCCUUGAAUCCAAAGAAUGGAAGAUAUCAUGGUCGUCAAUUCCAAACCACCAAAGAAGCUUGACGAUGGAUCAAUCCGCAUUAUUAGGACAAACUCGUUCUUUGCUGGAUCAAGGCCAUUUGCUCCUCUUCUCUCUGACCUAAUUUUCUUUCCUGCAUCUCUGCUUACGAUGCUUGGACUCUCUUGGAAAAUCGUCUAUCACCUCUCUCCAUGACUCACCUCCGCACCCUUUCAGACCAACUUUGUACUCUCAAGAAAGAUUAAGAGGAAUCUAUGUCUGACUAUCUGCUGCAUGCUAAAAGUAUUGCCGACUCUCUUACCGUCAUUGGUUCUGCCAUUACUGAAGAUGAACUUAUUGAAUGUCUACUAGAUGACCUUGGUCCUGAGUAUAAAGAGUUCACCACAGCUGUUCAUCUCCAGCCUUUCCCAUUCAUAUGAUGAUUGCUACGAUUUGCUUAUUCAAGACGAGAAUCUUAUAAAAAACAUGUCCUCUCUAUCUCUGUCCAAUGGCGUUGUUUUUUGCCACUUCUCGUCGAUCCGCUAGUGUGUUCAAUUCAGUCUCCAACAACAACAGUUCUUCUUCUCAUUGUUCCUUUGGACAAGGACAUGGUCGUGGUCGAGACCGUUAGCAUAGUCAAUGGCGUCCCUUCAAUCAACUCAUCCCUGUACCUUGGAAUCUUUCUCAGGCCAACCAUGGUGCCUCUUGCAACAACAGACCUCUUUCCUCCCCACGCCAUCACUUCCACCCAAGUUACCCACAUUUGAAUAUGAUUGCCUUUGUCAACUUUGCGAAGAAUAUGGUCAUAAAGCCCGCCAAUUUUCCACACGAGGAAACUUUGCCUAUCUAGCGACUACUGACUCUCCCUCAUCAACACCUAGGGUGGUCGAUUCUGGCGCCACCAAUCACAUGACCAAUGAGCCUUCCGCUCUCGCACAAAUCCAACCAUACAAGAGGUACCGAUACUAUUAUUGGUGGAAACGAAAAUCACUUGCCUGCAUCUCAUGUCGGUAACUCCCCCAUCUUUGGUUUACAUGGACCCACGUUGCUAAAUGUUGUAUUAUAUGUCUCUGCCCUUAAAAAUAACUUAUUAUCGCUUCGUCGAUUUUGCUAUGACAAUCAUUAUUUGUUUUAGAUGGAUGAUCGUUCUUUUCAUGAAGGACAAGAGGAUGGGACAACUUCUUUUGAUUAGGCAUAACUAUGGUGAACUUUACUAUAUUAGAGCUGCUUCUCAUGUCACUCUAAAGCUCGUGUUUUAUGGCGAACGGACGACUAACGAUGUGUUUCAUGCUCGCUUGGGUCACACCCUACUACCAUAUUUCAUGUUUUGGCAAAUAAGUACCAUAUAUUCCCAUCAUUGGUGCACUUUCAUCUAAUAAAAGUCAUAUUUGUCCGAUAGGCAAGGCAUGUCACCUCCUAUAUUCCUCUCAAACAUCAAUGGCUCACUAUCCUCUAGACAUGGUACAUCUUGAUGUAUGGGGCCCCACUCCUAUUGUGUCUAGUUUUGGUUACAAGUAUUAUUUAUCUAUGGUGGAUGAUAAUUCAAGAUUUGUGUGGUUAUUCUCUAUUGUUCGUAAGUCCGAUGUACUGAUUAUCUUCAUUACUUUCAAAUGCAUGAUUGAAAAUCGGUUAACUACAUAAUUAAACUAUUACAAACGGAAGGUGGUGUCGUGAAUUCACUAACCUUGUGUUUCGAUAUUUUCUUUGUGAUCAUAGUAUAAACACCAACUCUCUUGCCCACAUACGCCUCAACAAAAUGGUAUAGUUGAGAGAAAGCAUCGCCAUGUUGUCGAAAUGGGUCUGUCUCCUUGCUCAAUCUCAUUUACCCAAAUUUUUUUGGGUGAAGGCCUAACCGCCACAUUUCUUAUAAAUCAAUUGCUUCUCCAUAACCUCUGGAAUGUUUCUCCCCAUGACAACUAUUUGCCAAAGUUCCCAAUUACCGAUUUCUUAAGACAUUUGGGUGCACAUGCUUCCCACACUUGAUCCCUUACAACAAACAUAAGUUGCCGCCCAUGUCCAUCAAAUAUGUAUUCAUUGGUUACAUUAACAACUACAAAGGUUAUCAUUAUCUCGAUGUUGCUUCUGGCAAGGUGUAUAUUUCUUGUAAUGUACAAUUUGAUGAACUCACCUUUCCGUUUAAAGACCUUGGGUUAAGUUCUCUUCCUAGCGAGCAGCCUCCUCAACCACUAGUGUAAGGACCUGUAUUUUAAAAAAUAAUUAUAUAUAAUUAUGUGUUGUAUAUACUUAUUAAUUUCAAAAAGUUUUGUAUUACUUCUUUAAUCGUUAAUUCCUUUAUUUCAUUUUUCUAUACUCUAAUUUACUAUUAUUUUGAACCAAAUAAGUUCAGUACACCAUUACGAUAGUAUUUGAACUAUAUAUUCAUAUUAUUCAUUUUCUUCCCUUUUACAUUAUUUUAUUAAGCUGUUUGUUCUAUGCUAAUUGGACCAAAACCAUGGCCAAUUAAAUGGCUUUUACAUCAAUCCUAUCGAUGUACACAGACCUGGAGCCCGAGUCCAUCAAUAGCUGGGAACAGUUGGAAAGGGAAUUCCUCAACCGCUUCUACAGUACCCGCCGCACUGUGAGCAUGCUGGAGCUGACGAGCACGAAACAAUGGAGGGAAGAACCAGUCAUGGACUACAUCAACCGAUGGCGUAAUCUAAGCCUCGACUGUAAGGACAGGCUCUCUGAGAUUUCUUCAAUCGAGAUGUGCAUCCAGGGCAUGCAAUGGGGUUUACAAUACAUCCUUCAAGGUAUCAAGCCAUAGACUUUUGAAGAAUUAGCCACUCGUGCCCACGACAUGGAACUGAGCAUCGCCCACCAUGGAAAGAAGGAGCCAAUCAUCGAUUUCAAAAGGGAUAAGGUGUUUACUUCAAGAGCAGACAAUCAUGGGAAAAAGCCCGCCAAGGAAGCUUUUACCACCAAAACCAUCCCUAUCAAGACCUCGUCCGCACCCGUCAAAAUCUCCUUCAAUAACAAAGCAAAGGAGAUAAAAAGAAGUGAGCCUUCCCACACCCAAGAUAGGUACAAAAACACUUUGAGGGAACUGGAGCAGAAGGUAUACCCUUUUCCUGACUCCGACAUGGAUGCAAUGUUGGACGACUUGCUGGAGAAGAAGGUGAUUGAGUUGCCUAAAUGCAAACGCCCUGAAGAGAUAAAUCGUACCAACGAUCCCAAGUACUGCACGUACCAUCGUAUCGUGGGUCAUCAUGUGGGCAAAUGUUUCAUCCUAAAAGAACUCAUCAUGAAGUUGGCACAGCAAGGGCGGAUUGAGCUCGACCUAGAAGACACAGCCGCAACGCAUACCACUACGAUCGUGUUUGGGUCCUUUGAUCCCGUGCCUCUUCAAGAAAUACCUGACCAUUCCUAUCAAUGUACAAGCUACACAGCACCUUCUGCACAACCAUCAUUGGGGGCAAACGACCAGGAUGCACCUAUCGAUGAUGAAGAAGGGUGGACAUUGGUGACCUAUAAGAAAACGAGGAAGCCAAGACCACAAGCUAUAAAGCCAAAGGGGGAGCAAGCGAGAAAGCAUCGUCGCCGCAACAAUAGGAAGCCUAAAAGAAGUAUAAGAGCUGCUAAGUCAACAUAUGCUGGGGAACCUAUGGAGCAAGAGCCACGUAUUCCCGUCUCAUUGCACGAAUACUUCCUGGAGGACUUCUUCCAACAGUGCACUAUCACUGCAUGUCACAUGGUCGAAGUAGAAAUGGAAGAACCCUCAAAAGGCAAAGCUGUCACCACUGAGGGGGAAAAGACUCUUACAACUGAAGAAGGUCUGCCAACACACCUUAGCAUCGAAAGAGCGCUCCGGUUGCCAAAGGAGAUGCGAAGAGCACUGGCAGCGCGGUCUUGGCAAGUCCCGAUGACCAAGAAGUGCAAGAAAGCAAGAACGAAAGCUUGAAGCUUCGGCCAUAUGAAUGUGCCACAUGCUGUGCCGCCGAGGACGCAAUCCACUUCACCGAUGAAAACUUGCUGCUAGGAUCCAAGCCUCACAACCGACCUCUCUUCGUCUCUGGGUACGUAAAGGAGCAUAAAGUCAGCCGCAUGCUUGUGGAUGGUGGAUCAGCCAUAAAUAUCAUGCCAAAGUCAACAAUGACCACAAUCGGCAUCAAGGUGGAUGAACUAUCCCUAAGCCGUCUACUAAUCCAAGGAUUUAACCAAGGAGGACAAAGAGCGAUGGGCAUGGUCCAAGUGGAGAUGACCAUUGGUGAACUCAAGUCAAGCAUAAUAUUCCACGUGAUUGAUGCAAGAACUUCCUACGGUUUGCUCUUAGGAAGGCCUUGGAUCCAUGCAAAUGGAGUAGUACCGUCCACCCUUCACCAAUGCUUAAAAUUUUACCGAGAAGGAGUGAAGGUGAUCUAUGGCGACACCAAGCCAUUCACUGAAGCCGAAUCACAUUUCGCAGACGCCAAGUUCUACAUGGAUGAAGACAUGGUGCCCGAAACUCUUCGAAAAUAGAUCAAAUCCAUGGGCAAAGCAACACCUAAAAAGCAGGAGUGGCAAGCUGUGCCAAAAAAGCAAGAAGAAGAAGUUAUGCCAUCUUCAAGCAAAAACAACGAUGAGCUUGCUAAACCUGCAACAACCAAAGGGAGUAGAACGCCCUCAAAUGGACCAAACAUACCCGUUUUCCGAUACAUCCCGACGUCUAGAAGAAAGAAUGGUCAAUCCCCUUUUGAAACUGCAGCAAGCAAAGCCGAUGCAGAGCGGCACAUGGAUAAUGUAAAGUUGCUUAAAACAAAUGCAAUUCUGCCUUUAACACAGCUAGGCGACACUAAGGUUGCAGGACCAUUACAAGGCUUCAUAAAAGGCCUGCCAAAAGGGGUAGAACCAAGCUUUCUCCCAACCAAGAGGACCGAAGAAGGUUUUGAUCCAAAUGCCUACAAACUCAUGUCUAAAGCUGGGUACAACUUCACCUCCUCUGUAAAUUUGGGAAAGAAGGGUUUGAACACCGUCAAAGACAACAAAACGUGAUCUCACAAAAACUCAGAAGAAGUUGGAGGAACAUGGUUACGGGGUCAACAACAACAAAAGCUGGACUUGGCUUCAUACCAAAUGCACCGGUGAAGAUCGCCAGCAAGACAAAAAAUGCUAGCGCUCAACACAUCAGCGUGAGCAUUAUACAAAAUAAAGAAGAGCCUCAACCUUCCCCCCAGACGUCAGUAUUCGAUAGAAUGAAUCGUUCAAGACCCAAAGUUUCGGCAACUAAACUCAUUGGCGGUCAAAACAGAACUUCCGUCUUCAAAAGGCUUAACACGUCAGCAUCUCGAAGCUCUGUUUUCAAAAAGGUUGUCGAAACCUAAGAAACAAAGCAAUACGACUAGCUUUCCUCCACGACAGUCAGUUAUGGAAAGACUUGAAGAAGCCAAAAAGCCUUCUAGAAGGAGAAAGACGACACCAGAAGUAGAAAAGAUCGAUCGUCUGGCAGAAAAAGAUGACGUUCGAAGUUCCAUUCCUUCAAGAAUGAAGCGCCAAACAAUUUUGGAGGUUAACACAGUUGGAUCACUGAAAGUAAAAAGGCGCACCAUCAUCCACACUGGACAAUCUUCAUCCCAACAAACUCAAGGGGUCAACACCGAAGAAGAGGCCCAAGACGUCUUCCACAUCACAAUCCAAGAAGGUGAAGAAGAUGAAAUCCUCGAGGAAGAUGUCAUUACAGCGCCAUCACAACUCGAAGAUGAGGGGCAAGCCACAGUUGACGAUCUCAAAGAACUCAACUUAGGCACAAGUGAGGAACCAAAGCCUAUCUUCGUGAGUGCAUUACUAAGUGCAGACGAGAUAGAGAAGUAUUACCAGCUGCUAUUAGAGUACGAGGACGUUUUUGCUUGGACCUACAAGGAAAUGCCCGGCCUCGACCCCAUCAUUGCUGUGCAUCAUUUUGCAGUCAAGCCUGGAACGCGACCAAUAAAGCAAACUCAAAGACGCUAUCGAUCCGAGCUCAUCCAGUAAAUCGAGGCUGAGAUUGACAAGUUGAUCGAAGCAGGCUUCAUUCGAGAGGUGCAAUACCCCAAGUGGAUCUCCAAUAUCGUCAUAGUCCUUAAGAAAUCUGGACAAAUACGUGUUUGCGUAGACUUCCGAGACCUCAAUGAUGCUUGCCCAAAUGAUGACUUCCCCUUGCCAAUCAUUGAAAUCAUGGUGGACGCAACCACUGGCCAUGAGGCACUAUCAUUCAUGGACGGCUCUUCUGGAUACAAUCAAAUUCGUAUGGCUCUUGAAGAUGAGGAACUAACAGCAUUCCGCACUCCAAAAGGUAUCUACUGCUACAAGGUGAUGCCCUUUGGUCUGAAGAAUGCUGGAGCUACAUAUCAACGCGCAAUGCAGAAGAUCUUCAAUGACAUGCUACACAAGAACGUAGAAUGCUAUGUAGACGAUGUGGUGGUUAAGACAAAUAAAAGAUUAGAUCACUUGAAGGAUUUACGAGUAGUGUUCGAAAGGUUGCGAAAAUACAACCUCAAGAUGAACCCGUUAAAAUGUGCAUUUGGCGUCACAUCUGGAAAGUUCCUUGGCUUCAUUGUCAAGCAUCGUGGCAUUGAAGUGGACCAAUCAAAGAUCAAGGCCAUUCAAAGCAUGCCCGAGCCAAGAAACCUGCACGAGUUGAAAAGUCUACAGGGACGGCUAGCCUUCAUCAGACGCUUCAUCUCCAACCUUGCAGGGCGUUGUCAACCAUUCAGUCGACUCAUGAAGAAAGAUGUUCCGUUCGUAUGGGACAAAGCAUGCAACAAUGCUUUUGAAAGCAUAAAGAAGUAUUUAUCAAGUCCACCUGUCCUGGGGGCACCUGUACCAGGGAAACCGCUCAUAUUGUACAUCGCUGCUCAGGAAACUUCAGUCGGAGCACUCUUGGCACAGGAAAAUGAAUCCCAGAAAGAAUGAGCGCUCUGCUACCUCAGUCGAACGCUCACCGGCGCUGAGUUGAACUACUCCCCAAUAGAAAAAAUGUGCCUUGCCUUGAUAUUUGUCAUCCAGAAGCUCAAACAUUACAUGCAUGCUUACACCAUCCACUUGGUUGCUAAAGCUGACCCGGUCAAAUACGUCAUGUCCAAGCCAGUUUUGACAGGACGACUAGCUAAAUGGGCAUUGCUUCUCAAUCAAUACGAGAUCAUCUACGUCCCAGCUAAAGCCGUCAAGGGACAAGCACUAGCAGACUUCCUUGCCGACCAUCCAAUCCCAGCCGAUUGGAAAAUCUCAGACGACUUGCCUGACGAGGAGGUGUUCUACAUCGACAUAUUCCCGACAUGGACGAUGUUCUUCGAUGGAUCUGCACGAGCAGACGGAGCGGGGGCAGGAGUAGUAUUCAUGUCGCCACAAAGGCAAAUACUACCUUAUUCAUUCCAACUAAGCGAAUUAUGCUUCAACAACGUCGCUGAGUACCAAGCACUGAUCAUCGGGCUCCAAAUGGCGAUCAACAUGGAAAUUACAGCCCUUGAGAUAUAUGGCGACUCCAAGCUCAUAAUCAAUCAACUCCUGACUGACUGAAUAUGAGGUGAGGAAAGAUGAUCUCGUCCCAUACUUCCGGCUGGCAACGCAAUUGCUGCAAAAGAUCGAGGCCGUAACACUAGAACAUGUGCCAAGAAAAGAGAAUCAAAUGGCAGACGCUCUCGCCAACCUAGCCUCGAGCAUAACGUUAGGAGAUGACGAAGCCACAAACGUGCCAGUCUGCCAAAGAUGGGUAAUCCCGCCUGUCACUGAAAUGGUACUAAGUGAUACAAAUGUUAUUUCCAUACUUUCGGUCAACGUUGAAGAAUGGAGACAGCCGCUGAUCAACUACUUGGAGCAUGGAAUACUCCCAGAUGAUCCAAAACACCGUUCUGAAGUACGUCGACGAGCGCAUCGCUUCCUCUAUUACAAAGGGACACUCUACCGGCGAUCUUUUGAAUGAGUACUUCUGAGAUGCUUAGGCAAGGAAGAAGCCAAUCAAGCCAUGGAAGAAGCACACUCAGGAAUAUGUGGAGCGCAUCAGUCCGGACCGAAGCUUCAUUUCCAACUCAAAAGAAUAGGUUACUACUGGCCAAGCAUGGUAAAGGACUGCCUAGAACACGCCAAAAGGUGCCAAGCCUGCCAAUUUCACGCCGACUUCAUACAUCAACCGCCUGAACCAUUACACCCUACAGCUACUUCAUGGCCAUUUGAUGCAUGGGGAUUAGACGUAGUAGGACCAAUUGCACCAAAGUCAUCUGCAGGAGAAGCGUACAUCCUGGCUGCAACAGAUUACUUCUCCAAGUGGGCUGAAGCCAUACCUCUGAAAGAAGUCAAGAAGGAAACUGUCAUCCGUUUCAUCAAAGAACAUAUCAUCCACCGAUAUGGCGUGCCUCGCUACAUUGUCACUGACAACGGAAAACAGUUCUCCAACCGACUCGUGGACGAGCUCUGCGAGAAAUACAAGUUCAAGCAGCACAAAUCCUCUAUGUAUCAUGCUCCGGCCAACGGUCUUGUAGAAGCAUUUAACAAGACAUUGUGCAACCUCCUGAAGAAGGUAAUCGGCAGAACAAAGAAAGACUGGCAUGAAAGAAUAGGCGAAGCACUUUGGGCAUACAUGACGACAUAUAGAACGCCUACCCAAGCUACACCUUAUUCUCUCGUAUAUGGCAUGGAAGCUGUUCUACCGCUCGAAAGUCAAUCCCCUCGAGUCAGUGAAUCUUCCACCUUGUCACCUUCUCUGUUUCUCCUUCGAAAUCUUUUUCAUGUUAGCAAACGCCUCUUCAAAACAAACUCCGGUCUGUUUUCGGACUUCUGACGGUGUCACGUCAUAGAACCGGCAGAAUCAGUCUAGACUCAUCGUUGCCGCAAGUUCAACCAUACUUGCAAGUUCAUCCAGGCACCAUGUGGAGGUUGCGUAGUUUCUCGAAAGAACAACGACGAAAAUUUGCGAUUCUGCGAUUGCUUCGGCGAGUUCCUUUGAGAUGGGUUUUCCCGCUCUCGAGUUGUUCUUCAUCCCUGAAAGUGUGGAUCCCGUCUCGAACUAGAGCAUUGUACAAAUGGUCAGUGAAACCUUUCCGAGUGUCCAAACCUCUAAAACUCACGAAAACCUCGUAUUUCAGUGGAGGGGUCGGAAAAGGUGGCAAAGGUGACGAGGUUUUUGGUGGUCAUGGGAUCAGCCAUUGGAGACUAAUCACCAGCAAACAAACUGGUAAUUAAUGGAAGCUUUGGCAAGUUGUUGCUUAGAAGUGUUUGCAGAACUAGCUAGCUUGGUAUAGCUGCGAAGAAUCACAAGUAAACGGACUCAGAACCGCAAUACAAGGACAUCAACUUUUAUGACACGAGUAGUUACGAGUACAUUGUACAUCUGCAUCAUUAAAUUAAGAGUCAUUAAAUUAAGAGUUAUUUGUUGCUUUGUUCUCUGAACUUGUUACGAGUACAUUGUACAUCUGCAUCAUUAAAUUAAGAGGUAUUUGUUGCUUUGUUCUCUGAACUUGUAUGCAGCUGCCAAUUUUUCGUCUGAACUUUAAUUUUAGCCGAUUACCCCUAUGAACUUUUUAAAUUAGCCAAUUUCCUCCUUAAACUUUAAUUUUAGACGAUUACCCCCUGAACUGUUAUAAAUAGCCAAUUCCUCCUUUGGCGUUAGAUUUUAAAAACUUUCAUUCAAUUUUUCAUCCAUCCAAUGUUUCAUCCUUUUUGCCCUCAUACAGUUGUCAUGUGUUGUUUCCGUGAUCAAGAUGGAUGAAACUUUUAAAAUCUAAAGCAAGGGGAAAUUGGCUAUUUAUAAAAGUUCAGGGGGUAAUAGACUAAAAUUAAAGUUCAUGGGGGAAAUUAGCUAAUUAUAAAGGUUUAAGGAGGUAAUUGACUAAAAUUAAAGUUCACAGGGAAAAAUUAACAGCUCUAUACAAAUUCAGAUGAUAGAUCGACAAAUAUACCUUAAAUUAAUGAUAUAAUGUUAUGUGAAUAAAAAAUUGUAUUUGAUAUUAUAUUAUUAACACAAAACAUGAUGUACGAGAGUCACAUAUAUUAUAAGACUUCGACGACAAGAAUACAAAAAUAACUCUCGGACUGGUGGAGUGCGUACCCGCAGCUGAAUAAAGGGCAACCUAGUACUAUAUUAAUAUUAUAUGUUAGCAAAAGCUGGGAAUUUUUAUAGGUAAACAGCCAAAAGAGCAGAAGCUUCAAAGUCCCUCCACGAUGACUGGUUUUUUUUAAUGUUAACUUGUUUGAUUUUCUCGUGUAAAUAGGAAUUUUAGUUUUAUUUUAUGGCAAGUUGUUUGAUUUUCUUGUCUGAGAUCUUAAAAAAAAUACGGAGACAAAAACAAAAUGAUAGUGUGAACGUGAACCUGCUUCCCUUUUUUUCAUAUCGACAAAUAUACCUUAAAUUAAUGAUAUAAUGUUAUGUGAAUAAAAAUUUGUACUUGACAUCAUAUUAUUAACACAAAACAUGAAGAUAGUAAUGUAGGAGAGCCAUAUAUAUUAUAAGACUUCGACGACAAGAAUACGAAAAUAACUCUCGGACUGGUGGAGUGCAUACCCCGCAGCUGAAUGCAGGGCAACCUAGUACUAUGUUAAUAUUAUAUGUUAAUCAAAAGCUGGGAAUUUUUAUAUUUAAACAGCCAAAAGAGCACAAGCUUCAAAGUCCCUCCACGAUGACUAGUUUUUUUAAUGUUAACUUGUUUGAUUAUCUCGUGUAAAUAGGAAUUUUAGUUUUAUUUUAUGGCAAGUUGUUUGAUUUUCUUGUCUGAGAUCUUAAAAAAUACGGAGACAAAAACAAAAUGAUAGUGUGAACGUGAACCUGCUUGCCCUUUUUUUUUUGUGGGGCUCGACGUUCGAGAAUUAAUAAAUCAAGCAAGUCCACAAUGGAUGCCAUUGCAUUGCCAAUUCCAUUGAUUUAUUAAAAGAGAUUUGAAAAUAUACAACCACGCGUUUGAAUCCUUAGUCUUAAUGUGGCUAUUUUAUCUGACAAGAAGGAGAAGGCCGGCGGCAAGGGUAGAGAGAGGAGAGAUGUGUUUGUAGAAUUAUAGAAGAAUUAUAUGUUGAUGAUUUGUUAUUCACUCUACGUAGUGCAUUUAUUUAUAGUAGUAAAAUGAGAGAAUAACUCCUUCAUCCCCAAGGAAUACAAGUUCAUAUAGGAAAGAAUAACUAGAAUCAAAUCUAAUAUAUGAUUUACACAAUCACACUUAAACUAGAAAAGUUCACAACACUCCCCUUUGAGUGUGUAAAUACUCAAGGUAGAUUUCAGCAUCAUGCAGAAGUUGAGGAAGUCGACUUGUCGGCACUAAUUAUGGGAACAACGCUUAUUCUCAAUAAGGUAAGACCUUGCAUAAAGUAGUAAGUCUCACUGAAAAACCCUAAGGUUAUGGCAAAAACCCGAGUAGGGACAAAAUCCAUAGUUUAAGGAAAAAUGCAUGAGUAAUGCAAAGUCAAAUGAAACGUCUACGGGACGUCAUCAGGGAAAUGAUCAACCCAAGGUGGGUGCCUCGUUAAUACCUAGUUAGGUAGCAAAAACCCAGUGGGAUAAAUGCUCCUAAUCGUAGGGAAAAGAGUACAUUAAGAUAGGAGUGGGCACAGGCCGGAUCGGGCCGAGCCGAGCCGAAUUUUGAAGGGACCAGACCGGACCUGGACUUAGAAGAGACGAGCCAGACCAAGCCAAGGAUUACAUUUUCUAAUAUAGGAACCAGACCUAACCCGGCCCGUUUGAAAUGGGCUAGUUCGGGCCGAGUCCACAGGUCCUUUUUUUUUUUUUUAGUUUACUAAAAAAUCACUCAAAUUCUCAAAAAUUCAUUCCUAGUAUAGAUUCAUUACCAGUACACACUGCAGUGUACAAAUUUUGGACAAAAGAAGACUAGUACUUUCUUCCAAUCAGCAGAGUAGCCCCACUUUCUUCUAAACGUUCACACGAAAUUCAAAAAUAUUAAUCAAGACAAUCCCUUGAAAUUUAAAAAAUAUAAUUAAACGUCUUUCUCAUUCAUUUCUUUCGUCUCCCGAGGAAUAUUAAUCAAGACAAUCCCUCGAAACUAAAAAAAAAUAGAAUUAAUAGUCUUUCCCAUUCCUUUCUUUCAUCUCUCAAGCACAAGACUCGGUAAUAAAUGACACGUGCCACAAAUAAGCCGCUAAAAAUACUCAAAAAAGAAUUAUGACAAAAAAUAAUAAGCAGCUAAAAAUACGCAAAAAAUAAUUAUGAAAAGAUAAAAAAAAAAAAAAGAGGUGGGGGGAUGCAACACGAGAACUUCCCAGGAGGUCACCCAUCCUGGUACUACUCUCGCCCAAACUCGCUUAAAUUUGGAGUUUUGAUGGGAUUCAGUGCAUGUGAGUUAGUAUGAUCGCAUCCGUUGGUCUAUGACUUGUAAUUGUAUAUAACCAGUUCUUUGCCCACGACCCCGUAACCUCUAUGCAUGUGCAAAUCACAUUGGCUCUAAACGUUCACACGAAAUUCAAAAAUAUUAAUCAAGACGAUCUCUCGAAAUUUAAAAAAUAUAAUUAAUAGUCUUUCUCAUCCAUUUCUUUCAUCUCCCGAGGAAUAUUAAUCAAGAUGAUCCCUCGAAACUCAAAAAAAAAAAAAAAAAAAAUUAAUAGUAUUUCUCAUUCCUUUUUUUCAUCUCUCAAGNNNNNNNNNNNNNNNNNNNNNNNNNNNNNNNNNNNNNNNNNNNNNNNNNNNNNNNNNNNNNNNNNNNNNNNNNNNNNNNNNNNNNNNNNNNNNNNNNNNNNNNNNNNNNNNNNNNNNNNNNNNNNNNNNNNNNNNNNNNNNNNNNNNNNNNNNNNNNNNNNNNNNNNNNNNNNNNNNNNNNNNNNNNNNNNNNNNNNNNNNNNNNNNNNNNNNNNNNNNNNNNNNNNNNNNNNNNNNNNNNNNNNNNNNNNNNNNNNNNNNNNNNNNNNNNNNNNNNNNNNNNNNNNNNNNNNNNNNNNNNNNNNNNNNNNNNNNNNNNNNNNNNNNNNNNNNNNNNNNNNNNNNNNNNNNNNNNNNNNNNNNNNNNNNNNNNNNNNNNNNNNNNNNNNNNNNNNNNNNNNNNNNNNNNNNNNNNNNNNNNNNNNNNNNNNNNNNNNNNNNNNNNNNNNNNNNNNNNNNNNNNNNNNNNNNNNNNNNNNNNNNNNNNNNNNNNNNNNNNNAGGAAGCCAAGACCACAAAGCUAUAAAGCCAAAGGGGGAGCAAGCGAGAAAGCAUCGUCGCCGCAACAAUAGGAAGCCUAAAAGAAGUAUAAGAGCUGCUAAGUCAACAUAUGCUGGGGAACCUAUGGAGCAAGAGCCACGUAUUCCCGUCUCAUUGCACGAAUACUUCCUGGAGGACUUCUUCCAACAGUGCACUAUCACUGCAUGUCACAUGGUCGAAGUAGAAAUGGAAGAACCCUCAAAAGGCAAAGCUGUCACCACUGAGGGGGAAAAGACUCUUACAACUGAAGAAGGUCUGCCAACACACCUUAGCAUCGAAAGAGCGCUCCGGUUGCCAAAGGAGAUGCGAAGAGCACUGGCAGCGGUCUUGGCAAGUCCCGAUGACCAAGAAGUGCAAGAAAGCAAGAACGAAAGCUUGAAGCUUCGGCCAUAUGAAUGUGCCACAUGCUGUGCCGCCGAGGACGCAAUCCACUUCACCGAUGAAAACUUGCUGCUAGGAUCCAAGCCUCACAACCGACCUCUCUUCGUCUCUGGGUACGUAAAGGAGCAUAAAGUCAGCCGCAUGCUUGUGGAUGGUGGAUCAGCCAUAAAUAUCAUGCCAAAGUCAACAAUGACCACAAUCGGCAUCAAGGUGGAUGAACUAUCCCUAAGCCGUCUACUAAUCCAAGGAUUUAACCAAGGAGGACAAAGAGCGAUGGGCAUGGUCCAAGUGGAGAUGACCAUUGGUGAACUCAAGUCAAGCAUAAUAUUCCACGUGAUUGAUGCAAGAACUUCCUACGGUUUGCUCUUAGGAAGGCCUUGGAUCCAUGCAAAUGGAGUAGUACCGUCCACCCUUCACCAAUGCUUAAAAUUUUACCGAGAAGGAGUGAAGGUGAUCUAUGGCGACACCAAGCCAUUCACUGAAGCCGAAUCACAUUUCGCAGACGCCAAGUUCUACAUGGAUGAAGACAUGGUGCCCGAAACUCUUCGAAAAUAGAUCAAAUCCAUGGGCAAAGCAACACCUAAAAAGCAGGAGUGGCAAGCUGUGCCAAAAAAGCAAGAAGAAGAAGUUAUGCCAUCUUCAAGCAAAAACAACGAUGAGCUUGCUAAACCUGCAACAACCAAAGGGAGUAGAACGCCCUCAAAUGGACCAAACAUACCCGUUUUCCGAUACAUCCCGACGUCUAGAAGAAAGAAUGGUCAAUCCCCUUUUGAAACUGCAGCAAGCAAAGCCGAUGCAGAGCGGCACAUGGAUAAUGUAAAGUUGCUUAAAACAAAUGCAAUUCUGCCUUUAACACAGCUAGGCGACACUAAGGUUGCAGGACCAUUACAAGGCUUCAUAAAAGGCCUGCCAAAAGGGGUAGAACCAAGCUUUCUCCCAACCAAGAGGACCGAAGAAGGUUUUGAUCCAAAUGCCUACAAACUCAUGUCUAAAGCUGGGUACAACUUCACCUCCUCUGUAAAUUUGGGAAAGAAGGGUUUGAACACCGUCAAAGACAACAAACGUGAUCUCACAAAAACUCAGAAGAAGUUGGAGGAACAUGGUUACGGGGUCAACAACAACAAAGCUGGACUUGGCUUCAUACCAAAUGCACCGGUGAAGAUCGCCAGCAAGACAAAAAAUGCUAGCGCUCAACACAUCAGCGUGAGCAUUAUACAAAAUAAAGAAGAGCCUCAACCUUCCCCCCAGACGUCAGUAUUCGAUAGAAUGAAUCGUUCAAGACCCAAAGUUUCGGCAACUAAACUCAUUGGCGGUCAAAACAGAACUUCCGUCUUCAAAAGGCUUAACACGUCAGCAUCUCGAAGCUCUGUUUUCAAAAGGUUGUCGAAACCUAAGAAACAAAGCAAUACGACUAGCUUUCCUCCACGACAGUCAGUUAUGGAAAGACUUGAAGAAGCCAAAAAGCCUUCUAGAAGGAGAAAGACGACACCAGAAGUAGAAAAGAUCGAUCGUCUGGCAGAAAAAGAUGACGUUCGAAGUUCCAUUCCUUCAAGAAUGAAGCGCCAAACAAUUUUGGAGGUUAACACAGUUGGAUCACUGAAAGUAAAAAGGCGCACCAUCAUCCACACUGGACAAUCUUCAUCCCAACAAACUCAAGGGGUCAACACCGAAGAAGAGGCCCAAGACGUCUUCCACAUCACAAUCCAAGAAGGUGAAGAGAAGAUGAAAUCCUCGAGGAAGAUGUCAUUACAGCGCCAUCACAACUCGAAGAUGAGGGGCAAGCCACAGUUGACGAUCUCAAAGAACUCAACUUAGGCACAAGUGAGGAACCAAAGCCUAUCUUCGUGAGUGCAUUACUAAGUGCAGACGAGAUAGAGAAGUAUUACCAGCUGCUAUUAGAGUACGAGGACGUUUUUGCUUGGACCUACAAGGAAAUGCCCGGCCUCGACCCCAUCAUUGCUGUGCAUCAUUUUGCAGUCAAGCCUGGAACGCGACCAAUAAAGCAAACUCAAAGACGCUAUCGAUCCGAGCUCAUCCAGUAAAUCGAGGCUGAGAUUGACAAGUUGAUCGAAGCAGGCUUCAUUCGAGAGGUGCAAUACCCAAGUGGAUCUCCAAUAUCGUCAUAGUCCUUAAGAAAUCUGGACAAAUACGUGUUUGCGUAGACUUCCGAGACCUCAAUGAUGCUUGCCCAAAUGAUGACUUCCCCUUGCCAAUCAUUGAAAUCAUGGUGGACGCAACCACUGGCCAUGAGGCACUAUCAUUCAUGGACGGCUCUUCUGGAUACAAUCAAAUUCGUAUGGCUCUUGAAGAUGAGGAACUAACAGCAUUCCGCACUCCAAAAGGUAUCUACUGCUACAAGGUGAUGCCCUUUGGUCUGAAGAAUGCUGGAGCUACAUAUCAACGCGCAAUGCAGAAGAUCUUCAAUGACAUGCUACACAAGAACGUAGAAUGCUAUGUAGACGAUGUGGUGGUUAAGACAAAUAAAAGAUUAGAUCACUUGAAGGAUUUACGAGUAGUGUUCGAAAGGUUGCGAAAAUACAACCUCAAGAUGAACCCGUUAAAAUGUGCAUUUGGCGUCACAUCUGGAAAGUUCCUUGGCUUCAUUGUCAAGCAUCGUGGCAUUGAAGUGGACCAAUCAAAGAUCAAGGCCAUUCAAAGCAUGCCCGAGCCAAGAAACCUGCACGAGUUGAAAAGUCUACAGGGACGGCUAGCCUUCAUCAGACGCUUCAUCUCCAACCUUGCAGGGCGUUGUCAACCAUUCAGUCGACUCAUGAAGAAAGAUGUUCCGUUCGUAUGGGACAAAGCAUGCAACAAUGCUUUUGAAAGCAUAAAGAAGUAUUUAUCAAGUCCACCUGUCCUGGGGGCACCUGUACCAGGGAAACCGCUCAUAUUGUACAUCGCUGCUCAGGAAACUUCAGUCGGAGCACUCUUGGCACAGGAAAAUGAAUCCCAGAAAGAAUGAGCGCUCUGCUACCUCAGUCGAACGCUCACCGGCGCUGAGUUGAACUACUCCCCAAUAGAAAAAAUGUGCCUUGCCUUGAUAUUUGUCAUCCAGAAGCUCAAACAUUACAUGCAUGCUUACACCAUCCACUUGGUUGCUAAAGCUGACCCGGUCAAAUACGUCAUGUCCAAGCCAGUUUUGACAGGACGACUAGCUAAAUGGGCAUUGCUUCUCAAUCAAUACGAGAUCAUCUACGUCCCAGCUAAAGCCGUCAAGGGACAAGCACUAGCAGACUUCCUUGCCGACCAUCCAAUCCCAGCCGAUUGGAAAAUCUCAGACGACUUGCCUAACGAGGAGGUGUUCUACAUCGACAAAUUCCUGACAUGGACGAUGUUCUUCGAUGGAUCUGCACGAGCAGACGGAGCGGGGGCAGGAGUAGUAUUCAUGUCGCCACAAAGGCAAAUACUACCUUAUUCAUUCCAACUAAGCGAAUUAUGCUUCAACAACGUCGCUGAGUACCAAGCACUGAUCAUCGGGCUCCAAAUGGCGAUCAACAUGGAAAUUACAGCCCUUGAGAUAUAUGGCGACUCCAAGCUCAUAAUCAAUCAACUCCUGACUGAAUAUGAGGUGAGGAAAGAUGAUCUCGUCCCAUACUUCCGGCUGGCAACGCAAUUGCUGCAAAAGAUCGAGGCCGUAACACUAGAACAUGUGCCAAGAAAAGAGAAUCAAAUGGCAGACGCUCUCGCCAACCUAGCCUCGAGCAUAACGUUAGGAGAUGACGAAGCCACAAACGUGCCAGUCUGCCAAAGAUGGGUAAUCCCGCCUGUCACUGAAAUGGUACUAAGUGAUACAAAUGUUAUUUCCAUACUUUCGGUCAACGUUGAAGAAUGGAGACAGCCGCUGAUCAACUACUUGGAGCAUGGAAUACUCCCAGAUGAUCCAAAACACCGUUCUGAAGUACGUCGACGAGCGCAUCGCUUCCUCUAUUACAAAGGGACACUCUACCGGCGAUCUUUUGAAUGAGUACUUCUGAGAUGCUUAGGCAAGGAAGAAGCCAAUCAAGCCAUGGAAGAAGCACACUCAGGAAUAUGUGGAGCGCAUCAGUCCGGACCGAAGCUUCAUUUCCAACUCAAAAGAAUAGGUUACUACUGGCCAAGCAUGGUAAAGGACUGCCUAGAACACGCCAAAAGGUGCCAAGCCUGCCAAUUUCACGCCGAACUUCAUACAUCAACCGCCUGAACCAUUACACCCUACAGCUACUUCAUGGCCAUUUGAUGCAUGGGGAUUAGACGUAGUAGGACCAAUUGCACCAAAGUCAUCUGCAGGAGAAGCGUACAUCCCUGGCUGCAACAGAUUACUUCUCCAAGUGGGCUGAAGCCAUACCUCUGAAAGAAGUCAAGAAGGAAACUGUCAUCCGUUUCAUCAAAGAACAUAUCAUCCACCGAUAUGGCGUGCCUCGCUACAUUGUCACUGACAACGGAAAACAGUUCUCCAACCGACUCGUGGACGAGCUCUGCGAGAAAUACAAGUUCAAGCAGCACAAAUCCUCUAUGUAUCAUGCUCCGGCCAACGGUCUUGUAGAAGCAUUUAACAAGACAUUGUGCAACCUCCUGAAGAAGGUAAUCGGCAGAACAAAGAAAGACUGGCAUGAAAGAAUAGGCGAAGCACUUUGGGCAUACAUGACGACAUAUAGAACGCCUACCCAAGCUACACCUUAUUCUCUCGUAUAUGGCAUGGAAGCUGUUCUACCGCUCGAAAGUCAAAUCCCCUCGCUAAGGAUGGCUCUACAAGAAGGCUUGACUGACGAAGAGAAUGCAAAGUUGCGCCUUCAAGAGCUGGAAGCCCUGGAUGAGAAAGACUCGAAGCCCAACAACACUUGGAGUGUUAUCAAGCACGACUCUCCAAGGCCUUCAACAAGAAAGUUUUCCCUCGUUCUUUUCAAAUGGGAGAUCUCGUCCUUUCAUUGCGUAGGCCUAUCAUCACAACUCACAAGACAAAGAGCAAGUUCACAUCAAAAUGGGAUGGACCAUACGUAAUACAAGAAGUCUACACCAAUGGCGCCUACUUAAUCAUGGCGGAAGACGGCUUGAAGAUCGGCCAUAUCAAUGGCAGAUUCUUGAAGCGCUACUACCCCUGAAAGGCGACAACUCAUGCUCUUUGUUCGCACGAGCCUAAACUGCAUGAACCAAAGCUCCUGGCCCGCAAGAGCAUAAACUGUGUACGGCAAAAUCAUCAUCAAAAUUACUGUUAAAUUCAUCACUCAUUUGAACUACGUUAUGGCUUGAUCUCUUCUUUGGAAGGGUACGUAGGCGACUCGAACAUUCAAUUUCGAGUUCAGUCAUAUCAAAAUAAAAAAAAUAUAUAAAAGUUUUAUUAAAGAAAGUCAAUUUUAUUACAAAAGAAUAAAUAAAUAAAUACAUAUGUUAUUAUGUAUUUAAAAAAAAACAAAAAAAAAAAAACAAAACAAAACAAAUGCAUUAAGAGAAAUAAAGUCCGUUUUUUUUAUUUAUUUUUUCUCGAAAUUUUACAUAAAUUUGCAUUAUACAUACUUAAAAAAAAAAAAUCAAAUCAAAUUUACAAGAGGGGAUCUUCAAGGACGAUCAGGUGCCGCCUCACCACUCGGCAGAGCUCCAGAAAUGAGAGGCGCCGGAGGUUGACUGUUUGAAGCUACACCACUCGGCGGAACUCCAGGAAGAAGAGGAGCCAAAGGUUGAUCAUUUGGAGCUUCAUUACGCGGUACAGCCCCAGAAGACGAAGGCAAAUGCUGCUGGAACAAACCCACAAACCUCUGAUGAUCAAGUAAAAUCUGACCAUCAGAUUCCUGCAUCUGGUCAAUCUUCCUCUUCAUGUUUGUCGCAUAGCUAUGUGCGAGCUUAUGCAAUUGUUUAUUCUCCUGCUUGAGCCCUCUAAUAUCCUGUUUGAGACUCGUCACUUCAGCCGCCAAUGAUUCAACUUGACGGGUUCGAGCAAAUAGGCGUUGGGCCAUAUUACACACAGAACCUGCACACUGCACACUGAGAGCCAGAGAAUCCUUAACAGCCAACUCAUCAGACCAUUUGGAAAGUAAUCUGUUAUCUCUGGGAGUGACAAGGUUUCGGGCCACCACCGCAGCAGUCAUAUCAUUCUUCACCACCGAAUCCCCAACGGUAAGAGGACCAGUAGGGGAUAUGAAGGAUGGGCGCCAUAUGUUAUCUGGAGAAGACGGGACUACCUCUUCACCAAGGUUCAAAUCAAAACGACGGUCGGAGGGUCCAGACAUUUUCAAAGGUGUUGAAGAAAGAAGAGGUCGGACAAAUCAAGAUCUUAGAAGUGCAAGAAGGGAGUUUCUACAAGCGAAAAUUCAAGUGUGCUUUGAAACGAACUGCGUGCCUCUAUAAAGAUCAACACUCGACGGGAUUUCAAAGAUCGAAGAGGCGAGCUCAGAAUUCGAAGAGGCCAAUUCAAAAAAAUCAAAGAAGCAAGCUCAGAAAUCGAAGAAGCAUCUUGCUUUUCCAGACGCGUUAGCACCCGUCACGUGCAAACUCAGCUUUGUGGAAAUCACGGGCAAUUUGUUAAAGCGCCAAUCCCAGAUAUCGAAGAGGCGCCGGUCUUUUUCAGCCUCGUCAGCACCCGUCACGCGCAAACUCAGCUUUGCGGAAAUCACGGGUAAUUUGUCGAAGCGCCGAUCCCAGAUAUUGAAGAGGCGCUAGUCUUUUUCAGCCUCGUCAACACAUGUCACAUGCACACUCAGCUUGACGAAAAUUACGGACAAUUUGUCGAAGAUUUCUGAUAAAGAAGAAAGCACGUGAAGUCAUACUGAUCAAACACGCAUUGGUUGCCGACACGAGUAAAAGAAUAGUACCUCUACAGGUACUAAAGAAUUUCCUAUAACUGUCCACCUUCACCCUCCAUAGCAAGGCAGACAUACAUAACCUUUCUUCAUCUCCGAGAAUGCUUUCCCAACGAAGCCUCUCGAGUCACUCAGUGUUUCUUAUUCCUUGGGGUACCUCUGCAAACAAAUGACACCAAAGCAAAAGUAUCUCAUAUCACCAGGGUAGAAAGCAAGAGUAUCUCAUAUCAUGCGUUCUCCCUAUCCUUUCCUUUUUCCUUGUUCUUACCUACAAAGACAAGGAUAAAGAAAACAAUAUGCCGGAACCUCCACUCAAACUCGGAUGCCACAUUUGCCUGGAGAACAGAUAAGGCAAGUGAAAAUGAUACCUUGCAGCAUGUGGAGACAACGUGCAGAAGAAAUAAGCAGAGAAGAAUGCAGUCUUCACAGUCAGCUCAGCAGAAGGAGUUCGAGCUGAGGAACUCAAGAAGCUGCCACAUCUGCCUGAAGAAACAAGCAGAGAAGAAUGCAGCCUGCACAGUCUGAAGGGAAAACUAUGAGAUUCUAGCAUGGGAUUUCAUAAUGACUAUCAUGCAUAUCCAAAUCAAAUUUAAUAUACGAAAGCAGCGGAAGCAUUUAUAACAUAUUAUCAAAGCUAUAGUCAUGCAAAUCCCCUUCAAGGUUCAUAGGUUUAUAUAUAAUGCAUCAAAACAAUUUAUAGAAUCAAGAACAAAGUGAAGGUUAGUCUUAUACCUCUUGAUCUAGACUUGAGACCAAUGAUGGACCACCUCCAAGCCCUUUGCUCCUUGAAAUCCUUGAGCCUAGCUUCCCUCCUUGCCUCCUCCACUUUGAAAGAAUGAGUGCUCCUAGGUUCUCUUCAAGUUUCCAAAGUAGGAAACCUCUAAAGAUCCUCACCCACUAGUGUAGUGAGAAGGAUGAAGGAAUAACCAAAAGGGUGAAAAUAUGUUUAGCUAAAACACCCCAAUGGUGGCCGGCCCUUUGAUGUGUUAGAGAGCUUUUUUCUUUUGCCUCUUUGUUGUUUAAACACUUCAAAAACACCCUAAUGAACUUUAUCACUAUAAAAGUUCCUUAUAUAGACAAAAGAAAACCUAGUCAACACUUGACUAAAUAUCUCUCCUUCCCCACAUAAUAUGGCCGGCCCUAUUUGUGUUUGUUUGGGCUUUGGGCUUUCAUUUAUUUCAAGUCAUCCAAUGCUUGAAUAAAAGCCCAAUGGGUUUAGGCCCAAUGGGCCCAAUUAAACCCGAACGUUUCUUUAAGCCCAAGACGAUCUUUAUCGCUUUUAUGAUUUCUUUUUAGACUUUUCUAAAUUAAUCACAACACAUAAUUAAUCCAAUUAAUUGUUUCCAUCAUCCAUUAGUUACUCACCACAAUAGUGUUUUGGUGAACAAUCUUUUAGGUUCUAAUUAGCAAGGCAGUGAGGUGAUUGGCAUCAAUCCAAUUGCUUAUAUUUAAUUCAAUCACUUAGUGAAUUAAAACUUCAUUUUAAUUCACCUUUCUUCUUUGACGACUACAUUUAAUCAUCUAGAAGAACUCACAAGCUAUGAGUGACAUCUAACCAUAUGUCAUAGCUACCCAAGCUAAUGUAGAAGUUUAUUCGAAGAACCUAGUCAGUUGGAAUUACAAUGUAAUUCAAUCCUUCUCUAAUACAAUACUCUCAAUCACAUCAUUAGGGUAUGGAUAUAUCAUGUCAAACCCCUAAUGUGAUUAUUCCUUCAUAUAUGAUUCAUUUGAGUCGUAUAGGAACGCUUUCCAAUCAAUACGCUCGAUACUUCGGCCGAAGAUUCCCGAAUCAUAUCUUAGAGUAUUCUUCCUCUCUUAUCGAGGAUUAGAGAUUCCUUGUUGUGCAUACACUUGCCUUCAUGACUAAGUGGCUUAACCCCAAUUAUGCCGUGGACACCCUCGAAUGGGGAGACAUUGACAUAAUCAAAGAUUAAGUACUUAACCACAAGACAACGACGAUGCCUCAGGUCUAAGGAUUACUUACAUCUUUCCAACCAUUAGAGUUACUUGCUUGACAUGUGAGUAGACCUCCAUGCAAGUUCUCUCGUUCGAUUGUGUUCAGUGAACUCAUUCCCCUAAUGAGCACCUACAUACUUGUCUUAGUGUCACAACACGAAUGGGAUGAGACUUUCCAUCCUUCCAAUUGAAGCAGACAUAGUAUGUACCGGUCUACGCAUUGUCAGUAUCCCUCCGACAAUCCAACGACCAGGAACCUUUUGGACACAAUGGUUAUGUGAAGAAGGUCUCUGUAGUCUAACAUCAUUAGAUUACUUCUUCAAUCGAUCCAUUGUCCAUGGAUACACUAUUUAGGACAUAUAUUGUUAAUUGAGAUAGUCUUAAUUCGUGUCUUUGCCAUUUUAUGUAUAAGAAUCAUCCAUACAUCGAUUCAUUUGUCCUGAAAGAUUUCUUCCAAAGAUUGACUUUCAGGGCAUAUUUCUAACAAUCUCCCACUUGCACUAAAGUCAAUCACUAGUGUAUCUUAUACAUCUUGUCGAGAGAGUUUAUGCUCGUAGGUUAACUUGGUUAUGUAUUAAUCUCUUUUAUAUUUAAAAGGGAUUUACUUAUCAAAUGUUUCCAAGACAUUUGAUGAUGUCUCUUUAAUGUGUUCAAAUACUUUGAUGAGACCUUGAUUCCAUGGCUUGAGCUAUCGCCCCAUUACGUCGUAGUACUCUACUAACGACCUUAUGGUUUGGAUUCAAUCAUGGGUUCUUAAAAGAGCCCCUUUCAUUCAAAACACCUUUUUUUUUUGAAGCAGUUUCUAAAACUAUAUAUCUACAUAUAUUUCGUUUGUAUACUUUAUACAAACUUUGCUCCAAGCUUGAGACCAUUGUAGUACAAUACUAACAAUUCAUUCAUAUGAUUAGUACUUCAUCCAUUAUGAAGUUCCAUUUGUUAAAAUGGUUUAUUUUCACUUUGGUUAACAACCUAAGUGAAUGCACGCUUCCAGAGUCCCACUCUGAUGUUUCUUUCUCAAAGGCAAUAAUACUCUAUCAGUUGCUUUGGUUCUGAUCCUGGGAUAUAGUAAUAUCUUAAAGUGAUAAACUCAGUGGUUUCUUCACCUUUGGAUAUCUACUUCACAGGUCAAUACAUGUGUCCCUUUUGUGAUUUUAUGACACAUUCAUUAUAAGGGUUUUGAAAGUGAUUUCCUAUCACAUAGGAAAAUGCUUUCUUAAAUCUUCAACAUUUGAGAUUUAAUUCCCAUAUAACAUUAUUGAGAUAGCCUUGCUAUAUCAGUAAGUCCAAUUUCAAGUCUAUACUUCAAAAUUGACCGUGUCAUGUUUUGUCAUUUUCGAGUAACAUCUAUGUUUCAUCAAGUCUAUCAAAUAGACUUUAUUCACAUCUUGUUGCUCAAAUUAUGACAUCACUCCCACUGGCUUUGUUGUAACUUUAGCAUUCAUUCAAAAUUAACAAUUAUAUUUUCUUGAUUUGAAUGCAUAUUGCUCCCACUAAUUUAAAUGAAUCAUACAUAAAAGAAUUCCUUCUCAAGCAAUUCCAUGAAAUGUGUGACUUGCUUUAUCAAAUCUAUUCAUUUAAAUUAUAUGGUGUCAUACACCAUACUUUAAGUUUUAGUCAUACUAAGACCUUUAAUGUAGUCAUAUAAGAAUUAUCUAAGUCUUUAGUGGAAGCAUGGCUCCUACUAAGGAUAUAAAAACUCAACCAUUCCUUCUAGGUGGUUGAUAUAAUUCUUUAUCAAAACUACAUAGAGCAAUAUCGUUACAUGAGAUGUUGAAUUUGGAUUGUCUUGUUGUUAAACCAUAUGUUGUGACUCAUUUUUGAAACUUAUUCCCUUUUGUUUCAUCAACUUGUCCAUAUGCUUUGUUAUUAGCAUGUUCUCAUAAAAGAGAAUGAUGGACAACUCCCAACAUAUAACCAUUUUAUGCUAGGUUGACGAAACCAACAUUCAAAGACUAUUCUUUAAAUGUUACACAACAUAGAAUUUUAACGUUUGAAGAGCUUGAGUCCUUUUAACAAUUAAAAUUACAAACUCUUAAUAAUAGUCAAGUACUAUUAUUCUUUAGACAACUAUAAACCAAUCACAUUCAAGUUUAUAUCCAUUUUCAUACCUCCCACUAUUUCUCAUGACUUUAAUGAGAAAUUAUUUCAUACAUUCAAAAUGUAUAAAAGUGGAUUAUAUUGGUAGAAGACAUUGUGUAGUAGCUUUGAAACAUUUCAAGCUUAUUUGUUUCAUUCUUCACUAAGUUAAUGUCUUGUUAUUUAAGUGACUAAAGUCUUUAAACCUUUUAUAGAUUUAGACACUUCUUUCUUGGUUUAAUCACUAACACAAUUGACAUUUUAAAACAAUUUUAAGAAUGCCCAAUUAAUUGUUCAAAACUACUAAUUGAAUCAAGAGUGAUCUUGAUCAUUGUGUUUCAAGUGAUAACCAUAUAAGAAACGUUUUUCUUAUUACUUAUAUCAUUAUAAUGUGAUCUUCCUUUUCUUCAAGAAAGGAUUCUCUAGACUUUUGUCAAUUCAUAUAGAACUCAUAAGUAGACAAAUGGAACCAAAUCUAAAGAUUCAUUGUAUCCUUUUAUGUCCUACAUGUGAGAUCUAUCCAUAAUUGAUAAAUCUAAAGUUUGGUUUAUCACAUUACAAUUAAGUGAUAUAACUCUUGUAUCUCAUCUAGGAUACAACAAGACAAUUUUUAAUUCAUAACACCACUUUAAGGAAAUAGUAUAUUAAAAAGGCAUACUUCACAUUACAUUAAUAUGAUGGUUCAAACAUUCAUAAUGUUUAAUACAAAAAGUAUUAGCUCUAUACAUUUAGAGACUAAUAUAAAUACCUUUAUACAUUUAGGCACUAUAUAGUGGUCUUCCAUCACAUGAAGCCACAUAAUAAGUUCUUAUAAAAAAUAAGAAAGUUUAAAGACAAUCUUUAAUGCCUAACAAACUUCCUAAGUAGUGAGCAAAAAAUAUAGUGGCCGAACCCUUCACCACAUUUUCUUGCUUGUUCUUCUUCUACUUGGCUUCUCCACCUAUAUACAAUUAUACAAGUGAUUAGCUCUUUAUAUCAAAUAUAAAUAUUUAGAAGAUCUAACAUUUAGAAUUGAAGAUAAGGACAUAAACCAUACCUUGUGGCUUGUCCUUAAGACUUGCAAGGUAUAACUUGCAAUUCCUUCUCCAAUGCCCCUCCUUUCCACAGUGGUGGCAAGUCCCUUUGGGCUCCUUUGCCUUCUUUUUCCUCACUCCUCCUUUCGGCUUAGGAGUGGGUGACUUCUUCUCCUUCCCUUUGCCUUUGCCUUGCGGCAUGGCCUUGGAAGAGGAUGGCUUGUUGUAGGCUACUGCAGCAGUCCCUACACCGCUCUCUUUCUUCAUAGUCUUCUCAGCAGUUACUAACAUGUUUAGUAACUCAGAGAGAGUACUAUCCAUCUUAUUCAUAUUGUAGUUCAUUACAAACUGAGCAAAUGAAUCAGAAAGAGAAGCCAAUACGAAGUCUUGGGCCAAUUCCCCGUCAAGUGGAGUACCAAGGUUCUCCAAUUGUUCAAUGAAUCCUAUCAUCUUCAGUACAUGUUGGUGUACUGGAGCCCCCUUGACCAUCUUGGUCUUUACAAGUUCACAAACAGUGCUAAAGCGACGGUUGCGCGUCCCUUCGCCAUAUAACUCCGUAAGAUGGAGUAUUAUGGAAAAUGCAUUAUCCAUGCCCUCGUGCUGUCUCUGUAGCUCCUCAUUCAUGGAAGCCAACAGAUAGCACUUGGCUUGUAUAUCAUCCUCAACGUGCUUGUCAUACUUAGCACGUUCAUCCUCAGUAGCCUCAGGGCUUAGAGGUAUGUGAGGUGGAGCCUUGUCUAGUACGUAAACAAUCUUCUCCAAUGUUAGGAGAAUCUUGACAUUACGAUACCAUGAGGGGAAAUUGUGCCCCUCUAGGCAAUGUUUGUCGAGUAUUUUCGCGAGUGUGCUUCCAACCAUAUCUAUAUACAUAAACAAAUAAAAUAAUUAGAUUGAUUGUUGUUUAAGUCAAACGAUUCGGGUCUUUAAACCGAAUGACACCACCCACCAUUUUUGGCAAAUUCCAUAUCCCCCAUAAUGGAAUCCGGGAGAUUUCAAAGAAAGCUCCUAGCGGGUUAUGGGAGGCUCACUAUUACCAAGCCCACCUCACGAUGAUACGAUGUUUGGCUAGCAACAAUAAUAAUGAGAGGUUACAAUUACCCAUUCACAACAACCUCUUGUGAUUACCCAUCUUUUUGGCCUCUAGAAAAUAAUACCUCACGAUGAUACGAUGUUGGCAUUAUGUUUCUUAGUUAAGUUCUUUCCUACCAUGCCGGUUUAGCUAGGGGUUCAAGCAUGACCUCACGAUGAUACGAUGUUUGGCCAUACUCGUUGCCUACCUUAACCUCAUCAAAUAUUUUAAAUAAAACUCCUCCUGAAUAUAAGCAUGCACUUUGUCACUUCCCCAUGAUAGGGUGAAGGCGGUGUACAAGUCAUAAACGCUUAGAGCCUACCACGGUGGAAGGCCACGAAAAAGUGUUCUAAGCACUCUUACGCUUUCAACUUAAUAUUUGUUUGGUUGAGGGAUUUUAAGGUCUCAUCAAUUUUAUUUAUUUAAUCACAAUCAAAUAAAUAAUGUCCUAUUACAACUACUAGUCCAAAGUUAAUGAAAUUAGUAGCAUAUGAUAUCCCCACUAUUCGUUUUCAUAAAACAAAUCAAUAUCAAAACAUUUUUCAAAAUAUUGGAGAUAUAUAUAACUACUAAUUGUAUUCAUUAUAGUCUAGUAGCGUAUGAUACUCCCACUAUUUGUUUUGAAGAAAACAAAUCAAUAUCAAAAACGAAUUUUUCAAAUAUUGGAAGUAACUACUACUACUAAGGUUUUUGCAUUCCUUUGAAAUUGGACUUUAUAGUUAUCUUAGGCUCUUGGAUGACUAUGGACUUAUUAGGUUAUUGCAACAACGAGCCAUCAUUGUUGAAUAUAAACUCGGGGAGGUUGUGUCAAUUUAAUUACGUGCUUAACAAUCCAAUUAAAACCAUUUUCAUUGAGCCAUUAGAAAUGAAAGACAAUCAUUCAUUGCUAAUUUGGGCAUUGGACCCUUUUAAUCUUUAAUCUCAUGUCAAAACCCUCUUUUAGUUAUGUCUCCUUUACCAAUAGUUAAAGAAACUCUAGUCUAGCACUAGAGGGAAUCCACUAACGAAUAGAGAUUAAGAAGUAAUAAGAAUUACAAACCGAUUUGUACAAAUUCCUAUAAAUUACAUAUACUAAAAGGGGAGAGAAAGAUUAACGUCAAACGUGACAAGGUCCAAUUAAACAGUAAUUAAACACAUUCCCAAGGUUCAAACAAUUUGAUUUUAGCGCCUUAUCAUAUAACUCAAUUAUCGUUUAAGGCAUAAGUCCAAAGUCAUCCAUUUCAUAACUACUUAAACACAUUUAAAUAAUCAUAAAGGAAUGCAACAUAAACAUUUAGAUUUAGUGCAUAUGGGCAUAAUAAUAUUAUGAGUUUAAACAACUAACAAAAUUAAAAUCAAAUAUUUUAACUUUCUAGUUAGUAGGGGCCUAAAUGUAAAUAUGAAAAGGUAGGGGUAAAACCGUCAGAGACUACGAGUGUAAUAGGAGCAUCCGUCGACAAAAGGAUCACCCUAAGAUGAUCAUCUCAUGGCUAUUGAGAACGAAUCAAAUCAGAUGGUUCUAUUUCUCAAUCUUUCACCCGGAGAACUAAUUGGAUUGCUGCGAGCUGAACGAACGGGGCGCGCUUUGGAAGAAGCAAUUUGUUACCGAGCUAUAUUAUUAGGAAUAACGAAAGCAUCUCUAAAUACUCAAAGUUUCAUAUCCGAAGCGAGUUUUCAAGAAACUGCUCGAGUACCGCCUCUCAGGCCCCCGACUGAUUCUACCAUAGAGGCCAACGAUAGACAAUAACUCCCCCCCGAACACAGA